rnacentral:lncRNA from 1 species
UGCAAAGUCCUAGAAUAUACGUUUGAUCUUCAAGGACUUGAUGAAAAUGUUGAAAUCCUCCCAAAGUUAGAAACCUUGAAGUUACGAAGACUACCUAGGUUAAGGUAUAUUAUAUGCAAUGAGGACAAGAAUGAUGGUAUGAGGUGUCUUUUCUCUUCUCCAACGCUCAUGGAUUUUCAAAACCUCAAAUGUCUAUCCAUCCAAGAUUGUGCAUACGAAAACAAUGAAGAGGGACAUGUUAAUACUCCUAUAGAAGAUAUAGUGCUCUUCGGCGAAAAGGUUAGUUUUCUCCCAUAUUUUUUUAUUUUUAUUUUUCCAUAUACUAUUUUUGGAAAUAUUGACAAACAUAUUCCAUAAAAAUAAUAAUAAUAAUAAUAAUAAUAAUAAUAAUAAUAAUAAUAAUAAUAUGAGAAGAUCAUAUCGAUCUUUAAUAAUAAAUUUAUUAAAUUAUUUAGACAUUUAAUUUUAGAUAAUAAAAAUGGUGAAUAAUAAUUAAAUUAUAUAGGAGUUGAAAAAAGAAAAGAAAAAAUUAAAAUUAAAAUUUUAAAAAUAAUAAAUAUGAAUAGAAAUAAUAUAAAAUAAAAAAAUCAUAAGUGUUAUUUUAAUUUAAAAGUAAAAAAAAAAAAAGGUGCUAAUUGGAAUAAAUAUUAUGAUGAAUUGAAAACGGAAUUAGAGGAAUAUUUUAAUUAAAAAAGUAAAUUUUAAAAAGGAAUUAGUGAAAUUUAUUAAUAAGAAAUAAUGAAAGAGUGUAUGAUAUAAUAUAGAGUAAUAAAUGAUUAGAUAUAAAUAAAAGUAAUUUAGUAUGGGAAUAUAUGUAACAUAGAUUACUAAUAAAUAAAUAAAUAAACUAUUCAAAUCAUAAUAUUUUAUUUGAAUCUUAGAAUAUUUAAAAUAAAUAAUAUUUAGGAAAAUUUGGGUAAGGUGUAAAAUGGUAAAAAUAUUUUAAAAAUUAUGAUUGGUUAAAAUAUUCUAAAAACUAUGAUUAAUAUUUUCCUUUUGAAAAUAAAAAUAAUAAAGGAUAAAAACUAAUUGUCGUUCUUUUAAAAUAACAACUAAAAUAUUCAUAUUUAACACUUUUAUAAAAAUUAAUUUCAGGUUAAUUUGUUGUUUUGGCUAAAUAGACAUAGCUUUGAUAUCAGGUUAUAAGUGAACAUAUAUAUAUAUAUAUAUUUGUUGAGAAAAUCUGAAGCUCUUUUGGAUUUAAAAUAAGGGGUAAGGGUUUUGUAGGUAUAUUAUAAUUGAAGAUCAAGAUAAGAAGGAGGGUGAGGGAAAGGCCUUUAUCCAACCCUCUUACCCAACCUGUUUUGUUUUUUAUUUUUAUUGUUUAGAAAUUUAUAAUAUUUUAAAUUGUUUUUUUAAAUAAAUUUUUUUCUCUUGUGCAAGGAUAAAAUUACUUAGUUCUUUGACAAUUUCUCUGUUUUUAUUAAUUUUACAAUUUUUUUUUUCAAAUUUUAAGAUUUUUUUUUUUUAUUCUUGAAAACAUAAAUUUGAAAUUUUUUUAUUUAAUUCUAAAUUUUAUCCAUAAGAUAUUUUCAUUAAGGGUAAUUUUGGUGUGUUAAAAAAAGGUUUUUUUUUUAAUUUAUUUAAAAAGCAUCUAAUUUGUUGUUCAACAUGGUAUCCACUUUGGUAGAAGGUCAUAGGUUUGAGUCAUCUCUCCACAAUUUACAUGUUUGUUUCCUCUUUUGUUUGUUGGAUAUAAAUCCAAAUUUUGUGUAUCUCUCCCCAUGUGGGCCUAAAUUAAGCUUAAGCUUUUAGGAAAAAAUUGAUAGUUAUAUAUUUUAAAAACUUUAUAAGGAAAUUGAAAAUAAUAUUUUGGAGGGAAAAUGAUUAAAAUAAAAUUUAAAAAUGGAUAUUCAUUUUUUAAUAUUUUUUAUUUAUAAUUAUUUAUUAUAAUGAAAUGAGAAAAAGGAGAACUUUAUUUUGUCUGAUUUCUUCAACGACUAAUUCUCUAUAUUUUUAAUAUAAAAUUAUAAUUAAAUUAAAUCAAUUUUAAUCUAUCAUGAAAAUAAUUUUAAUAAAAAAUUGUGAAUAGAAAGUGAAUUAUAAAGGAGCCGGAGAAAAAUAAUAAAGUGAAAAUUUAAUUUUAACAAUAAAUGUUAAUAUAAAUAAUAUAAGAAUAAUAAAAUAAUGGUUGUUAUUAUUUUAAUUUAGAAAGGAAAAUUUUAGGUGUAAUUGGAAUAAAUGUUGCAAUGAAUUGGAUAGGAGAAUUAAUGAAAAUUUUAUUCAAAUAAUAACAUUUUAUUUAAAUAUUAGAAUAUUUAAAAUGAUUUACAUUUGGAAAAUUUGGGGUAAGAUGUUAGAUGAUUAAAAUAUUUUAAAAUUUAUGACUAAUUUUUUACUUUUGAAAAUAAAAAAGAGUAUAAUAUAUUUUAUUUUAUAUAAGAAGACUAAUUAAUUUUCAUUUUAAAAUAACGGUGAGAGUUAAUAAUUUUAUUAACUUUAUAUUUACAUUAAUCAUUAAUAAUAAUUUUAUUAUUUAGUUUUUUUUAAAAAGAAAAAGGCUAGUGGAUCAUAGAUAAAAUAUGAAGAAGUAGAGAAAAAUAAUAAAGUUAAAAGUGAAAUUUUAAUUUAAAAACAUUAAAUAUUAAUAAGAAAAACAUUAUAAAAAAAGGGUUAAUCUUUAAUAGGAAUAAACAUAGCAAUGAUUUUAAAAGCCAAAUUAUUGAAACUUUUAAUAGAAAAAAUAAUUUUAAAAAUAAAAUUGUUCAAAUGAGUAUAUGAUUUAAAAUGAAAUAAUAAGUGGUUGCAUAUGGAACGUAUCAAAAUGAAUGAUUGUUUGCCAAGCAAAGCUCUUGAUCACCAUUCAUGAAACAUUAUUUGUUUUAAUUUGAUUUAUCGAAUUUUUUUGUAACAUUAUUAUUUUUUUAAAUAUAAUAGAAGUGAACAUGUGAAUAUUUGAGAGUUAUAAAUUAUGUUUAAGGAAUAUUUUUAUAUUUAUCAUAACUUUAUAAUUGUUGAUGUUACAUAAUGCAUUGUAUCUCUGUUGUAGGUUUCAUUCCCUAACUUAGAGGAGUUAAAACUUGUUGGUCUUCCCAAGUUGAAGAUGAUAUGGCAUCACCAACUUUCACUUGAAUUCUUUUGCAAGUUACGAAUAUUAAGAGUGCAUAAUUGUCCACGUCUAGUCAAUCUUGUUCCAUCUCAUUUGAUACAAAGCUUCCAGAAUUUGAAAGAGCUAAAUGUGUAUGAUUGUAAAGCCCUAGAAUCUGUGUUUGAUUAUCGAGGAUUUAAUGGAGAUGGUGGAAUCCUCUCAAAAAUAGAAACAUUGACGUUGGAGAAACUACCUAGACUAAGGCUCACUAUAUGCAAUGAAGACAAGAAUGACAACAUGAGCUAUCUUUUAUCACCUUCCAAGUUCAAGGAUUUUUACCAACUCAAAGAGCUAUAUAUCAUUGAUUGUGGGAUGCUUUUGGAUGGAGAGGUUAGUUUUCUCCUAUAUUUUUUCUUUUUCCUUAUGCUACUUGAAAUAUUUAGGGAGAUAUACUAUAAAAAUAAUUUUGAAAAAAAGUAUGAAAAGAGUACAUUAAUCUUUAAUAAUAAUUUUAUUAAAUUAAUUUAAAAUUUAAAUUUAAAUAAUAAAAAUUGUGAAUAAUAAGUAAAUUAAAAAUGAGUUGAAAAAAGAAAAUUUAAAGUGAAAAAAUAAUUUUAAAAAGGAUAAAUGUUAAUAGAAAUAAUAUACAAAUAAGGAAAAAAUGGUAUUUAUUAUUUUAAUUUAGAAAGAAAAAAAAUUAGGUGCUAAUUGAAAGAAAUAUUACAAUGAAUUGGAAAGGAGAAUUAGUGAAAAUUUAAUUCAAAUAAUAAUAUUUUAUUUAAAUUUUAUAAUAUUUAAGAUCAAUAACAUUUGGAAAAAUUGGGGUAAGAUGUUAGAUGAUUAAAAUAUUUUAAAAUUUAUAACUAACUUCUUACUUUUGAAAAUAAAAAAGAGUAAAACACAUUUUAUUUUAUACAAGGUAAUUAAAACAUAUUUGAUUUCAUAUAAUGAGACUAAUUAAUCUUGAUUUUAAAAGAACCUUUAAAGUUAUAAUUUUAUUAUUUAGUUUGGAAAACUAUAAAAAGAACCGGUAGUUCAUAAAUAAAAUAUAAAGGGGUCGAAAUUAAGAAUAAAGUUAAAAUCAAUUUUUUUUUAAAAAAAAAUAUUAAAUAUUAAUAUAAAAACAUUAAAAAAUAAGGAAAUAUUGUAAAUUUUAUUUUAAUUUAAAUAAAAAGGUUUAGUGUUAUUAGAAAUAAAUAUAGUAAUGAAUUUAAAAGUAAAAUUAUUGAAAAUUUUAAUAAGAAAAAUAAAUUUAAAAAAGAAAUGAUUAAAGUUUGUAUAUGAUUUGAGAGUUAAAGAAUUAUAUUAACAACAUAUUUUUAUUGUUAUCACACUUUUAUAAUUGAUGAUGUCAUAUAUUAUAUAUUGGGUUUCUGAUGUAGGUUUCAUGUCCUCCUAAUUUGGAAGUGUUGGUUCUAAAAAGUCUUCCCAAUUUGAAGGAGAUAGAUGUUGGGAUCUUCGCACAGUUAAAAAUCCUAAUAUUAAAGAAACUACCUAGGCUAAGAUAUACAUUUGCUUCCCAGCUCAAGAAUUUUCACGAUCUCAAAGAGCUACACAUCAUUGAUUGUGGGAUGGAAGGCGGGAGAGAUGUCAGUACUCCUAGUAAUGAUGUAGUUCUCUUCAAUGAGAAGGUUAGUUUUCUCCCGUAUUUUUUAUUUUUCCUUAUACUACUCUCUUGAAAUAUUAAACUACCAAUCCUUUAAAAUAACAAUCAAAUUACUUUAUUAUCCUUUUUUUAACAUUUAAAAAAAAUUAAAAUACAAUCCUACAUAUUAUUUAUUACAUAGAAAUUAUAUAUACACAUCAUUUUUAGUUUGGACAUCCUUUCUCCUUCACACUUGUUUUUUCUAAAAAAAUUAUGUAUUAUUUUAUUGUUAACAUUAAAAGAAACGUAAUAUUUUUCAAAAAACAAAGUUAUGAACUUUUUCUUCGUAUCAAUUAUGUAAGUCUUGCAAUUUUAUAUUUUAUUUUGUAUGUUUUGAUUAAUUUUUUGAUUUUUCAUACUCUAUUUAUUUAAUAUUUUGUUUGAGACCCCAUUUAAAUAUAUUUCUUGAAAAAUAUUAAUUUUAUAAUAGUUGUUUGAUUUUUGGGGAAAUUAUUUAAAAUGAAAAUUACUUUUUAUUUAAAAAAUGGAAAAACUAAAAAAAUAUAUAUGUUAUAUUUUUUUUAUUGUGCUCUAAAAUUUAAAAUUUGUUUUAUUUUAAGUACAUCUCCUACAUUCUCACGUUAAUAAGAAUUUUUCAGGAUAAAAAGAUUUGAUAUUUUUUUAUUUAAAUUUAUCAUGCUCUACUAUGUUUAAUUCAUCCUUCUUAUAUACAUUUGUUAGAUAAAUAUUUUAUCAAUAAUAUCAAUAAAUUAAUUAAUUAUUGAUAAUUUAUUUAUUUAUAUGGUAUUUUAAUUUUACAAAAUAAUUUUUUUUCUUAAAUGGUAUUUUAAUUUUUAUAAAACAAAAAAAAAAAUUGUCAUCAAAUAAGAUAUCAUAAAUAUUUGUUUUAAUUAAGAGUUUUUUUAGGUUAAAUAAAAUAAAUUUUAAUCCUUUUAUGUUAAAAAAAAAAAAGAAAAUAAUAAAAAAUUUUCAAAUAUUUUAAUCCCAGUUGUGUCAAAAUAAUUUCGAAUUUUUUUUUUCUGUUAUAAAUCAAGUUGGGAGAUAUUCACUUGGACAUAUUGGGAAAUUUUAAUAUAUGAAAUGUGUGUGUGAAACAAAAGGAACCGUUUUCGACAUGCCACCUCUUCCCAAAAGUACAAAACUAUGUACCUUAUUUCCAUUUUCCACUGCUUUGCUCGCAUUGCAGUUGGCCUCAUGGCCUGACCUUGUUCUACUCAUCCCUCUUUUCUAUUAUUUUUAACAAAAAAUAAUAUAUAUAUAUAUAUAUAUAUAUAUAUAUAUAAGGGUAUUAUAAGGGUAUUAUGUGGGUCCCAAUAAAUUCUAGAUGUUUAGGUGAUAUUUAAUCCUUGAUUUACCAAAGUUUCCCAAAAUAUUCUAUCACAAUUUUCCAAUUCAUGGAUAUAAUCCAUAAAAGAUAAAACAAUUCUUCAAAAUCAGGUAACAAAAUGUAUUUUUCCUCUUAAAAAAAUUAAAAAUUCAAUGCAAUUGCUCCAUUAUAUUAUAAAAAGAAUCAAGAAGAAAUCACCAAAAGCUUGUUGAGAUAUUUUGGAUGUAUUUAUAAAAAUUAAUAAAUAGCAAAGUAUAUAUAGAGUAUAGUAGUGGAGAGCAUGUAAAUGUGGACAAUAUAUUAAAAAUUAAUAAAUGACAAUAUAUAUAGUAUGUGGAAAUAAUACAUGUAUAUCUUUUUUUUAAUUUGGAUGUUUUUUUUUUCUCUUUUACUCUUUUUCUUUGAAAAAAAAUUAUGUGUCAUUUUGUUGUUGACAUCUAUUUUACAAAACUUUGAAAAAGAAAAUUUUUGUAGUUUUUUAUUUUUAAAAAUAAAAAGAGUAAGACAUAAAAAUACAAUCCUGAAUAUUAUUUUUUAUAUGAAAAUUGUGCAUAUACAUAUACAUCCUUUUUAAUUUAAAUAGUUUUUCUCUUUCUCUUUUUCCUUUUUUUUUUUAAAAAAAAAAUUGUACUAUUUUUUUGUUAAUAUCAAAAUAAACAUAAUAUUUUUCAAAAACAAAAGUUAAAAGCUUUUUCUUUGUAUGAUGAAGUAAGUUUUGUAAUUUUGUAUUUUUUUAAUUAGUCAUACUUUAUUUACUGUUAGUCAGAAGCCCAUUUGAAUUGUAUUUCUUGAGAGAUAUUAAUUUUAUAAGAGUUGUUUGAUUUGUUUUGGAAAUUGUUUAGAACAAAAAUUACUUUUUCUUUCACUAAUGAAAAAUUUAUAAUGUAACAGAAGUGAAUAUGCAAUUAUUUCAGGGUUGAAUUGAAUUAUAUUUAAGGAAUUUGUUUAUGCCUAUCAUCACAACUUUCCAAUUGAUGCCUUAUAUUGUGUUUUUGCUACAGGCUUCAUUCCUUGAAUCAAGAGCCUCCACUGUGAACAAAAUUAUGGAUGCCUUAAGAGAUGACAAUAUCAACUUGAUAAGAAUAUGGGGCACGGCCGGUGUGGGCAAAACAACACUGCUGAAACAAGUGGCUCAACAAGCUAACCAACAACAGUUGUUCACCACACAAGCCUAUAUGGAUGUAUCCUGGACUCGAGACUCGGAUAAACUUCAAGGAGUUGCUGAACUUCAACAAAAAAUUGCAGAAAAGGUGUCGGGCGUGCCACUUUGGUUGCAGGAUGGAUCCGGAAUAACGGAUGAACUGAAGCGGAGACUGAUGAUGCUAGGGAAGAUCCUUAUUAUCUUAGAUGAUAUUUGGACGGAAGUUGAUUUGGUGAAAGUAGGAAUUCCUUUUGAAGGUGAUGAGACGCAAUGCAAAAUAGUGUUGGCUUCGAGAGAUGGAGACGUAUUAUGCAAAGACAUGGGCGCACAAAUAUGUUUUCAGGUGGAACCUUUGCCACCAGAAGAAGCUUGGAGUUUUUUUAAGAAGACAUCAGGUGAUUCCGUGGAAGAGGAUCUUGAACUGCGACCCAUAGCCAUUCAAGUGGUUGAAGAGUGUGAGGGUCUACCAAUUGCAAUUGUAACAAUUGCAAAGGCAUUAAAAGAUGAGACCGUGGCUGUAUGGAAGAAUGCCUUGGAACAACUCAGGAGUUGUUCACCAACAAACAUUAGAGCAGUGGAUAAGAAGGUUUACUCAUGUCUGGAGUGGAGCUACACCCAUUUGAAGGGUGAUGACGUUAAGUCGUUGUUCUUACUUUGUGGUAUGAUGAGCUAUUGUGAUAUUUCAUUGAAUCGCUUGUUUCAAUAUUGUAUGGGUUUGGAUUUCUUUGACCACAUGGAGCCAUUGGAACAAGCAACAAAUAAACUAGUUACAUUGGUGGAAAUCCUCAAAGCCUCAGGCUUGUUACUUGAUAGUCAUAAAGAGAGACACAAUUUUGAUGGAAAAAGAGCUUCAAGUUUGCUUUUCAUGGAUGCUGAUAACAAGUUUGUGAGGAUGCACGGUGUUGUUCGUGAAGUUGCCAGAGCAAUUGCAUCCAAGGAUCCUCAUCCAUUUGUAGUUAGAGAAGAUGUUGGAUUGGGAGAAUGGUCAGAGACUGACGAAUCCAAAAGGUGCACUUUCAUCUCUUUGAAUUGCAGAGCUGUGCAUGAGCUUCCUCAAGGGUUGGUAUGUCCAGAACUUCAAUUUUUUCUAUUGCAUAACAAGAAUCCUUCCUUGAAUAUCCCAAACUCAUUUUUUGAAGCAAUGAAAAAACUCAAAGUUCUAGAUUUGCACAAAAUGUGUUUUACAACACUACCUUCAUCCUUUGAUUCCCUUGCAAAUCUCCAAACAUUGCGUCUAAAUGGGUGCAAGUUGGUAGACAUUGCUUUAAUUGGAAAGCUAACGAAACUACAAGUUCUUAGCUUGGUGGGUUCUACAAUCCAACAAUUGCCUAAUGAAAUGGUGCAAUUGACCAAUCUAAGGCUGUUGAAUUUGAAUGAUUGCAAGGAGCUCGAAGUAAUUCCACCAAAUAUCUUAUCAAGCCUGUCUCGAUUAGAAUGUUUGUACAUGACUUCUAGUUUUACUCAAUGGGCGGUUGAAGGUGAAAGCAAUGCUUGUUUAUCCGAGCUAAAUCAUUUGUCUUAUUUGACAACUUUAGGUAUAGAUAUACCAGAUGCCAAUUUGCUACCAAAAGGCAUUUUAUUUGAGAACUUGACAAGAUAUGCAAUAUUUGUAGGCAAUUUCCAGAGGUACGAAAGAUAUUGUAGAACCAAAAGAGUGUUGAAGCUUAGGAAAGUCAAUAGAAGCUUACAUUUGGGGGAUGGAAUUAGCAAGUUGAUGGAGAGAAGUGAAGAACUAGAGUUCAUGGAAUUAAGUGGUACUAAAUAUGUUCUUCACUCAUCAGAUAGGGAAAUUUUUCUUGAACUGAAGCAUCUUGAAGUUAGUAGUAGUCCUGAGAUUCAAUAUAUCGUUGAUUCAAAGGAUCAACAGUUUCUACAACAUGGUGCCUUUCCUUCAUUGGAGUCAUUGGUUCUUAGGAGACUGCGUAACUUGGAAGAAGUAUGGUGUGGCCCAAUUCCAAUAGGGUCUUUUGGUAAUUUAAAAACUCUGCAUGUGACUUUUUGUGGUGAAUUGAAAUUUCUCUUUUUUCUUUCCACGGCUAGAGGCUUUUCCCAGCUUGAAGAAAUGACAAUAGAAAAUUGCUAUCUCAUGCAACAAAUAAUUGCAUAUGAAACAGAGUCAGAAAUAAAAGAAGAUGGACAUGUUGGGACCAACUUGCAACUAUUCCCAAAAUUGCGAUCCUUGAGACUCGAGAGGCUACCACAACUCAUCAACUUCAGCUCUGAGUUAGAAACAUCUUCCACAUCUAUGAGCACAAAUGCAAGGUCGGAAAACUCAUUUUUCAAUCAUAAGGUAUGUUAAAACUUAUUAACCAAUUUCUUUGGUUUUAUUUAUUUUUUUACAUGGCUUUACAUCAAUAUAAGUCAAAGGAAAAAACUAAGGUGGUCCCGCAUGCCCUUUCCAAACUCCACCAUGUUAAACUUAUUUGAGCAUUUAAAUUUAAAUAAUAUAAAAAUAAUUAAUAAUAUAUAAAAUAUGAAGAAGUUGAAAACUAAUAAGGUUAAAAGAAAUUUUAAUUUUAAACACAUUAAAUAUUAAUAGGAAUGAGUAUAAAAAUAAGGAAAAACUAUAAGUAUUAUUUUACUUCAAAAAAGAAAAAAAUUCAAGUUAAUAGGAAUAAAUAUAGAAUAAAUUUAGGAGUGAAAUCGUUGUAAUCUUUUAAAAGAAAAAGGAAAUUUUAAAAAGGCAUUAACAAGAAUUUAUUAAUGGGAGAAAAUAAAAGAGUGCAUGUGAUUUAAAAUAAUAAAUUAUUUAUAUGAAUAAAAUUAUUUUGUGGCAUGAGAAUCCCUUAUCAUUUCAUUUUAAAAAAAUAUAUAAUUAAAGUAAACUUGUGAAUAAUCCUAAGUUAAUGAAUUAUAUUUAAGGAAUAUGUUUAUGUUUAUCACAAAUUUCCAAUUGAUGAUGUUAUAUUAUAUUAUAGGUUUCAUUCCCUAACUUAGAGGAGUUGAUACUCAAUGAUCUAUCCAAAUUGAAGAAUAUAUGGCAUCAUCAACUUCUAUUUGGAUCCUUUUGCAAUCUACGGAUCUUAAGGAUGUACAAAUGUCCAUGUCUACUCAAUCUUGUCCCAUCUCAUUUGAUACACAACUUCCAAAAUUUAAAAGAGAUAGAUGUGCAAGAUUGUGAACUCCUAGAACAUGUUCCUCAAGGAAUUGAUGGAAAUGUUGAGAUCCUCUCAAAGUUAGAAAUCUUGAAGUUGGACGACCUGCCUAGGUUGAGAUGGAUUGAAGACGGGAAUGAUAGCAUGAAAUAUAUUUCCUCUCCUCUGACACUCAUGAAUAUUCAAAACUUCAAAGAACUACAUAUCACUAAUUGUAGAAUGGAAGACUUAUAGAAGAUGUAGUACUCUUUUGUGAAAAGGUUAGUUUUCUCCCAUACUUUUUAUUUUUCUCUCUCAUACUUUUUAUUUCUUCUUAUACUAUUUUUUGGAAUUAUUGAAAAAUAUAUUCUAUAAAAAAAAAGUAUGAAGAUUAUAUUAAUGUUUAAUAAUAAAUUAUUAAAUUAAAAAAUUUAUUUAAUUUUAAAUAUUUUUCAUAUAAAAGAUUAAUUAUCAUUCCUCCAAAAUACAAUCAAAUCACCCUUAUUUAAAAAAAAUUAUAGAAUUUAUUUUUAAUAGAUUAAAAAAAUUGUGAAUAUUCUAGCUCUUUACAUUCAUAAUAAUUAACUCCCUUUAUUUUCAUCUAAUUUAACUAAAUAAUACACCUUUUUUACAAUGAAAAAACCUUUGGUAAUUUAAAUUAGUAUAGUAUGCGAAUGAUAUAAUAUAAGUUUAUGAUAAGUAUAACUUUCAAUAUGAAUACUAAAAAAGGAACAAUAUUUUGUAUGUUUACUAUUAACAUGUAAUAAUAAAUUUUAUUAAUUAAAAAUUAUUUUCAAAUAAUAUAAAAAAAUAAAUAAUAAAUAAAAUAUAAAUGAAUUGAAAAACAAGAUUAAAGAAAUUUUAAUUCUAAAAAACAUUAAAUAUUAAUAGGAUGAAGGUAGAAUCCAUCUUUUUAUCUAGAAGCAAGAAUGUUUUUUUUUUCUUUCUUUCUAAUAUAUUCUACAAACACUAUAGCUAAGUUUUACCUUAUUAAUAUUGAAAUGGAAUUAUUUUCUUUUGUUCUUAUCAUUUUCAUUUUUUUAGGUUUACUAGUUUUGCUCUAUAUUUUCCUUUAUUUAUAUUGAAAUGGUAUCAUUCCUAUUUGUUCUUAUUAUUUUCAUUUUUUUAGGUACACUAGAUUUAAUAUAUGUUUUGCUCUAGUUGAGAUGAAGUGUAAAUGCAACAUUUGUAAAAGAAAUUGUUAAUGAUGUUUGCGAAAUUGUCAAUGAUGUUUCCUUCAAUUGUUUCCUUCAUUUGAAAGAGUUUAUUUUUUCAAACACAUGCUAGAUUUUCAUAUGCAUUUUGUUCUAGUCAUUGUCAUAUUCCUAAUAAAAUGUGUUUGCUAAGUGUGUGGUCUUGCAUAAUAAUGAAAGUUCUAAUUUAUCAGUUUUCAACUUCUUGUAUUGCCUAUGUUAACAUUUCAUAAAUUAUGAAAUAAAUGUGAUAAAAGAAUCUUUUUCAUUUGCUAAAUUUAUGUAUAUUCUGAGUAAAUUUUUAAUCAUGUCUUAAAUUAUAAAAUAUUGCUUUCAAAGGUGAAAUAUGAAAUUGUGAAAAUUCAUUAAAUAUGAUCUAAUAAUAAAUAAAGGAUUCAUAACAUCAUUUGAUAGGGUGUUCAAAGUUUAGCUUGACAUAUAAUUUUAGUCAAAUAUAUUCAAGAAUGCCUUGUGAAGACAAUUGUUAAGAGUAAAAAUCUCUUUAUUUAUUCGAUGAGUCUAAUUGACUAGAAUAUUUUUCUUGGAUGAUCGACCUCAAAUAACAUGAUCCAAAUGACUUUUUCACUUGUAUGCUCAUUGUUAAGAAUCCAUCCAUUUUAUGUUUGGAUGGUUAUUGAUUGCUAGGAAAAUCAAAUUCACUUGCAAAUUGCUUAAUUAUGAUAUCUAAUCAUGUAACCAAAGUGACAAUAUUCUAAAGCAACCUCCAAGUCUUUCGAGGGUUAUGAAAGGUCUACUUGAAAAAUAAAUAGAUAAAUAGGACUAGCAACCUGUCAAUUUGACCAUCUAGUGAUUUAGGCUUUAGAUGACACCACAUCGAAUUUAGAAUGAUUUGGUAAUAACGUUAUGUUAGAGGGACGCCAUAUGUUGUCCUAAGUGUAAUUCAGAAUUUGCAUGCAUUAAGUGAAAAAUUCACGAGUCUUCUUUCGUGUUUAUUAUUCUAAACUUCAUGUUCUAAACAACAUUAUUAUGAAACUUAAGCCAUUUCACCAAAAAGAAAGAAAACUUGAUAUCCAUGAUCCAAGAAUAACGGAAUAACACAUGAUAAGUUGAUACUUAAAUACUUUAACCGUCUAAUGUUUCUUAUGAAAAUAUAUCUUUUUAUCUCUUUCCAUUGUAGAUACUACCAAAAGAAUAAGAUAUGGUCACGUAGUUUUAGAAAGGGUUAACAAAAUUCGCAGCUAAAAAGUAUAUAUAACCUCACAGCUGUGGGAUGAAAUUGGGCGCCACUAUAAAUAUCCUAUUGCUGUGGGAUGAAAUUGGCCGCUACCAUAUAUGGCCCCAUGGACGCCACUAGGCCGCUACCAUAAAACCCAUAUACAAACUGCAACAUUUCUCCCCUGCUCACCCUCAUUGCCAAACCCACUUCUCUCCUGCCUACCAUUGAUUGCCAAAGCCAUUUCUUCUUUCAUCAUUGUCGGUACCAAACUCGUUCUUUUUCUCUCUCUCUUGCAAUAGUUGGCUGAUUCUUCAAGCAUUGCGACGCGGCUGGUAUUUUUUUCUUUCAACAUUGUCAUUUUAUUUUAUUUUUUAUUUUUUCGAUUUCACUCUUAUUUUCUACCAUAGGGUUUUCUGUAGGGUUUCGAAUUGCUAGGGUUUCAAUUUACCAGAGGAUUUGGACGCUUUUCAAGUAUGACUUAUCCAUUUUUUUGUCCACUGAGUACUGUAGAAAUUUCGAUUUAGACGUUUUCUAGCUGAUUUUCGUUCCCUUCUUGUGGAUUGAGAUAAGCUCUUAAGUUUGAUGAUUUCUCAAAGAUGCUGUUGGUGUAAUUUGAAGCCCUAAACGUAGGUAUGAAAAUUCCACCUGAGAGUGCCCUAAAAGGCUUUACUGGGUUAGACAGGAAAGGUAUGAAGAUCAUCCACCUACUUGGAUAUCAUUGAAACAUAACUUUUGGGGAAAUCAAGCCUAACUUGAACUUGAUUCAACCUUGCACCUAUGCUUCUAGGAAAAUUAUUGAUUUUGUGAAUGGGCUGUGUUGACUUGGUCUACGGAUGUUUGAUGUUCCGUUUUUUUUUUUUCUCUGGAAAAAACUAGGCCAUGAUGUGUGUAUUUGAUGAAUUAAUUCAACAUAUUUGGUUGGUUGAUUGGGUAAACCUUGUUCUGACCUAAUUUAAUAAAAAUCCUAAAUCUAUUAGGUAAUAUUAUUGCUGGAUGUAACAUAUAUGAUAAGAGUUAUUCUCCAGUAUUUUCUAAUUUGGAUAAGGUAUGAGACAUGAAAACAAUUUGAUGGAAACCUUCUGAAUCCCAUUCUGUUGUGCUUGUUUCUUGUGUUAUGUUGUUUACCCCUUUUUAAUUUUUUUUUAUUUCUUUGCCAAAUAAGGUGAGAAAAAAGGACCUCAAGUUUGUAGCUCAUUUUUACAAAUUGUUUAAGGCACUGGCUUCUCACCUAUGGAUGUUGAUGCCCUUUGCUCUGUUUCUUUUAUCCUUUUGUUGUUGGUUUUAUGGCUACUAGAAUUUGUUGACAUUGCUGUUACUAGAUGCUACUUUGGGCAUAUUGUUUUAGCAAGUUACCAAGUUUGUUGGAUUCUCCUUUAUGUUCUCUAGUUUGGAAACUAAGACAAGUAUCAAGAACGGGUAUCAAACCCCUAUUUCUUAUCCCUUCUCAAUUGAGACAAGUAUCAAUUUACUGGUGACCCUUUUCCAUAUGGAUUUCUAAUGCUAAAAUUGACCUCUUCCAUAUGUAAAGUUUGAUUGGUGUCUUAAUCCCAAAAGUUCAUCGAAUAACUCAGACACUACUAUUGAAGUAUAUCGUUUCAAAUAUAUCCUUAUGCCAGCUCACAUUAAAAGAAGAUAGGGUAGGGAGGAAGAACCCCAAAUUUAAUUGUGACACCAGCCUAGCCAUUACCAUAUAAGAUGAGCCAAAAAAGGCGUUCAAAAUCACAUGUGAGCUGUUAAUUCAUCAUGCCACUCAAAUCUGCUCAUCAUUUCUCACUUGUGACGUGAAAAAUCUGUAUUUAUGUAUGUAGCUUUAACAGGAAACCGUUUGCCUACACUACUAUCCAAGCCAAAUUUCAGAGAGACAAAUUCUAGGAAUACAAGUAGGGAACUUAAUUUGCCUUCAUCAAGCUCCCUUAUAUUUGGAAGGAUAAAAAUUAUGUAUGACGCUUGAUAAUUAAUUAUUUUAAAAAUCACUUUAUUAAUUUUAGAAUAUGUCACUAAAAAUACUAUUACAAAUUUACAAAGUACUUUUUCUAAUUUAUAUUAUAUUAAUUGAUUCUUAAAUUUUAAUAGAAGUGUGAUUGAAAAAGAAAAUAGUAGCAACUGAAGUGGUUGGUAAAAUAUAAGCAAAUACUAGACAAUAAAUUAUUACUUUCAAAUUAUAUUUUUGUAUAUUAUUGCUGGACAGGAAAAAUCUUAUUGCUUCUUAGGUAUGUCUUACCAAGGUAAAUGAGAAAAUCUAAUCAAGUAGUUAUCUCUUUUGCAUGUGAAAGUGUUGGUCAUGUAGUCAUAUGCAUGGCUAUAACAUGUAGGACAAGAAGCCUUGAACACUUUAGAAUAGUCUGUUGGCAUGCAGGUUUUAGGAGUAUGGAAAUUGGCAUGUUGUAGCCAUCAACUAGGCUAACACCAUAGAAAUCUACUGGUUUGUCAAGGGUAUACUCUGCUAGUGUUGCAACCGCUGUAGUAGAUAGCAGGUGUAGAAGUCACCAAUGAUCCAUACCGUAAGCCCAUUUGCAUGGUUUCAAAAGCACAUAUCAGACAGUACUAGAUCAGGAGCACUGACAAUUUAUAUUUUCUGGAAAGAUGAAUUCUGCUAAUCCGCAGGAAAUAAUCUAGCAGAACUCUUCCAUUUUUAAUAUUAUCUAGUAUUAAAGUAACCAACAAGCAUACUUUAGUCCCCAUUUAGUCUGGUUCUCAAAAUUGCAGCAUGCAACAUGGUAUGCCAUUGCUAAAACUUCAUUAGACUAGAUUGACUUGUUCACUAGAUGAUCCUGGUUCAGUUCUGAGGUUUCUAAUGGGCCACCAAAGAAGACUCCUCACCUGAAAAGGCAUCUAGUACUUUGGAUUUUGGUAUGCUUGAAGAUCACUUACUCCAGUCAAGUUUAGUCGGUAAUAGACCCUGAGGAAGAAUGGCCUGCAAACAAUAUGAUGGAGCAUCAAUAGUUGAGGAAGAAUGGCCUCUGUUUGGUAAUUGUUAAGGCAUUCAGCAUGAAACAAACUAAUAAUCUUUAUGGGUAAAUGAUUUUGUUUUGAUAUUGAUGAAUUGUAGCCUUGUCUUUACCUGAUGUGAACUCCUAUCCUCCAUUGUUUUGAAUAUCUUAAGAUAAUAUCAAGCUGAAUAGAAAGAUGGGAGCAUAGUGGAGUGUCUAGGAUCCAUGCCCCUGGUGUUUUUGGAGUGAGCAUUGGAGAAGAAUUAGUUUCCUGGCCUACUGUCUAAACAUUGAAGGUAGGAUUCAUUUGCUCAGGAAUCUGCUACCUGCUCCCUUAAGAUGAAUUAAAAGGAUGUAUCUUUGAGGCGGGAAGCCUGGAAGGCAAGGCAUACAAUUGAUAUAAGCAUAACAAUAAACUUUUUGAAGAUGUUUAAAUUAUGAUAUUGGAAAUUAGUUUGGACCAAAAUAUUCAUGGCUAGUCAUUAUAAAUAUAGGCAUCUGAGAUUGCCCUCAUAUUUUCCAAGUUUCUAAAUUGAUGGUCACCUGUGUGUAGCUGAAUUUCUUUUUGUUAAAAUGCCCUAUGCCAUUGGGUUUAAACCAUAAUUUUGCUAGGGUCUUUCUGCUGUUGCUUAGAGAAACCUAAACAUUCUAGAACUUCAAAGUCCAUUCUCUUUUCUUAAUUGCUUGUCUCUCUCAUUGAACUGUUCCCAUUAAUUUCCCAUGGAAAGUACAGUUCUCCUUGUUACGUCUGUGAUGCGGUAUGGUUUGAAUCUCUCUCUAUUUGUUGAUGCCCACUCUAGGUGAAAGAAACUGCAGAAAAUGCUGAUGAAGCUAUGAGAUAACUUCCAAAUGCUAAUUUGGUAAGGUCCCAGAUUGUUUAAACCAUAUCUUUAUAAAAGAAGUAUAUCUUGAAUAGUAACAACAUUUUUUUCUUUUUUCACGAACCAGAGGAUUUGUGGAUUUAUCAUUCAAAGGUUGUUCUCCCCAAGCCUCAUAGGAAGGAAACUCCACAUGGAGAGCUAUAUAGAAGGUGCAUUGGCUAGAUAAAUAUAACAUGGUACUUAUACCACAUUUUUCUGCAUUCCAUGUUAUUUUCCUGGAUUUUUAUUUUAUUUUAUUAUUAUACUCUAAUUUAACACUAUGCUUUCUUUAUCUCAUUCCUUUACUUAGGUACUCAUUUGCAGAUUCUAGAUGCUGAAGAAUAGAUAGGCCUGAAGCAUUUUAGGCCGGUAAAACCAUUGGGAUCUGGUGACACUGGCGGGUUUAGAUGGUUUUUCUAUUUGUUGCCCAACUUUUUGCCCCAAUUUUGUUGGAAUUAUGUUCUAUCCUAUGGCUCCUAUUUAGGAACCAAAGGAUUUAUUUCCCUUUUAGGCCUAAUUUGACUCCAUUCAUUUCUGGGUGUUGAAAAUUUUUCGUUUUUGAGAAGAUUUGCUUCUGGGUAUUUAUUGUGUGUUGUUUAUCUUGAAGAAACCGCAUCUAUCAGUUGCAAUUUGCUUUUACAGGAGCAAGUUAUAGGCAUGUUUCCUCUUGAUUCUUUCAUUCUCUGUUCCCAUAUAUUUGUGUUCUCGGUUCAUGUUUCAGGAUGAAUCUAUGUUGAUAUGGUACUCUAUCAAAGAAGAGAAACAACUUAAACUAAGCAAUGUUUCAAGAAUUAUUCUUGGACAGUGUACUAUAAGUUUCUAUAAAUCAUAACCUGAGGCAACUUUUAGACCAUUCUUGAAUUCAAACUUACAUCUUGUUCUUAUGUUUUCCAUCUAUUGUUGUAGUUCAUCCAAAUCUCUCCCCACUCAUAUCCACUCUUGAGUUGAGGCCUCUCAACCUUUCAAUGUAUGCCAUUGAUUUUGAGGAUAGUUUCUUCUUAAAAGUUGCAGCUAUAGUGAAUUUUGGUGCUCCAUAACUACUCUUCAGUGUUUACUAGCAUUACUUAUUGUCAGUUCCACAGUAGUAUGACUAAUAUAUUUAUGUGUUUGUGAGAGUUUUUUCAUAUAUACAAAUGGAAUCUUAUGAAGUUAUUCUAGAAGUAAUUUUUUUUUGAAUUUCUAUUGGAUUAUGAUUUGGAUUUAUUUAUUUCUUUUUCUUGGUUGGUUGCACCUUUUGAUUUGCAAGAAAAGAGGAUGAAAAUGAAAAGCUAAAGAUAUUCUUGUUAAUUUAACCAUUUGAUUCUCUUUCAGGCAGAAUAUGAGGGAAAUUUGAAGGGAAUCCUUGGUUACACUAAUGAUGAUGUGAUAUCAAGUGAUUUUGUGGGAGACUUCAUGUCACACCCCAAAUUCUGGGCAACCCAAAAUUUGGCCUAUGACCCCAGGUCAAAGGUUUGACCCUAAGGGUUCCUCCUAAUACACGUUCUGAAAUUAUUUUUAUUUUUCUACGCAUAAUCACACUAAAGCUCCCUCCAAUUAACAAUUCAAUUUAUCAACAUACUAACCACUACUCAAGAGCAAUUAUAUAUAAUAAUGAUCAUUAAAAUCUAGAAAUAAGAGUUCACAAUUGAACAAAUUAAUCAAAAUAAAGUCUCAUUACAAAAAUAUAGUUUCAAAGUUUGCUAAUACAAGUCCCAAAAUAGCCAACAUAACAAAUACACUACAAUUCGAUAGGCUGCUCCAAGAUCUCCUAGGGCAUCUUAAAGUCCUCCUUACCUCACCUAUGGAUCCUCAGGAGUUACAUCUACAUCUAAAAAGAUGUAAAAAGAAAGGGGUGAGCAUUCCACAUUGCUUAGUAGGAUGUCUUACAUAGGGUGUCUUACACCUAAGGGGUUAAUUGGAAUACUAAGUUCCAAGUGAAUACAAAAGAAACAUUCGACCAGCAUUGGUCAACCCACAUAUUUUAAUUUCUAUAAUUAUAACAAUUCCACAAUUUUCAACAAUUAAAUAAAAUGCAUAUAAAUAUGUGACACACACACUCAUACAAUGCAUUGUCGUUCUCGGGCUUUCAUUGAAUGAUACACGUUCGUACCCAAAUACACUCCCCAUUUGAAGUCUUAUUUUUGGGUCUUUCACCCUUGGGAUCUUUCUCUCUUCUUAAUUUGUCACACAUGAGCCUUUACUGUUCAUUAGUAUUUCAUUUUUCUUCUUUUUUUCAUUUCAUGCACUUUUCUCAAUUUUUAUUUUUUCCUUCACACAACCAUGAUGCAAAUGAAAUGCACUGAGGUCAAUUAUAUUAUUCGCAAAUAUCACAAUAUCAAAUAAAAAUUUUCAACUAGUCUAAAUAUUAUUGAAAUUACAAUCAUACCACAAUUUCAUAAUUUUUCAACAAUCCCAAUAAUUCAAAUAAUCAAAUAUAAUUAUUUUCUCCAUAAUAAAAUUAUCAAAAACAAUAAAAUAAAUUUCCAACAAUUCAAAUCUCAAUUAAACAUAAUUUAUAGCAAAAUUCCAUAAUUUUCUAACAACACCAAUACUCCAAUAAUCAAAUAUAAUUAUCUUUCCACAAUAAAAUUGUCAAAAAUAUUCCAAUAAAUUAUCAAAAAAUCCACAUAUUAAUAAAUUAUAAUUUAUACGACAAUUUCAUUUAUUCUCAACAAUUCCAUUAAUUUUAACAACCCAAAUGCAAUCAUUUAUCGAUCAAAAAAAAAAAAAAAUUCGUCAGCACCAAAUUUUCAAAAAUAUUCCCAAAUCAUCUAAUCAAAUUUCCUAUAUCACAAAUAUUACCUAUUUAUCUCCUAACAACAAAAUUUAUAAUCUUUUUCAAGAAAAAAAAUAUUUAAUUAAAGUUUUAGGGUUAAGUUUCCUUACCACAGUUCUACCAAUUGGACCGUUGAAAACAAAAUCAAUCAUCAUAGAAACGUUCCUUGCAUUGAGUAGAACUCUCCCGCAAAAUUCCAUGUGAAACAUAUCUCGUUUGACUGUCCAAAUGGUCGGCUAAAGGCAACGGCACUGUGACUCUCCCUAUCGCCACCAAGACCCCUGCCCUUUCUGCCACUUCUCUUUUCCUUUUCUCCUUCCCCUUUUUCAUUUCUUAUUCAUUUUGCCUUUAAGCCUCUCAGCCACUAAAUGACCCAUGACCCAACACCAUUCAAAGCCUUUGAAUUAUUGAUUUCUUGUUUUGUAUUUUUUUUUUCUUUUUCAAUUCAUUUCCCUUUCUUUUCUUAAUUCAUUUUUCAUUUCACUUCAUUUUCAUUCAUUUUUUUUUCUAACAACACACGAAAUAAAUUAACAAACACUAUCCUAAAAAAUUUUAACUUUUUCAAAUUUAUUAUUAAGCAAAUUAAUUCAAUUAAAAUUAACUAGAACUAAUUAAGUAAAAAUUAAAUUAAUUUGCAUAAUAAUAAAUUUGAGAAAAUUAAAAUUUUUUGGGAUGAUGUUUGUUAAUUUAUUUUUGUGUGUUGUUAAAAAAAAUGAAUGAAAAUGAAGUGAAAUGAAAAAUGAAUUAAGAAAAGAAAGUGAAAUGAAUUGAAAAAGAAAAAAAAACAAAAGAAAUCAAGAAUUCAAAGGCUUUGAAUGGUGUUGGGUCGUGAGCCAUUCAGUGGCUGAGAGGCUUAAAGGCAAAAUGAAUAAGAAAUGAAAAAGGGGAAGGAGAAAAGGAAAAAAGAAGUGGUAGAAAGGGGAGGGGUCUAGGCGGUGACAGGGAGAGUCAUAGUGCCACUACCUUUGGCCAACCGUUUAGAUAGCCAAACGAGCUACAUUUCGCGUGGAAUUUUGAGGGAGAAUUCUACUCAAUGCGAGAAACGUUUUGUAGACCCCCGGAAGCAGGGACCUUUUUUUUUUAAUUUUAAUUUUUAUUUCCCGGGGCUCGACAUGAUGGGAGAGCUGUGUUUGGGGGCUCUGAAGCUGCAGGGGAGAAGGCAGAGCUUUUGGGGGCUACAGAUGGGACGGGAUACGGUUGGCUUGCGGAGGAAGACAAGAAGAGAAGAAAAACAGAGGGAGAAAAAAAAAAAAAAAAGGAGGAUUCUUCGGGGGGAGAGGAGCUUGCCUGAGGAAGAAGGAAUGCGCAAAGGAGUCACUGUGAAAGAGGCAUCUCAGGUAUUAUUCCUAUAAACUAUUUACUCAUUUUCGUGUUAAUGCCAUUUUUUUCUUUUUGUUAAGAAACUCUGUUUUGGUGUUGGAGCAUGCUCGCACUCACGUUGCGUGUGAUUGCUAACCCGUUCUCAUGGGAUUAUUUUCCGAGUUUUCUUUCUUUCUUUCAUGAGUUGUUGGCCGUCACGACUUGAUUGCUAUUUGCAAACCUUUUGGAAAUUCAUUUGAUACCCAUAUCCUCGUUCCCAUGCAUACGCCUACUUAACCGCAUUACCAAACCCAUUUUUUCCUCUUACCUGUGCAUGGCUUCGCAUGGCCAUCUUGUAUACCCCUUGCCCAUAUUCUCGGACCCAGCUGGAAAAGUGUCACGGGAAAUGAUCUUUGAGGCCUGAGAACAGCCCAGAACCCUUGCCUUGCUGCCCUAGUUGACCACACACUUGUCAAGUGUGGAUGCAAUACCAUGUUCAUAGGGUUGUCGGCGAGGAAGGCUGCCACAUGCGCAUGCGCUAUGAGAGGUGGCCAUGACGAUGAUAACCAGAAUUCUGGGUGUAGAAACACGACACGAAAGUUUGCUCCAUUACCUACUUCCCCCCGCUCAGCUUCAUACCCAUUUCUCUCACAUUCUUGAAUUUCCAUGCAAACGAUGUUCCAUGCACGCAGCUGCCCUUGCCACACUCCAUUUCGUUUGGUCCUCAAGCUCAUCAUGCCAACAUUCCACUUUCUCACACCUCACAUCCAGCAGGAUUUGCUAGCCACAUCCUUGAAUCCCUCAUCCACCACCUUCGGUCUCUCCAACAACGACUCAUUGGUGGACGCCUUCAACGGGGUCUCCGUCCUCUAGGAGCACGUCGUGACGCAGCGGCAGUCACUGACCUCCUCGCGGCAGCAACUCCGCCGUCUCGGCGCCGCCCUCAAAGCCGCCACCCCUUCCCUCUCCUCUACGUCGUUGCUGGUGGAGGCCUCGCCUGAGGGAGCUGCCCAGAUGGAUGGGGGUUGCCUUGGGCUGUGAAGGAGCUCGUGUUGGUGACGGGCUUGGUGCUGCCCAUGAUGGCUAGUGGGCUUGAAGACUUAGGUGUUUUUGUUAGUGGCUUUGGGCUUGUGAUGAAGCCCAAGCCCAAGCAGGGAGAUGAAGAAAAUAAUGAGGAAAAGAAGACCUCACUGAUUUAUUGGCCCAUUCUAAAAUUGGCCCAUUGGCUUGCUCCCACUUUAUACGAAUCACUUUCUUUAAAGCACUAAUUUCCUAAUAAACUUUCUAACUUCCAAUUUCAAAGCCUAAUUUAUAAAAAUUCAACCUUCAAAUAAUAUUUCAAAAUUCCGAUCUUUAAAAUUCAAUUCCAAUUUCCGAAAAUUCUCAUACUCAUUUUAAUCUAUUUAAUUAUUAUUAUUUUAUGUAUUUAUUUUAAAAUUCCAUUUCAAACAAUUCUUUAAAAUUUCCGAAUUUCAAAUUUAAUUUCUAUUUCUGAAAAUUCCAAUAUUCACCUCAAUUUAUUUAAUUAUUAUUAUUUUAUUUAUUUAUUCUAAAAUUCCAUUUUAAACAAUUCAUUAAAAUUUCCACUUUCAAUUUUAAUUUCUAAUUCCAAAAAUUCCAAUAUUCACAUUAAUCUAUUUAAUUAUUUUAUUUUAUUUAUUUAUUCUAAAAUUCCAUUUUAAACAAUUCUUUAAAAACUUUCGAAUUCCGAAUUUAAUUUCUAUUUCUGAAAAUUCUAAUAUUCACUUUAAUCUAUUUAAUUAUUAUUAUUUUAUGUAUUUAUUCUAAAAUCCCAUUUUAAACAAUUCAUUAAAAUUUCCGACUUCCGAUUUUAAUUUCUAAAUUCCAAAAAUUCCAAUAUUCACAUUAAUUUAUUUAAUUAUUAUUAUCUUAUUUAUUUAUUCUAAAAUUCCAUUUUAAACAAUUCAUUAAAAUUUCCGACUUCCAAUUUUAAUUUCUAAAUUCCUAAUCUCGAAAAUUCACGUAUUCCCAUUAAUUUAUUUAAUCAUCAGUAUUUUAUUUAUUUAUUUUAAAACUCCAAUUUAAAUCAAUUCUUUAAAACUUCUGAUUUCCGAAUUAAAUUCCCAAUCCCAAAAAUUCCCAUAUUCCCAUUAAAUUAUUUGAUCAUUAGUAUUUCAUUUGUUUAUUUAUUUCAAAACUAUAUUUUAAUACAAAUUCUUUAAAACCGCUGAUUUUCGAAUUAAAUUCCCAAUCCCAAAAAUUCCCAUAUUCCCAUUAAAUUAUUUGAUCAUUAGUAUUUUAUUUAUUUAUUUAUUUCAAAACUUAAUUUUAAACCAAAUUCUUUAAAACCACUGAUUUUCGAAUUAAAUUCAUAAUCCCAAAAAUUCUCAUAUUCCCACUAAAUUAUUUGAUCAUUAGUAUUUUAUUUAUUCAUUUAUUUCAAAACUCUAUUUUAAAUCAAAUUCUUUAAAACCGCUGAUUUCCGAAUUAAAUUCCUAAAUCCGAAAAUCCCCAUAUUCCCAUUAAUUUAUUUAAUCAUUAGUAUUUUAUUUAUUUAUUUAUUUCAAAACUCCAUUUUAAAUCAAAUUCUUCAAAACUUCUGAUUUCCGAAUUAAAUUCCUAAUCCCGAAAAUUCUUAUAUUCUCAUUAAUUUAUUUAAUCAUUAGUAUUUUGUCUCCAUUUUAAAUCAAUUCUUUAAAACUUCAGAUUUACAAAUUAAAUUCCUAAUCCUGAAAAUUCUCAUAUUCACAUUAAUUUAAUCACUAAUAGUUUGUUUAUUUAUCUUAAAAUUCUAUUUUAAACAAUUCUUUAAAAUUUCUGACUUCUAAAUCUAAUUUCUAAUUUCAAAAAUUCCAGCAUUCCCAUUCAUUUAUUUAAUCAUUAUUUUCGUCCUUAUUAUCAUUAUUCCAUUUAUUUAUUUCAAAAUUUCAUUCUUAAACAUUUUUUUUGAAUCCCAAUUUCCGAACUUAAUUUCUGAUUUCUAAAAUUCUAAAUCCAAUUUUCUCUCUAACAGUUUUAAUUCUCUUCGGGUUUCAAAUAAUCUUUGAUUUCUCUUGAUUUUAUAUAAGCAUGAAUGCUAUUUUCAUAAUUUCAGAAUAAUGGAAUUUGUGAGACUAAUUCGUGCAAAAUAGAAUGGGCUUUGGUGGGGGCCCCACAUAUGAGAUUUCAUGAUUGAUUGACUGAUUGAUCGAUUCAUUUGCCAUGUGUGAUCGAUUUAUUUUGUUCCUUGAUAUACAUAUAAUCAUUUUGCGUUUAUUCACUAACCUCAUUCCAUGAUAGCGCGUUGCUGUUUGCUGCCCAGGUACGCAUUCACUCAUUCUGAUCAUUCACUAUACAUAUUCUGAUUCUCAUAUAUGCAUGAUUGAUGUGAGUAUCCAUUGACUUUCUUAUUCGAUUGUCACACCAGUUUCACUUUAUUAGUAGAGACCCGACUUUAGGGACUUAGAGGGGUGCUACGGUCUCUACCGUACCUUCCCGAUAAGUAAUCUGACCCGGUUUUUCGCAGACCGCCUUUUUCAAAAUAAGGAGUCACACUUAGGGUUUUUCUUUCUUAUUUUGUUUACCCUUUAAAAAUAAAACAAAAAUAAGUGGCGACUCCAAGUCAUUUUUUCUUAAUCAAAUAAAAUCAUUUUUCUAACAAAAAUCGAGUUCGCCAUCGAGUGGGAAACGCAUUGAGCCGAAAUGCGGGGUCCACACGUUUCUACGCUGGUUGAUUUUGUUUUCAACGAUUUGAUUGGUAGAUCUGUGGUAGGGAAACUUAACCCUAAAACUUUAAUUAAAUGUUUUUUUCUUGAAAAAAAUUAUAGAUUUUGUUGUUAGGGGUUAAAUAGGUAAUAUUUGUGAUAUAGGAAAUUUUAUUGGAUGAUUUGGGAAUAUUUUUGGAAAUUUGGUGAUGACGAGAAUUUUUUUUUUGGUUGAUAAAUGAUUACAUUUGAGUUGUUAAAAUUAAUGAGAUUGUUGAGAAUAAAUGAAAUUAUGGUAUAAAUUAUAAUUUAUUGAUAUGUGGAUUUGUUGAGAAUUUAUUGGAAUAUUUUUGGUAAUUUUAUUGUGAAAAAAUAAUUAUAUUUGAUUAUUGAAAUUAUUGGAGUUAUUGGAAAAUUAUGGAAUUUUGUUAUAAAUUAUGUUUAAUUGAAAUUUGAAUUAUUGAAAAUUUAUUUGGUUGUUUUUGGUAAUUUUAUUGUGGAGAAAAUAAUUAUAUUUGAUUAUUGGAAUUAUUGAGAUUGUUGGAAAAUUAUGAAAUUGUGGUAUGAUUGUAAUUUCAAUGAUAUUUGGACUAGUUGAAAAUUUGUAUUUGAUAUUGUGAUAUUUGUGAAUGAGAUAAUUGACCCUAUUGCAUUUUAUUUGCAUUAUGGUUGUGUGAAGGAAAAAAUAAAAAUUGAGAAAAGUGCAUGACAUGGAAAAUGAAGAAAAAUGAAAUAGUAAUGAAAAGUAAAGGUCCAUAUGAGGCGAAUUAAGAAGGGAGAGAGAUCCCUAGGGUGAAAGACCCAAAAAUUUACCCUGAAAAGACUCCGAAUGGGGAGUGUAUUUGGGUAUGAACGCGUAUCAUUCGGUGAAAGCCCAAGAACGACAGUGCAUUGUAUGACUCUGUGUCAUAUAUCCAUAUGCAUUUUAUUUAAUAGUUGAAAAUUGUGGAAUUGUUAUAAUUAUACAAAUUAAAAUAUGUGGGUUGACCAAUGCUGAUGAAAUGUUUCUUUUGUGUUCACUUGGAACUUAGUAAUUCCAAUUAACCUCUUGAGUGUAAGGCACCCUACUGAGCAAUGUGGAAUGUUCACCCAUUUCUUUUUACAUCUUUUUAGAUGCAGAUGUGACUCUUGAUGAUUCACAGGUGGGGCAAGGAGGACUUCAGGAUGCCCCAAGAGAUCUUGGAGCAGCCUAGUGGAUUGUAGUGUAUUUGUUAUGUUGGUUAUUUUGGGACUUGUAUUAGUAAACUUUGAAACUAUAUUUUUGUAAUGAGACUUUAUUUUGAUUAAUUUGCUCAACUGUGAACCCUUAUUUAUAGACUUUAAUGAUUAUUAUUAUAUCUGGUUGCUCUUGAGUAGUGGUUAGUAUGUUGAUAAAUUGGAUUGUUAAUUGGAGGGAGUUCUAGUGUGAUUAUUCGUAGACAAAAAAAAAAAAAUUCAAAGCGUUUUGGUUGACUACUAGUGUGGAUUAGGAGGAAUCCUGGGUUAAACCUUUGACCCGGGGUCAUGAGCCAAAUUUUGGGUCGCCCAGAGUUUUGUGACACUGCAGGUGAGGCAAAUCUUAAAUCAAUGCUUUGUCUAUUCUGCAAGUGAAUUGUACAAUGAACUGCCCUUUGGCAGGUUGAGUAUUUUUUAUGCCAAGGCUAGAAUUUCUAAUGACAACUUUAUCAAGUUGGUCUCUUGGUAUAUAAUGAAUGGGGUUACAAGUAAUUUUCACAGAAUGUUCAUAAUUUAAGCCAGUUGUUAUAAAUGAUGAAUAUAUAGUUAAAUGAACUACUUCCAAUGUGCUGCUCAACUUCAUUUUUUGAUGAUUCAAAUAUGUAAAUGUAAAUCGAUCACACUUGCAUCAUUGUUCAGGUUGCAUUUUCUGAAUACCUAUAAAAAUUAAAAAAUAAUGUAGCUUUUCUAUUUAUGUCUUAAAGUUGGUUAAGAAGAAGAUAGAAUAGCAGUCCAGUGGUAAUAGUUGGAGCAAAAGAUGAUUGACUAUAGAAGACAUUGAUUCGAGUUUGGUGUUCAUGUACACACCUGUAACAGAGAGGGUUCUUAAAGGAGAAGCGCAAUAUAAACAUACAGAUUUUGUAAAAGCAGGUGUGAGGUAGAUGAAAUUUGUGCUACAUAUUCCUAAUAGAUCUGUGGAGUCAUGAUUUUACAGACAUGCUAGCAUGCUAUUGUAACUGUUUCUAAACCUUAUCUGGUUUUAGAAAAUGCAUGAGAUAUCUUUUUGGAAGUGUUCUCUUUGUCAAUGGACCAUAAUCUCCAUUAGUGUUACUGUGUUUCGACUUUUUAUUGAAGAAGUGUACAACAAGUUGACUGUAGCAAUUAGUUCAGUGCUAGCAUUUUCUUCCCAGCAUUACUGGAUCUAAUAAGAACUUUUAUCGGAAUGUGCAAAAUCAUUAGGCUAUAUACAAUAAGCAGCAUUUGAAGUUCUAUAUAUGGUUAUCUGAUGAUUGUUUCAAACCAGAACACCAGAUUAAUCCAGUACUGGUACUCCAUUUUCAAUCGAAAAAUAGGGAUUUCCACCAGAAUUGAAUUAAUUACUUUGUAUUGUGUUUCUUUUAUCUCUAUCUGCUACUUUUGUAUCUGUCAUUGAUCAAUCCAUGUGUGAUAUUCUACAUCCUCUUAUCUAAUGGAAUCAGAAUGAAAUCUGUGUACUGAAAAAAUAAUUCCUUUCCUUUUUUAUUUUUUGGCAGUGGUGCCAAAGAUGUUGCUUAACUGGUUGUCCACUUAGGGUGUUUAGCCUGAACACCGGGAGGUUCAACCCAGAUGUAGCAUCCGCAUUGAAUGCAUGUUUCCAGACGCUACUGAAGUUCAGGGCUUGGUGAGUGUCGUUGUGUGAGGAAAGUGAGACCUCAUCUUCUAGCUGGCAAAAUUCAAUUUGUAAAUGUUAGUCUCAUUGAUGUUGUUCUCAACUACAGUAUGUAGUUUUUGCAAUAUGAUGUGGUUGCAUUUAUUCUUACUUUUGGCUAGCGCUAUUGGCCCCCACCAUAGACCCCUUUUCUCUUAUAGUGAGAAUUGAAUAAAAAGUUCAUUAGUUAUUGUUAAAUAAAAAAUUUAAAAUAAGAUUAAGACUAAUAUAAAAACAAAAUAUAAAAUUCCCACCUGAAAAUAUAAAAUAAUAUUUGAAAAUUCAUCACUCUAUUAAUUCUUAUCUUUUGUUUAUCUAAUCCUUCUUCAACUUCUAUUUCCCUAUUUAAUUUUUUUUAAUUACAAACAAAUUAAAAUUUUGUAGGAUUGUAAUUUAAAUAUUCAACUCGAAUAAUUUAUAUUACUAUAAAGUAAAACUUUUUAAAUUGGUUAACAUGGAAAGGAAAUUAAUAAAAACAUUACUAUUAAACAAAUUAAAUUAAAAAAAAAGAAGUUAAGCCUUAAAAAUUAUGAGAAAUAAAAUUUAGAUUAUGAAUUCAUAAACAAAAAAUAAAAACCAAAAGUUAAGCAAAGAAAUGAAGUUAGGAUAAUAGAUUAUGAAAAAAAAAAUGAAGAUAGUAAAAAGAUGAGUAUAGAGAAAUGUUAUAUUUAAGCUAGAGACUAUAAAAUAAACUUAUUUUCCCAUUUUUAUUUAUUUUUUGAAUAAAAAUGAGCUUCUACUAAGAAUAAUGAAGUUUUUACCUUUAAUUAUAUGUCACAUUUGUUUAAUUUUCUUAAUAAAUCAAUUAGAAAUAGAAAGAGAUCGAUGCAUAAGAAAUUGAUAAAUUAAUAAUGAGAAAUAAAUAUUUUAUUUUUACAUUUUUAAUUUUUAUUGUAUUUUAAUCAUUUUUUAUUUUAUUUACUCAAUUUAAUAAUGAAAAUAGAUUUUAAAAAAUGAGAAAUUUUAUUAAAAAAUUAGUAUAAUCCAAAAUGUCAAAAAUCAGAUUGGAAAAUCAUUUUUAGGCCUCAAAAUUGCUCAAAAUAGACUCAGAAAACAAGCCUCUAACAUAUACAAGGAUGGCCAUCAAAGCAUACAUGCAAUACCCACACUUAAGACAUUUUAAUUAAUUCAAAUUGAAUUUGUUGAUGGUCCCAUCACACGUAGCCCGAUAUUUUCUUUACCUCCAUCUUCAUGCACUCUUUUGUUCAAUCCCCAAAUGCAAUCUUUUUUACUUAUAUCUCGUAGUUUUCUGCUUGUAGGAGAAGGGAAAAGUGUUUAGCCCAAGGGUGGGAGGGUGGACUCUCAUGUCAUAAACCCAUCUCACGAGUUUGGUUUAUUAGAAAUAAAAGAACAUACAUCCCUAGACCACAAAGUUCAUGCGGUUCAAACAUCCACAAUCAACUUCUAUUUCACAUCUCACACCUAAAACUGGCACACAUUCACUAGUCUAUGUUGUAUGCCUAUGCCUAUGCCAAUACAAAGGUAACAUAGGAUUUCAUUUCAGAAACAAAUAAUAAAAUAGGUACACUAAUAUCUUCCUAACUAUACAUGGGGUUUCCGAGAGACAUGGUUAUCGAUUUCACAUUCCUAUAAAGAUCAAAAUUCAGCAAAAAGUUGAAUAGAGGACUAUCAAGCAAUCUCAACACUAUUCCUGUAUCCCGAUCCAAAAUCACAAGUCUUUAAACUCAUAAUAAUAUAGAACAACAUACCCCAUGACACAUUUAUGACUGAUGAUACCACUUAAAUAAGUCUAAAUUUGUUGAGGUUGAUUAGAAGAGUAACCAAGGUGCUACCAUAUAGCCAUGGUUAGCUAUUUGGCUUACUCUGAACACAUUGGACCCUGAUAUUCAUAGUUUUGUUCCCUAUUUGAUGCACACCAUUCAAACCUUCAUUCUCAAUGCCAAUGCAUAUUAAAUCUUUCCUAUCUCAAUUUCUUUUAUUCAUUCCUUACUAGAUCCAAGCUAUUCCGAAGAGUACCAAAAACACUUGUGAGACAUGCAAUACUAGAGGAAGUUUUAGAUAUAAUUAGGAAAUAACACAAAGGAUUUAAGAUCAUAACAUCAUACAUCCUACCAUAAAGGACAACCUCCUUCCCUUUAUUCUUUCAAUUCUUGAGUCUUAUCUAAGGUUCUCUCAUGCAUGAAAAAACAAAUGUCUUCAACUAUAUGUGCUUACCAUGAGUGUCAAUAGAGCUAGUUAAGCCUUGUAGUCCAAUAACUCCUACACAUAGAUAAAAGAACACACAACUUUAGGGAUAGAUGAAUAAGAUAAAAAAAUCUAAGAUAUGUAAAAAUCUAAGAAAGAAUCCAUAUGCAUCUUUUGAUGAUCCCAAAUAAUAUCAUAGACAAAAUUUAUCUUACAACUGCAUUUAAAGAACAAAUAAUAGUGCAAUCAUUCCGUUUAAUCCCCAUAAUGAUUUGGAAAAGAAAUUCCCUACUAUGGUGGAAAAAAAAAGAAUAAAAAAACAAAAUAUUUGAAAGUACUCAUACUUGAAAUAAUUGUAGCAUGUCAAAUUUUUUAAAUGCUACCAUAACAAAAAUUGCAUAAGAAACAUAGUGAUUUAUUUUAUUUCAUUUCAAAUUACAUAAAACUAAACCCAAGUGCAUGAUUUGAUUUUUAUGUACUAGCCAAAACACCUCCUCUAUCUCUCACUACAAAGGAAAAAAAAAAAAAAUUGCUUAUACCAUAAGCUACUCUACCACCAGCAUUUCCAGUGCCUUUGUUGAGCUCAUAUCCCCAAGAAAAAAUAUAGAAAAGAAACUGUUAUUGCAUGGUAAGAAAGCAAAGAGAUGCUCAAAGCUAAAAUAAAAAUAAAAAUAAGAAAAAUAGGAACACAUAUGUCCAUACUCUAACAAAUUCAAGCCAUUCCCACUUGGGCUAUAUCAGGAGUUACUUUUCCUAACAAUAAAAUUAAACAUACUAAACCAGCCAAGUAUUCUCUUCUAACCGAGUGGUAGUGGUGAUUGGUAAGCAUAUACCAAGGAACCAAUCAACCCUGAUACCAUGGCCUGAAAAACUUAAUAAAGCUCCAGAAACUACAUAUGUGGCUUUUGGAGAUCAUAGUAGAAGCCCAAAAGGGAGUCAGAAUAACUUUAAACCAUAACUCUUAGAACCUGCCUUUGCAAUCACUCACAUCAUAUAUAAUUGUGAUAUCGACACCACCUACUAUUCUGUGAAGAAGCUUUCAGUUCUAAUAAAAUAAAGGCCCAUUUUACCCCUAAUCUGAAGAUGAACUUGGUUAAAAAUUUGAAGUGAGGAUGAAAUGGAUAUUUAAGUUCUCACACAGAUGUCAACCAUGAAAUGGAGAAACUGAAAAUUUUUCAGUUUGCUUUUUUAGGCAGGCUAGGUGUUGAAUCUCAGCUAUAUUUCAUAAAUCUCACAACAGGUUUCUAUUAUUUAACUUAGAAUCACCCAAUCUAGUGUAGUAUAUUAGUACAUCCUUGUAAAAAUGAGGUAACUUCUCCCUAUUGACUCAUGUUAAGGCAUGGUUGUAAAACAAAAUUGAUUCUAUGUUCAAAGCAUUUCGCCAUCAAACAGUCAUCCAUACUACAAAAUAAGAUUUGCAUUCCUGAAUUGAGUCCACCCAAAUUUUUUUCUCUAAAAUUCAUCCUGCACAACUUGUAUUAGAUUAAUAAAAAUAGUCAUCCUGCAUAGCACCCAUCACAAAAAUGAAAUAAUAUUGUGCACAAAAUGAUGGAAUAAAUAUACAUAUGUUUGUCCAAUCUCUGUAAGAUGGAACUUGUUCCAGCAAAAUAUAAAUUAACAUUUGUCAUAAGCUAGGACUGGAGUGUUCAUUCUUAUCCAUUAUUAAUCCACAGUGCAUAGAAUAGCAAUAGCACAAAAUGGAAACACCUGAAAAAUGAGCUUCAUAGAUAGAAGUUUUAUAGCUUACCCUUUCCAAGAUCAUCAGGAUCAAUGUGGACAACAACAACCCUUUCAACAAUGGAGUUUGAUCCAGUGAAAGGAAUCUUUAAGGAAAGAAAAAUUCAAUUUUUAGAUAACAAGAACUAAAUUUCAACCUAGAUGGUCUUCAGGUAUGAGAAAAAGAAUAAAAAGAAAAACAAGAAGUAGAGGUAAAAAUAACCUACCUGCUUGUCAACAAUUUUGAAAUUAAUAGUACCUAAAAAAUGGCAAUGUUAGGGCCAAUAAUAAUGCUUCUAAUGGUAUUCUAUCAAUAGUUAAUUACGACAAAAGUACAUAGUACAUACCAUCCUCACCAACAAUGACAUUUCCUAAAUCACCAACAUGACUAUUCUUGUCUUCAAGAGCACCAUGAUCUUUUCUAGAAGGAUUGAAAUAAGGUCCUAUAAAUAAUAAAUAAAUAAAUGAUCAAAUACUUAAGCUAAAAAGAAUUAUGGAGAAAAUCUAAGAAAGUAAGUCUGACCUAAUGACAAAGGAUGUAAAAAAUGAAGUAACCAAUAAUUAAACAAUACUAGUUGACAUGCAACCAUUUGUCAUGUCCCCAAGGGCAUGCACAUGGAAGCCAUGAAGUCCAAGCUUAAGGCAAGAAAGACUCCCAAUCACUAUAGUUGUCCUAGCUAUAUCACACUAUCAUCCAAAGGUGAAUUUUUUGCUGCAACUUCAUGUGUUUGUCAAGAUAUUUGAUUGAAGAUAAUUCUUAAAGAGCUUUGUUUCAAGCAACCAGAACCCACUCCAAUUUAUUUUGAUAGCAGCUCAACAAUUAAACUCUCCAAGAAUCUUGUUCUACAUUAAAGAAGCAAACACAUAAAUGUGAAGUAUCACUUUUUAUGGGGCCUCACUAAGGAUGGAAUGAUUGAUCUUAUUUACUACAAAAGUGAAGAUCAAGUCGCUGACAUGUGUACCAAGUCCCUCAAAUCGCUCACAUUUCAGAAGUUAAGAAAAUUGCUUGUUGUUUGCACAUUGGAUAAUCGAAUUUAUGUGCGGGUGCUUUGAGGCUUACUCUUAUUAAACUAACUAUUCUGACAAAAAACAUUAGUGUAAGGGAGGGAUUGUUGAAUAAAAAUGCAAAGAGUCAAAGUAAAAUAUGGAGUCCUUAGUGGUAUGUUUCAUUUGCCCUGGCCUCUAAGAAAUGGUUAAUGAGGAGCUAGUCCUUAGUAGCUCCACGUAAGUAGUGGUAGUAGGGUGUUAUUUUCUAAUGUUUAGCAGGUUGUUUCCUUAUUUUUAGCCUAAGAGUCAUUUGUAACUUUGCCUAUAUACUCUUCAUGUGAAUAAAAAGGGCUUCCUACAUUCCACCUUACCAUUUCUAACACUCUAUUGCGAAAUAAUCAAAUAAAUAGGAAAAUGAUAAGUCCAAAUCUGGAUAAUUGAAUACCUAUAAUGAAAUCUAAGCCAUUGAACGAGGGUACAAACAAAUUGGACCAAGGUACAAGGGUAACAUGCCAAAAUGUGGUAUUUUAUCAUUAUUUUGCCUGAUUUAUUGUGGAUAUUUCACUGCCACAUCGGCAUUUAUUUUCUUCAAAAUUUUAAGGCCUUUGGAGUCUAUGCUGUCCAUACUCAACCCAUGGUUUGCUUGUGAUGAUGGCUUGGGGCAUUGUUUAUUGAAUGCACCAUACUUUUUUCUUAAAAUUUUGAUGUGGGAUUGCUCCUUUUAAACCAAUAAAAAAGUUCAUUGAAGCUCACCCACAAGGCUAUAGGUCAUACCUUGGUGCUUAAGCAUGGGAUGAGAUUCCACUAAAAGAAAGGCCUUUUUUUUGUUAGAUCUGCACAUUUAACUAUAUAUGAUAUUAUUAAUUACAAAUAAGUUAAUUUUAAUUUUUUUUAUAUAAUAGUUAGAUAUAUAAUAGAUGUGAAUUUAUAUUAUGGGUGAUAAGGCAUUGCUUCAUGUUGAUAGUGAAUUUGUAACAAUUUAUCAAUUAAUAUGGAGUUAAGUACUCUUUCUAACUGAAUUUUUGGUAUUAGCAUUUACAAAAUAAAUUUCUUCUUCUGAAAUUUUGGUUUUAAUAUUUCUAUUUAAAUCUAUUGGGAAAUUUGUUUUGUAAAUAUUUCUUGAGCAGUCUUGAGUACACUUGGGAGGUUUUCUCACUACAAAAUGUUCGAUAAUUGCAUCAGUCCAGUUGAUAUUUUGUAAGGAAAAUCCAUAAAGUUUCAAAAUAGGGAGAAGUAUAAAAAAAAGUCAAAAAUACCUUUCACAAUGGCUAUUUUUUUUUUUCCUUUUUUCACAAAAUAGACUUUCUUAUAAAAUAGGAAAUGCAAUUACAAUUUUUCCUUUUAUUGUUAAGCCUGUUCAGCCAAUAAUAAACCUGUGACACAGAUUUUCCUAACCGAAGUUUUUAAAAAUUCACUAUAAAGGGGCCUUUUUAUUAGACAUUACCUAUUUGUAUUAGCCCUUAACUGCAUUUGGAAAGGAAAAGGAAUUGUGAAAAUUUGAAUUCUAUUGUUAAUCAGUCCUUGGUCUCCAAUAGUUUAGUUGUUUGUGAUUUUAUUGUCUUCAAGAGACCAGUUGGAGGGGUUCUAGUUUAGUUGUUUGUGAUUUUAUUGUCUUCAAGAGACCAGUUGGAGGGGUUCUUGGAGGGGGUUGAAAUUGAACCACUCUACUUUAGAUGCAAUGUAUAAAGAAGUUUGUAAUUCCUAGUAGAUUUAUAAAUACUUUUUGUUUUGACUUGGAAAUGAGAUAUUCUUUUGUUGGUAGAUUUAUAGAGAGGUUUUGACUCGAGAUUAAUGUAAAUGACAAGAUUUAAUAAUAUAUUAGUUUGAAUUCUCCAGCUUUAAUGGACAUGCCCUAUCAAACUUGAAGCUAUGGUAGAAGCUCUCUUUAGUAUAUACAAGGUAUAUGAAAGUUUACUGGUUUUCUGUGCUAUUCUUGUCUCAGAUUUUUGUUAUAAAUCUUAUUAUUCCUUCAGAACUAUUCUUUAGUUCCAUUAUUUUCAUUAUGCUCAACUAUUUACUUAAGUCAUUGUCAUCUUUUUACACUUGUUUUUCUCACUUAAGUCAUUGUCUUCUCUGUACGCUUGUUUUUAUCACCUCAUUAGUCAUUGUUGUUCCUUUGCUUGAUCCUUCAAUGCGUGCAACAACUUUAGCACCAUCGGACAUAUUAACAUCUUUUGAUCUUUUAUUUUUUAAAUUUAUUUUAUUACUAUAUUUUAUUCUAAUGUUCAAACACCGUCAAACAUGUUCCUUUUCUUGGGCCAAAGUUGCUUCUCUGUAUAUUUUUAUAUAUGGUUAUGCAUCCCAUGUUUUGGGUUGAUUUCUUGGGAGAACCAGGCCAGUUAUUGGAAGAGGAUGCACAAGUAUAGGCUGUAAGCAUUUUCCCUCUCUCUCUCUCUAGUGACUUAUCAUUCUAGAACACACUUCUCUGUCGUCGCAUCAUGGGACAUAUCAAUUUAUUAUGACUUAUGAAUUGGCCUGUCAUGGUGGCAUUACCUUUGUAGCAAACCAAGUGUGCAAUACUUACAUCAUUCUACAAUGAACACCAUCAAAACUCAAGUGAUAUUUAUCACCAUUUGGAGAUGUUAUGCAUUUAGGUGAGAAGUAGGUCUGUGCACAGAAUUUCCUAGGUAUUUUGAUGAUGCUAAGCCUAAAAUAUAUCUUCUUGUUUCUCCUAUUCUUGACUGGACUCAUCAUGAAAACUUGAAACACUAAAAAAUAAACUACAAAAUUCAACAUUUUGCCCAAUGGACAAAGUUAGAUGAUUUAUAAGAGUGAUCGAUCUUCACAUCCUUGAAGGUCAUUUAUAUGUGAUGAUAAAAGAGUAAGAUUAUGAGAGCUGAGAGGUGCAUAGUUUGUCUAUUAGAAGUGGUCAAAUAGAAAGAAGACUUUCACACUAAAUUUGAACAUCUGUGGAAGCUAAGGAAAUUGUUGAUCAUGCCUUCAAAUUCAAUAUAUGGCUCAAACUUUGCUUGUUUGCUUAAUAGGAUAUAUUUUAUGUUAGUGUGGAUUUCAAAAUCCACUGCAUAAGAUUAAAAGAAAAAAAAAUUGAAUGAUUGAAAUCCUUAUCAAUUUUAAAGACACAUAUGGCAUGGCAAGAAAGAAUGUUAAGCAUAACAUAGACAUAUAUAUAAAAUCGAAAAUAAAUUCAAAUACAUGCUCAUAUACAUACAUCAAACAACAAAAAUCAAAUCAAUCCAAAGAACAUAAAAUAUAUACGAAAGAAACAAAGGAUGAAAGUACAUUCCUUAUUAGUAUAUAAGCAAGCACUCCCCCAAAAGAAAUUGUUAGUUUAACAAGGUAAUAAAUCAAGGAGUUACAUAUAUACAAGGCAUCAUGGGGAACAAAGAAUGAAUUAGAAGAAAAGAAACAAAUUCUAAGUGAUGAGGCAUGCAUAAAAGAUUGACUAAAUUAUGAUAUAUAUUCAGCAAAACAAGACAGCAUAUAAGAGUCUUCUAAAUAAAUCUAAAACAAAUACUAAACAUGCUCAUUUCAUCAUGAUAAAAAUUAGGUAUGACCUUUAAUAAGUAUACAUCAAAUUCCAAAAGGCCAAAUCAAUUAUUCCCAAACCAAUUGAUGCCAAAAAAUUACACAAGUUAAUCAAUACACAGUGAGUUUAGCUAAAAUUGAGGAAUAACUGCAAGGAGUCUAGUUUCUAGCCUAAUUGGACAAAUUCACAAAUCAUAUGUCAAAUAAUACCAACAUUCAAAACAAUCAAAUUGGUUCAAAACAGGGUCAGUGCACAGGUCAUGCAAAAAUGAAUUUUUUUAGCCUACUUAGGGUUGCCCAAAAUUCGAGCCAAAAUUCAUACACAAUAUUGAAAAUGUUUAUUUCAAAGGGAAAAUGACACUAAGGCGUGAUCACACAUCUAACAUAUUUAAAAUCAAUUUAGCAUUCAGAAUGUCCAAAAUAGAGCUUGUGUACAAGGUAACUAAAGACAAAAUUAUAUCUUAUGUUAGGAAAAAAUAUAAUCAUGUAUUAAACAAGUCAUCUUCUAAUUUAAAUUCACAGAUCAAUCUCAAGGAUAUAGAAUAAAGCAUUGAAAUAAGCUAUUACUUAAAAAAUAAGAUUUCAAAACUUGAAAAUGAACAUGUUAAGAGUUACCACUUCCCAAUUUUAUUUGAAUGAAAAUUUCCAUGUCCAAAUUUCAUUCCCAUGAAAGGUCACAAAUUCAUUUUGAAAACAAAUUUGAAAUGCAUACCAAUUCAAAAAAAAAAAAAAAAGGUAGCAUUGAUGUUUUUGAAAACUCAUUUUGAACCUAUGGAAGUAAGAGGAUAUUAGAAAUGAGAACGACCAUUUUUGAGAACCUUAAAAUCAUUUUUGAAAGUCUUGAAAACAUAUUUUACAAACACACAACCAAACAAGGGAAUCCAAAUAAAUAAAGAACACCUAUUCAAGCUAAAUAUCUGCAUUUGUGUGUGUGAAAUGUGAAGAUCAACAUGCAGUUGUACCUACCUUUGCUAGUAACCUAAACAUGCAUCAAAGAUCAAUUUAAAGACCCUAAACAUGUUACUAAAUCAUCAAGCAAUCAAUGAUAACAAAAAAUUCACAAUUAAUAUCAAAUUUAUUCACAAGUGGGUUACUUCGCAAGUGAUUAGAACAGAAGACUCUACAAGUCGAAUUUGAAAAAAAUAUCUAGAAGUCAAAUUUUAUCAUGAAAAAUUUCAAAGAAUAUCUCCUAUAUGUCUAAUUUAUCAUCCAAGUGGCCAAACUAAUUAAUUAAAUCUCAUUUAGUACCAGAUUUCACAAGAAGCAUAAUAGGUCUAGAAUAGAGUAAUUUUCCAUAGCAUGUGAGAAUUAAUUUUUUAAUUAACUUAGAAUUGUCCUAAAACCCUAAAAAAAAAUUCAUAAAACUCAUUAAUAUUCUAAUUUAUAUGAAAAAUAAUCACAGGGUAAGAUCACAUGCAUAACAUAUUUAAAAUUAAAUUAACAUCUUGAAGCUCUAGAAGAAGACCUAUGCAGUAGGUGCAAGAAGAAAAAAAUCAUAUCUCUCAUUUUAAUAAUUAUUUAUUAAUAUUUAAUAUGUCAAAAAUUGAAUUAAAGAAGUCUAUAUUAAGUAAAAAAUAUCUAAAUAUUGAUGGUGAGGCCCUGGCUGACCCUUCGAAAAAAAUCCCCUUGAGCUUAUUGAAUGGGCUGAUCUACCCAGAACCACAAAUCCCUAAGAGGGGAUAUGCAACCACUAAGCCUUGAGAGGAGGACGGCCUGAGCAAGCAACCAAUCCUGCAUAAGCUCGGACCAAAAGGUAUUGUCUAGGAGACACCAAUCGGCCAUGGACCAAACGAAUGGAUUCUCGUGCGAGGCCAUCGAGAAAGCACUACUCGAAACCACCACAUGUCUUCUUGAUGACAUGUUGUCAACACCUUUGGCUCCCCAAAUCAUGCAACAAAGGCAUCCCCCAAGAUUCACAGUGCCCAAAUUCACCAUUUAUGAUGGCACCACAGACCUUUUCGACCACCUCAUGCACUAUUGCCAGGUAAUGGCCCUAGACAUAGGAGAUUAUGUGCUUCAAUGCAAAGUAUUCCCGGUGAUUACUACUCAAAGAGUGCUAUUUUAUAGCUUGUAAUUAACUCUUUUAAACACUUUUGAGUAGUAGUUAUUACCUUUUAACUCAAUUAGCAUAUUAAGUACUUUUGCAAUCAUUUCUAAUCAAAUUGUGUUAAGUUUUGGUGUUUUUUAUAGUAUUUUGAUCACCAAAGCAAUCCAAGAUUGAGGAGAGUUCUAUAGAAUCCUUGGCAAAGCAAUUGGAAACUCAUUUACAUGAAGAAUCCAAGCUUUGGAUCUUUAUAAUCCUUUGCCAAAGGCAAAUCAUGAAUGCAAGGAGGGAAAGCAAAGAGAGAAAUCUAACAUGAAGAAUUCAAGAGGAUAGCAACUGUUGGACACAUUUAGAGCACUUCCUAGAGUCCAUUUCAUGCAUACUAUAUGUAUUUUUGAAGCUCGGGAAGUCAAGAAUCCAACGCUUUAAAUAGUGUGUAAAUCGGAGUUGAAAUGAAAAAGUUAUAGCCAUUAGAAGCCAAUCACACCAAGCUAAAGGCCAAUUUCGCAGCUGCGAAAUCACAAGGUGCUUGCUGCGAAAUCAGCCUUUGGCUGCGAAAUGGAGACCUUCAGCUUGCGAAAUUUCUCAGCCCAUCUUGCAUGCCUGCGAAAUCCACCUGAGUGCUUCAAGAUAUUUGCGAUCGAUUCUUUUAGAUUUUUUUCUUCAGAUAUUUGUUGUUUAAAUCCCCAUUUUCUCCUUGUAAUCCACAAAUCAUAGGAUUCCUUAGUUAAUAAGUAAGAACAAAGGGUGAAUAACCUCAUAUAUAUAGUUUGUAAUUUUCUUUACACAGACAUCUCGGGAGCUUGUUCUCAGAGACAACUUUUUGUUUAGUUUUGAAGGAAGUAAUAUACAGAGCUUUGCUUUGCCUUACCUACUCACUUUGAUUGUAUUUUUUUUACUAGCCAAACAAGCUCCGAGGAUGUUUCCUCAGAGAAUGAGUGGCUAGGCUUUUUGUCUCUUGGAGCUAAGGUAGCUAGGUAAGGUGUCGAAUGCAAGAAUUGGAAGUUUUGUUGUUUCAGCCUUUAAUGAAGAGAAAGUGUGACCCGUUAAUGGUUUCUAUGUUUUUAGUUAACUUAAAACGCCUUUAAAUCACCUGGGCCAACACUUGGUAAGGCAAGUGAUCUCCGUCCAUUGAGAUGCACUAGUUUAUCUCUUGCGAGCCUUUGGGAGGUGAUUUGAAGGUAGGAUUUUCUAGAAUAGCCAACACUUAGUAAGAUUUUGGACUCCAAGGAGACAUCCAUUAGUUAUCUCUUGCAAACUUGUGAAUGGAAAUCCAAGGUUAAUGAUCACCUUGAGUGGUAACUGCUAGGUGAGAAGCACGAGCCAUUGCAAAAUGAAUCAGUGAGAGGGAUUUAGUGUUUCAAUCCAUAAAAAGGAAGCAUCUGUACCACACCGGUUAGAGAAAUAACUAUAUGUUAAUUCUCCAAUGUAAGGAAAAAGAUUCAAGUGACCGGAACUCUAUUUUUGUAUUAGGAGUCUGACCUUAGUGAUCCUAAAACUCCAAGAAACACUUUUCUUUAUAAGUAAUUUCCGUUACAUUAUUUUUAGUUAGCUUAAAACCAAUCCUUUUUAAACCAAAGUUUAUGUUUUCUUUUGAAGUUAACCUUGAAACGAAAAAGCAUCAAUUCAACUUUGAAUUAUUAUUAGUUGUAAGUUGAAAACCCUUCCCAGUGAACGAUCUUAGAGCCACUAUGCUAUACUAGCUGAGUCUAUCCUAGCACAUGGUGUAAUAGGUUAUAAAUUUUGUUGAUUACUCCUGUCUGAGGACCAAAAUCAAGGUACACCAGUUGGGCACGGAAUCACCCGGCUAGCCUACACGUGCCAACCCUCACUUAGUUCCAUCGAUUCCUGGCCAAUUCAAUCAAUGACUUCCGAGAGCUGUCAGAGGUGUUCGUGGCACACCAUUUAUGCUCUGCCAGACAGAAGCAUGGCCUCAAUAGCCUGAGCAACUUGAAAAUGAUGGAGUUAGAAUCCCUAUGGGAUCCUAUGUGAAGAUUAGGGCAAGCCUUGAUCCAAAUGGAGCCCUGCAACAUUGAUGCGAUCAUGCAAGCCUUCAAACGGAGUAUCAUCCCGAGGACCCCAUUCUUCGAAUCUAUAUCAAAGAAGCCACCAAAGACAAUUGACAACUUUUUCUAGAGAGCCAACAAGUACACCAUGUUAGAGGACAAUCUUAGAGCGGCAUCCCAACAGAUAGUUGGGACUUCUUAGACGAUUGUUCCCCAACCAAGCGAUCAUACUCGACCCACCGAAGGACUUUAUUAGUAAGGGGGCAGAAGAAAGCAAUUGCAAGAGACACUUAAAGCCCAACAUAGGGAAAACAGGUCUCACUCCAAUUCAUGAAGCUCACUCUCAGUUAUGACCAACCAUUGCCGAUAAUUCAGAAUCUAGAUGGCUUCUGCUAGUUGAACCCUAUGUGAGGGGAUGCAAGUCAAAGGAAUCCAAAUUGUUUUUACAAACACCAUAAGGACAAGGGCCAUGCUACCAAGGAGUGUCGCCACCUCCAUUACUUACUCGAACGGAUGGUGCGAGCUAGACAACUUAGCCAAUAUCUCUACAACCGAACAUAACCUUCCCCAACUCGCCAAGUUGCUCUAUCUUUGGAACCGACACCAAAGUUGGACAAGUAAUCCAUGUCAUACACGGGAGAUCGAUCGAUAGAUAAUGAAAAAGCAAACAACAUGCCAAGAUGUUGAUAAAAGAUGUAGAACGAGUAGCCCAAGUUUGCAAUGUGGGAAGCACAUUUGUUGUCGGAAGCUUGGUCAUGGUGGAUGGAACCAUUGUAUUUUUUGAAGUAGACUUACUUUGAGUCACUUAGCCACAUGAAAAAGCCCUCAUCUUAAUGUUGAAUAUUGAUCGACCAAGGGAGUUUUGUGGACCUCCUACAUAUAUCUACUUACAAACAGAUGAACCUUUCAAUUAAUGUGUUGGAAAGUCCAGGGAGAGUGCUGACAGGUUUUAACGGUUCAACCACAAUUUCCCUCAACAAGAUCGUACUUCCUCUCUCCACAGAACCCAUCAUUGUGAUUGUGAAAUUUUCGGUCGUAGAGGACCCUUCUCCAUACAAUGCAAUCCUCGGUAGAGCCUGGAUCCAGGACAUGAAAGCCAUACCAUCGAUGUACCACUAAAAAGUGAGCUGCCUGAUGGUGCAAGAUCAAAUAAACAUUUACGAAGAUCAGAUGACAUCAUGACGAUGCUAUCAAGUGACAAUGCUAUCAAGUGACAAUGCUUCCAGCUCCCGUUAUAGGUGAGAGAAAAGGGGGCUCUGAGGGAAAGAAAUAACAACUAUUAAAGGACUCCCGCCUAGAAUUGGACAAGUGGGAGUUCUCGGCUGCUGAGCCGUUAACGACCAUCAAUCAUUUUGAUGACAACUUCUAUCGAAAAGUGUUUUUGGUGGAGAUGCUGUCGAAAAAGGAAAAGAAAAAGUUCAUUAAGAUACUAAGGCAAAACAUGGAUGUCUUCGUAUGGAAACACUUCGAUGUAAAGGGGAUUCACCCCUCAGUAGCUUGCCACCACUUGAACGUGAAAUAAGAAUGGCACCCGAUUAGACAAAAAUUACGAAAAUUCCAUGAAGAAUGACAUAAGAUCAUCACUGAAGAGGUAGACCAAUUGCUUGAAUCUAGAUUCAUCCAGGAGGUACAGUACCCGGAAUGUUUGGCUAACAUUGUUGUGGUCCUGAAGAAAAGCAGAAAAUGGCAUGUGUGUGUCGACUUCACUGAUCUUAUCGAAGCUUGCCCAAAAGACAGUAUUUCUCUCCCUCGGAUAAACCAAAUAGCUGAUGCCAUGGUAGGCCAUGAGCUUCUCUCCUUUUUGGACGCCUUUUUCGGGUACAAUCAAAUAGCAAUGUACCCGCUAGAUGCGGAGAAGAUGACCUUCAUUCCUAGCUAAGGCCUAUUAUGUUAUGACAUAAUGUCAUUUGGCCUCAAGAAUGCAGGGGCAACUUAUUAGCAAUUGGUGACGGAGACAUUUUGACCCUUUUUGGGAAGAAACAUAGAAGUUUACAUCGAUGACAUGUCGAUCAAGAGUAAGCUGAGGUAGAACAACCUUGAGGACCUUGUAGAAGCUUUCGCCCUACUUCGUAGAUUUGGCAUGAUGCUGAAUCCGGAAAAGUGUGCAUUCAGAGUGCAAAAGGGUAAAUUUCCUAGCUACCUAGUGAUGAAAUGUGAGAUAGAAGCUAGCCUAGAGCAAAUCAAAGCCCUACACGAAAUGGUACUGACCACAACGGUCAAAUAGGUCUAAUGGCUAAUGGGAAAAUUAGCGGCCCUCGGUCAGUUCAUCUCAUGGUCUUCUGACAAGCUGUAACCUUUCUUCGAGGUUCUUAGGAAAAGAAAGAAGUUUGAGUGGGAUGAGCAGGGUGACUGGGUCUUCGCUACUAUCAAAAUCUAUCUAGCUUCCUUUCCUAUCCUCAACCAACCACAUGAAGGUGAAAGAUUGUACAUAUACUUAGCGGCCAUAAGUGUGGCGGUGAGUUAUGCCCUAGUUCAAACUGAUGAACAAGGUGCCCAACAGCCGAUAUACUUCAUAAUCAAAACUCUCCUAGACUCAGAGACCCGAUACUCUAGCUCGAGAAGGUGGCUCUAGUACUACACACUAUGGCUAAGAAGCUCAAGCCAUAUUUCCAAGAGCAUGCCAUCGUCGUCCUUAUGGAAUGGUCUAUGCGUGUUGUCUUACACAAGUCGAAACUCUUCGGUCGGCUGGUCAAGUGGGCCAUCGAGUUAGGCGAGUUCGAGAUUGAGUAUAGGCUGCAAUAAAGCCUCAAAGGCCAAGUAUUAGCAAACUUCAUUAGAAACAACAAGAAUGGUGAGACAUGGAUUAUAUAUGUAGACGAUUCUUAAAAAAAGAAAGAAGUCGAAGUUGGAGUCAUCCUCAUGUCCCCUACUGGAGACGAGCUAGAGUAAUCCAUCAAAUUAGGUUUCCUAACAUUUAACAACGAGGUUGAAUAAGAAGCAAUGCUCAUAGGCCUAAGAAUGGUCCACCAACUACAGGUAAGGAACGUCGAUGUUCAUAGUGACUUCUAGCUCGUCAUCAACCAAGUAGAAGGACACUACGAAGCACGCGAUGAAAAAUGGCCAGAUACCUAAAUGCCGUAAAGAGGAAGGCUUACUGGUUUGAUUUUGUAAGCUUCACAUUGGUUCCCAAAGAUAAAAAUGAUCAAGUUGAUGCCCUCACUAACCUAGGUUCCUCUUCCCUAAGUAAGCAGAGUUGGGUGCUUCCGAUCGAAUUUUUAGAAAAAUCCUCUUUUAUAGAGACGAAGAAACUGAUGAAUAGACUCGACACCCCUACUAGUUCCUAGAUGAACCUGUAUGUCAAAUACCUAAAAGAUGGUGCGCUCUCAAAAGAUGAAAAAGAAGCCUAUAGGCUCCGAGUAAAGGCCACACACUUAUGCCUAAUCAAUGAUCACUUAUAUAGGUGCUCUUACGGGGACCCAUAUCUUAAGUGUGUACAAAAUGAUAAAGUUGAAUACUUGCUUGCCGAAGUCCAUGAAGGACAGUGCAGUAACCAUAGCGGGAGACGAUCCUUAGCUCAUAAGAUACUGUCCUAAGGAUACUAUUGGCCAACAAUCCACAAAGAUGCUACCACGCAUGUUCAAAAAUGCAACAAGUGUCAACACUACGCACCCAAAUGUGACCUCCUAGCCGAACAACUUACACCCAUUAUAAGCCCCUGGCUAUUCGUGCAAUGAGGACUUGACAUUGUUGAACUGCUAUCUAUGGCACCCGCUCUGAAACGUUUCCUCUUGGCAACUGAUUACUACUCAAAAAGUGUUAUUUCAUAGCUUGUAAUUAACUCUUUUAAAAAAUUUUGAGUAGUAGCUAUUACCUUUUAACUCAAUUGGCAUGUUAAGGACCCUUGCAAUCGUUUCUAAUCAAAUUGUGUUAAGUUUUGGUGUUUUUGAUAGCUUUUUUAUCACCAAAGCAAUCUAAGAUGAGGGAGAGCUUUAUAUAAUCCAUGGCAAAGAAAAUGGAAGCUAAUUUACAAGAAGAAUCCAAGAUUUGCAGCUUUGUAAUCCUUUUCCAAAAGCAAAUCAUGAAUGCAAGGAGGGAAAGCAAAGAGAGAAAUCUAACAUGAAGAAUUCAAGAGGACAGCAACUGUUGGACACAUUUCGAGUACUUCCUGGAUUCCAUUUCAUGCAUACUAUAUGUCGUUUUGAAUCUUGGGAAGUCAGGAGUCCAACGCUUUAAACGGUGCAUGAAUUGGAGUUGAAAUGAAGAAGUUAUGGUCGUUUGAAGACAACUGCACAAAGCUGAGCGGAAAUUUCGCAAUUGAGCCCCUAUUUCGCAGGUGGUUUCGCAGCUGCGAAACCACCCCUUGGCACACAAGUGCCAUUUCGCAGCCCUCCACCCUCAUUUCGCAGCUGUGAAAUGGGUUACAAAAACGCUUCUCCUCUGCGAAAUCGACCCCUAGCUACGAAUCACGUUGCGAAAUCACCUCCAAGCUAUGAAUCAAGUUGCAAAUCAUCUUCAAGUUGCGGAAUCACCUCCAAGUUGUGAAAUCAUAAAUUCAACUUGAAAAAUCAAAGUUCAAACUUGGAAAAUGGACAAUUCAACGUGCGAAAUCCACCUGUGCAAUCUCAAAUAUUUGCUACCGACUAAGUUAGAUUUUUUCUCAAGAUAUUUUGUGUAAAUUUCUAUUUUCUCCUUGUAAUCAGUCAAAGAUAUUAUUGGGAUAUUUCUUAGAAAAUAUCUUCUCUAUAUAUAUCUUUGAACCAAUGUAAUGGAAAAAAUCUUGUAAUAUAUGUAAUCCGAUGAGAGGAAGAAAUAUAUUUUACAGAGCACUUGCUCUGUUUUUCCUUCAUAUUUUUUUCUCUCGUUAUUUUUAUUUCUAGCCAAACAAACUCUGAGGAUGUUUCCUCAGAGGAUGAGUGGCUAGGCUCUUUGUCUCUUGGAGUGAAGAAAGCCGGGUAAGUUUCCACAUGCAUAAAUUGGAAGUUUUGUUGUUUCAGUUUUUAAUGAAAAGAAAGUGUGACUCGUUAAUGGUUUUUAUCUUUUUAGUUAACUUAAAACGCCUUGAAAUCACCUGGGCCAACACUUGGUAAGGCAAGUGGUCUCCAUCCAUUGAGAUACACUAGUUUAUCUUUUGCGAGCCUUUGGGAGGUGGUUUAAAGGUAGGAUUUUCAAGAAUAGCCAACACUUGGUAAGCUUUUGGACUCCAAGGAGACAUCCAUUAGUUAUCUCUUGCGAGCUUUUGAUGGGUAAUCCAAGGUUAAAGAUCACCUUGAAUGGCAAAUGCUGGGUGAGAGGUAUGAGCCAUUGCAAGAUGCAUCAGUGAGAGGGAUUUAGCGUUUGAACCCAUUAAGGGGAAGUAUCUGUACCACACCGGUUCGGGAAAUAACUAUAUGUUAAAUCCCUAAUGCGAGGAAAAGAAACAAGUGACCAGAACUCUCUUUUUGUAUUAGGAACCUGAGUCUAGUGAUAUGAAACUCUAAGAAACACUUUUCUUUGUAAUUAAAAUUAUUUACUAUUUUUGUUAGCUUAAAACCAACCUUUUCAAACAUCUUUAUGUUUUCUUUUAAAGCUAACCUUAAAAUGAAAAAGCACCAAUUCAUCUUUAAAUUGAUAUCAAUUGUGAAGUGAAAAACCCAUCCCAGUGAAUGAUCUUAGAGCCACUAUGCCAUGCUAGCUGAGGUUAUCCUAGUACAUGGUGUAAUAGGUUAUAAAUUUUGUUGAUUACUCCCUUCUAAGGACCAAAAUCAAGGGAUACCAGCUGGACACAAAUCAAAUGGCACCGUUGUUGGGGACCAUUGAGAGAACAUGAAUCAGCUGAUACACCAAUUGGGAACGAAUCAGUAGCCAUAGACUAUUUCUCAAAAUGGGUUGAUGUUGAGGCUUAUGACACCAUCAAAGACAUUAACGUACGAAACUUCGUGUGGCAAACAAUUGUUUGCCGAUUCAGCAUCCUUAGAGCACUAGUAUUUGAAACUGGCAUCCAGUUUAACAAUCACAUUUUUCUCUAGUUUUGCAUCAACCUCAAUAUUAGGAAAUUCUACUCUACACCAUGCUUUCUACAAAGAAACCACCAAGUUGAAGCUAUUAACAAAACCAUACUAGACUGUCUAAAAAAACGGUUGAAGAAAGUCGAAAGAAAGUGGGUUGAGGAGCUCCCGGGUGUCUUAUAGGCUUACUAGUCAACUCAAAGGAGGCCAAUUGAAGAAUCUUCAUUUUCUCUUGCCUUUAGAAUGGAGGUCAUCAUACCAACUGAAAUUGGUCUACCCAUAGAAUGUAUAAUUUUAGUAAACGUAAAUGCCCAUUUAGCUUUAAUCAAGCUUUCUUUGGACUUAGUUGACAAAAGAUGGGAUGGGACGGCCAUACGGAUGGUUGCUUACCACCAAUGGGUCAUGACAUAAUACAACAAAAGGGUUCGGUGUUGAAGAUUUCAUAUUGGGAAUCUCAUCUUUCGACGUGUUUUUGAAAAUAUGAAAGAGCUAGGAUAUGGCAAACUUGACUCUAACUGGAAAGGCCCCUAUUGGGUAACACGCGUUGGGUCGAGGUUGAGGCUUAUGACACCAUCAAGGACAUUGACGUACGAAACUUCGUGUGGCAAACAAUUGUUUGCCGAUUUAGCAUCCCUAGAGCACUUGUAUCUGAAACUGGCGUCCAGUUUGACAAUCGUAUUUUUCUCUAGUUUUGCAUCGACCUCAAUAUCAAGAACUUCUACUCUACACCAUGCUUUCCACAAAGAAACCACUAAGUUGAAGCUAUUAACAAAACCAUACUAGACUGUCUGAAAAAAACGGUUGGAGAAAGUCGAAGGAAAGUGGGUCGAGGAGCUCCCGGGUGUCUUAUAGGUCUACUAGACAACUCAAAGGAAGCCAAAUAAAGAAUCUCCAUUUUCUCUUGCCUUUAGAAUGGGGGUCAUCAUACCAAUCGAACUUGGUCUACCCACAGAACGUACAAUUUUAGCAGACACAAAUGCCCAUUUAGCCUUAAUCGAGUUUUCUUUGGACUUAGCUAACAAGACAUGAGACGGGGCAGCCAUAUGGAUGGUUGCUUACCACCAAUGGGUCAUGGCACAAUACAACAAAAGGGUUCAAAGUCAGAGAUUUCAUAUUAGGAAUCUCAUCUUCCGACGUGUUUUUGAAAAUAUGAAAGAGCCAGGAUAUGGCAAACUUUACCCUAACUGGGAAGGCCCCUAUCGGGUAACACACGUUGGGCCUAAUGACACUUACCAUUUGGAAGCAUUGGAUGGCAAGGCCCUUCCAAGGCCUUGGAAUGUACUUCACUUAAAGAAAUUUUAUCCAUGAAGGCAACUUUUUGAACAUAAAAUGAACUUUAGCUUUUAUUCAUGAAGGCAUGUUAAAAAAAAAAAAAAUCUGGCCAAACCAAAGUGCCUAAGAAGCCUAAGGUGCGCAAAGAGUAUUUGGGCAAGCCAAAGUGCCUAAGAAGCCUAAGGUACGCAAAAAGUAUUCAGGCAAGCCAAAGAGCCUAAAAAGCUAAGGUGCAUAAAAAGCAUUCGGGCAAGCCAGAGUGCCUAAAAAGCCCUUAAUGAAUGAAAACAUUCACCUAAAAGCAUCCGAACAAAAGCAUCCGACCUCACCAUUUAAUACCUAUAAAUAUCACCUAGGCUUGAGACCUCAAAAAAUUCAUAAAAUCUCAUGUACAAAAAUUAACGAAAAACAAAGCUUAAAUUUCAAUGUGAAUCAUAUGGUAGUAACAGUAUCUAAAACAAAAACCAAAAAAUAAUCCACCAAAACAUGUCAAAAAAAAUAAAAAAAUACCACUACAAAGUCACACAUCCCCAGGGGACCCAAAAGCCCCAACUUCGGUAGUCCUAACCGAAACCUCCUUAAUGACACCGUCAUCCCCGACAUCACCCUCGUUGUCAAUAUCCUAAUUGUUUUGAAUGUUGUGCUUCUUCAUGCAGCGUUCGUAGCCCAACUCGUAAGCACGAUCUACCUCAUCAAUAUAUCGAGGGACAAGUUCUUUCAAUUAUGUGGAAGCCUUCUCCAAAUCCUCACGAAGUGCCUCCACUUCCUUCUCUAGUCGAGAGCGCUCUUCAUUUGACAUAUCCAGUUUAGACUGAAGCUUCUAACUAUGCUCCUCAUCCGUCAAUUUCAACUUUAGUUCUUAGUCUCCCUGUUUGUAGCUUUUCGGUGAGGUCUCGGGCAUGACUUUCUAGUUUUGCAAUGGCAUAGUUCAGUUGAUCUAUGUUAGAAAUGCAGCCAUGAAGCUCAUUCUCACACCUCCUGAAAUCCCUGAUACCACGUUUCAUUUGUAAGAGAAAAGAGGGGAAAUGAGGGACACAACAAAUCAAAAUGGUGAUAGGAAUUAGUGGGUGCCAAAUAAAAGCAAAAGAAAACCUUACCAAUACACCCAAAUCCUAACUGGAAAACUAGGGUAUAACUAUAAGCACAUCCUGAAGAGAAAUAGCUCUUGACAUUAGAGUCGCCAUAAAUAGGCCUAAGAAAGAAUUCAGUUGAACCUGAGCAAUAGGGUCCCUAGCCACCAAGUUCAUAGUCGCCAAGUCAGUUUUCUAAACCUCUUCAAACCAAAGAAGUGAGUCUAAUAUCUCAAUUUCCGAGUGGGGCACAGAAGUGUCCCUAGGAGUAUCACUUUGGAAAACUACCAAACCUUUAUGAUGAGUGACCGUACUUCUCUUUCGAUGUUCGUCACCCCCGACAAGAAUAGAUUCCAGUCUCAUUCAUUGUUCAGGUGCGGGAUUAACCAGUUAAGAAGUCGUCGGUUUGCUUGAUGAUUGUGUCACUUGGAGGGAUCCAGAGGCCCGCUGAAACAACUCUUUAUAAGCAGCCUGCUGAGCCUGCAUUUGUCGAAGAGUACCAUCCUACCUUUUUUAAUAUCUCUUAGCUAGAAGCUUCUGCUUCUGACGCGCCUCCAACUCCUACAUGCGAGCUUCAUUAUAAUUCUCUAUGUUUGUGAUUACAAAGUGCUUGCCUUGCACUGGUGGACGAGGCACCAUUUUGGGUAGAAAAACCUAAACGAAUCGGUUCGGAUGCCUUUAGAUGUUAAGCCAGUUCAAAGUAGUUAGCAACACUUGAGAAUUCCUUUGAGUCAACUUAAUGUUUAGCAGCUAAUAGAUACAGUCAAAAGACACAUUUUCCACCCACUCGGCUAGGCGUCCUCGCUUUUCCUCCUCUACAAUAACCCGCCAUUAGAGAAGCCAAAGAAAAAAAAAAAAAAAACAUGAAGACAUGGUAGCAAUACUUGGGUAGAUAAUUGACCAAUUAAUCCGAAACUCCCUAUCCGGAUCACCAGGGGGCAUUUCCUAAGCCCCGAAAACAAGCACGUUCCCCUUCAACCAUCAUUUCCUAGAAUUUGGUAACUCUAUCACAAAUUGGAAAACGCGACAUUGCAUCGAUAAGGUGAAUAGGUCGGCAACACCUAAUUGGGUUGUAUACAUGAAUCACACUUUAAGCACUGAAAGCUCUAGGACGUAUAAUAUAUUCAACAUCGCGCAACCCAUAAGUACAUGCAUAUUGUUCGAGUACAUGUGUGCAGGGUGCAUCCCAGUAUGGUAUAGAAAUUGCCUCACUAGGGAGGGCAGUGACCGUUAAAGCCCCACCUAGAAUUGUUCCUAGGUAAAGAAGAUUUUACUAUAAGACAAGUUCAUGUUAGAUCUCAAGUUAUCAGGAUUUUCCGAGAAAACAACCCGCACAUCAUCUGGAAUAUCGUACUGAGCACAGAACUCUUCUAUCGAAGAGACCAUCUAGGAACGCAAUGACAUGACAACCUUACUCGCUUUGGUAUGCUUGCGGGCAACCGAGCCCAACAAGAUCGCUUGAAGCCGGUGAUUAACAAGGGGCUGCUUCUCACUCUCCUCACUCUCGAACUUUGAUGACAUCCCCGAAAGCUCUAGGACUACCUAGAAACACACACCACACUGUAAGACCAUCAUUGUGGAACACUAACCAAGGGGCAAGGCAACACCGACCCACUCCUGCGCACAUCCACCUCGACAAGAGAGCAAGUGCUCUACACGAACACAAAAAACCCCACUACCCAUGGAGCCCUGACCAACGCCUCCUCAAGAGCCACACACAAGAGAAGGAAAAAAUGCAACACACAAAAACCAACAAAAAAAAAGUGCAAGAAAAAGUGUUGGAACUUACUUGCAACGCAAUCACCGGUAGUAGUAGACCCUCCAUUUUGUCAUCUUAGCAGAUGUAACACUAGGUGCCUUCCUAUACUUCUUGAUUCAUGGUCAUCCCUUGGCCUUUCGAGCUAAGAUUAGGUCUCAUUUGGAUCUUUUUGAAGAUAGGUCCCACUUGAAUGUUUCUAUAGGCCUAAUUCACUUAAGUUAGUUUUUUAGUUUGAUUUCUGGGUUUUGAGUAUAAGUGAGCUUUGGCUUGAUUUUGGAUCUUCAACCAUAGGAAAUGAUUUUUUGAUAUUUGGAUAUACAAGAUGAAUUUUCAAUCUUCUGGUUCUCUCCCAUUUGGUUGAAAAUAUUUGUACUUGUUUUAUUUACUUUCUUUUUAUCUCAUUAUUAUUAUUAUUAUUAUUUUGGCAUGAGAUUUGUACUUUGAUUUCUUUUGCAUGUGCAUGAUUAAUGAUCGAUUUUAAACAUACAUGUGAUUGAUAUACUUUUUUUUUAUCGUAUAAUUUUGAUGUUUAGUGUUUUUUAGUUUGCCUUAUUCUUACUUUCAUCCUUAUUUUAUUUUUCAUGGGAUUUGACUAGUAUAUAUUAGAGAUUGAGGACUGGCAUUUUCUAGAAAACAUCCUUGGCAAGCACGUGGUCAUUCUUAGAAGGUUUUGUCAAAACAUGCAAGAAGUACAAUGCAAAUAAAAGUUUAGAAGAAGCGACAACUUUAACAAGUGAAGAUGUUGCUAUAAUUUGAUCCUCAACUGCCCAUGCAUUAGUAUCUAACCACACUAAGUGCAAUAAAGGUUUAAGUGUUUAAUCACGUAACAACCAUGCAACUCCCAUUAGUGUUGGGAUAUUGUCAUAUGAAUUUAAGACAGUCAAAGUGCAGCUUGGAUUCACUAUUUGAACUGCACCUCAACUAGGCCUUACCAAUAGUCUAAGUUUCUCAGGGUCCCACCUUUGAAUGCCAUGCAUGGCCAUUUGGGUGCAUGUAAUCCUCUCUAUGUGCAUGCAGUCAACAAGGCAUAACUGACGUUUUAUUGGUAAUUAGGAUACAAGUGAAGACCAUGUUAUGGACACCCAUGCAACAAGUAAGAGGAAUGGGCUAGGGCACGUGGGCAUCAAGAGGAGUGAUCUGCCAGAAUUUGAAAGAGUUGAGGUGGGAGUUUCGAAGGGUUUUUGCAUGGGAAAAGAGGGGGGUUUUGGAAAAACCAUAUGAGAGGCUAUUUUUUAGGAGAAAAUAUUCUAAUAUAAGGGGGAUUGAAAAAGAAAAAAUGAAAGGGAGGCGAUCUUGGGGAAUUUUUCAGAAAGGUUGAGAGGUUCUAAUUUUUGGAGAAAAAGAGAGAAAAAAAAAAAGGAAGGUGGAGAAAUCCUGAUAGAAAAUGUUAAAAAGAGAAAAAGAAACAGAGUGGGAGAAAAGCAGAGACAGAGAGAGAGAGAGAGAGCACAGGAAGGAAAAAAGGACUGGCAUGGGGAUGAGAUUUUCUGAUUUUCUGGGUAGAAAAAGAGGUUUCGGUAAAAUGGGUUUUGAGAAGUAAAACAAAGAAGGAGUAGAAUCAGAGGAGGAGUAGAAUCAGAGGAACACCUUGAGGUAUGACUAUUACAGAUUUCUUAUUUAUUUUUGUUAUUACCCUAUUCCUCAUUCAUUACAUGCUGUUCUUGGAUGUUUAUUUUUUCAAUUUGAGGUAUGAGUAGGAGAUGGUCAUAUGUUGUUUAUUAAUGUUUGAGACAUUUGCAAGUUGGUUGCCAUUUUUUCCAACUACCGUUUCUUUGUUUAUACUGGAUAAAUAAUACAGAUUUGGUCUAAUUUUGUUGUGUGAUGCUUAAAGAUCAUCUUUUUAUUAUUAUCAUUUUUUUUCUUAGAAUUUAUGGUCUCUCUCACCUGGCCUGUAAGCUCAUUGAUAUUCCAUGAGAUGAAUCUUCAUUUAAUGACUUAAUGAUUUGUGUUUAUAAUCUGUUUCUUUUGUUGCUAUAUUAGUGUUGUUUUCCUUUAGUUUUGGUGUCCAUCCCGUAGUGUGCAUCAGGUGGUUUACCACCAUGCAUUUCUUCUGGGUAGAAUGCCUUGGUUAUGAGUGUGUUCGGGUGAUUUUGGUGGAGAUACUUUCUGUUAAUGAAGAAAUGAAUUUUUGGAGAGUUGCAACCGUGUGUUCUCAUGGUUGAAUUGGACAGGGAAAUUAGAUGAUUCAACCGGGAUUUACUAGAGAUCAUGCGUGUAGUUUAUUUUAUUUUUUAUUUUUUAUGGCUGAAAAUGAUGGCACAUUGAGUAAAUAUUUAAUGGAAGAUGCAAUUGUUUUCAUGUGGAGAUCUAAUGGAGAAUACAACCACUUUCAUGUGAAGCCACUUGUUGUGUUAAUGGAGAAAAGAAAUACAAGUGAAAUUGGUCGUUAUGUGGUUGAAAUUCAUGUCGCUUUGGUGUUUGAGUGGAUAUCAUGCUAGUGGCUUCUAUGUUUAUUGAUUCUUUAAAAUAAAUAAAAAAUAAAAAAAUGAAAGUGUGAAUGUUGUGUGGAAGAAUAUGUAGAGAAUUUAAUGAAGAUUCAUAAGACAAUGACAUGGUGGAUGGAAUUAAAAAUAAAAUGAAUGGUGGAAUUUAUAUGCAGCAGCCAUGGAGAUCAUGCUAGUGGCUUUGAUGUUUAAUGCAUUUUAAAAAUGAAACAAUGGGGAUGUUGUGGCCGUGUAUGGAGUGCUCCUCUCAUGACUGAUUUAUAGAACAUUGUGGCUAUUAGUUUUGUGGCCAUGAAUGGAGUAUUUUUAUGAGAAUCCAUAAAAAAAUCAUGAAUGUGUAGUGGCUUUGGUUAUUAAUUUUUUUAUUGGUGAAUUCAUGAAGGAUUGAUGGAUGCGUAGUGACUUUGUAUGUUAAAUCUCCAUGGCUGAAUUUUUGUGGAGAAUCAUACAUAUAAUGGUCAUGUGUUAGUGCAUAAAUUCUGUGGAGAAACAAGUUGCAGACGUGCUGCACCAUUUUGCCACAUUGAUGUUGUGUUGAUGCUUGAUUUUUGGAGGAAUUUCAGCCACUUUAGUGCAUGUUUUUAUGACUGUGAGGAGAAAAGCAACAAGCACAUGAUCACACCAUCAGAUUUUAAGACCACCAAGCUGCCACUAUGAACACACACACAUCAGCCACACUCCCACUCUCAUCACACACAACUCAGCAUGCUUCACUCACAUUCGGUACACACUACUUUGUUUCCUUAGGAAUUUUUUCUUCUUCUUUUGGUUGUGUGAUUUUAUGUGAUUAUUUGUGUUUGUUAGUGAUUUCAAAAUGCCUAUCAAUCUACCUUUCUAAAAAUUAAUUCUCAAAAUUUCAAAUUCAGCUUGGACAUUGUUAUGUUAUGAAAAUUCAAUUUUCUAAAAAUUCAUGCAAAUAAUUUUAUUCGGUAUGCAUGUUUAAAAAAAGAAGUUUUAAAAUGAAUUUUGGUUUUGAAUAUACAUGAAUUAAAUUUCAUAACUCCAAUCAAUGGUGUCUUUAUGGAUAAAUUCAUGAAAAUUAAAAUGGGAUUUAAUAGAUCCCUACAUACAAAGUUUUUCUAAAGCAAUGUUUUUCAUUGAAAUUGUGGAUAGUUCACUGUACUUCUGUAUUUUUAAAUUGGAAUCUGAUAACUAAAAUGCCUUUUAAAAUUUUUCUAACUAUCCCAUGACAUUCUAGACUCUUGAACUUGAUUUUAGAAUCUUUCUUGGGUCAAAUAUGUUUCUUCAAUUAAGAGAUAUAAAUCAAUCUUUCAGAAGGUUCAGUUUUCACUCUAUUUUUGACACUCAAUUUUGUUUUUCAAAAUUAAAUUAAUAAGUGAACUAUUUAAUUUUUUUGGAAAUUUUUAUAUUAAUCUAUACUUCUUAAAGUUAGUUUUUGAUACAUAAAAAAUUAAUAAAUAAUUUUUUAAAUAAGAGAUAUAAUUUUUCUUCUUGUACCCACUGCACGAGUGCUUUUCUAGAGCUAAGAUAUUUUUAUUUAUUUUUAAAUAUGUUAUGAAUGUACUAUUGCCCUGUGAUAAUUUUUAAUAUAAAAUAGACACAUUUAGAUAUAUGUAUGAAUUUUUGUAUGAUUUUAGGACAUCUAUAAGUCAAUUGUAAAAAUAAAUUGUUUAAUUCCUUAAAAAGAUGCCUUAUUCUAGACCUAUUAUCAUCAUUAUGAAAUCUGGUACUAAAUGAAGGAUGGUUAAUUAAUUUGGUCACUUAGAUGAUAAAUUAGACAUACAGGAUAUGUUCUCUAAAAAUUUUCAUGAUAAACUUAACUUUUGGAUAUUUGUUUUAGAUUUAUUUUGUACAGUCUUCUGUUAUGAUCAUUUGCUGACUUUUUUUCCUUUUUUUUUUUUUUUUUUUUGUAGUAUUCCAUUUUUGAAUAAAUUUGUUAUUAAUAGGAAUUACGUAAUUUUUAUUUUGGUGAGAUAACCUUUCUUGAUAUUUAUUUGGAGUUUAUUUUGUGAACCAAUAUUCUACGCUUUUAAUGAUAUUUCAUUGGCUUUUGAUAAUUUAGUCACUUUUGAACAUACUUGUGAAUUUUCCUUGACUUGAGACAUGCUAAGUGUAUAUAUAUAUAUAUAUAUAUAUAUAUAUAUAUAUAUAUAUAUAUACAUAUAUAUACACAUAUAGGUCUAGUUAUUUUUUAUUUAUUAUUCUUUAAUCUUAUUAUUAUUAUUUGUGAAUUAACCUCAUUUUUAUAGAAGCACUGAUGCUUGCUGCACAGGUACACUCUCUAUUUUCCCAUUUCAAAGUUCCAUGAAUAUGUAUGUAAUUAAGAACUAUAUCCUCGUUUGAUAUUGACUUUGGGUGCCUUGAUGUUCAUUUGAUUUCUUUUGAUAAAAUGCAUGUUGAGUAAUAUAAUACCUGAACUAACUUUGGUGUUUUGUGAUAACAUUCAAGUUAUAGAUCUAGGUAUGCAUAUUAUCUUUUAUUUAUGAUAGUGGUUUGAAUCCUUGUUUGGCAUGCUAGAAUUAGUAUUGUAACAACUGGCUCCCAACCGUGUAGAUAUUGUCCAUUUUAGACUCAAAGGGGCCCUCAUGGUUUUAAAACCCGUCUACAGGGUUACGAGGAGUCCAUACUUAUAUGGCACUAGGAACUUUCCCUCUUAUCAGAUGUGGGAUGUCACAAACACCCCCCAUGUAGACACAACGUUCUCAUUGUGUCCCACAGGAUUGUGGGACCAAAUAGACAAACACCCUUAUGGGGCUAAACAAACCCUACACCGAGAUCGGGGAUCGACUCUGAUACCAUUUGUAACGACUCGCUCCUAACCGUGUAAAUAUUGUCCCUUUUGGACCCAAAAGGACCUUGAGUUUUUGAAAUCACCUUAAUCUAUCUAGGUAUUCAUAAUCAAUUGAUUAAUUAUCAUAUUUCCCUUAAUUAGGCUAUAGUAGAGACCUUGUUAGGGCUUAGGGGGGUGCUACUUCUUUAGAGGUACCUUCCUGAUAAGUAACCUGAUCCCCGGACCCAAACUAGGGUUUUUUGCAAGCAACUUUCAAAAAAAAUCAAGGGUCCUUUUGGGGGUUUUAUUCUUACUUGUUUUCCCAUUUAAAAAUAAAUAAAAGUAAUUGGUGACUCAAAAUUUUUAUAAAAAUUGGUUUUUCACUUUAAUCAAAAGCGAGUCUCGCCAAUCGAGUGGGAAUCCAUCAUGAAAAAUGUGAGUCAAUAGCAACAAUACCACAACGCAGCAAAAUCCAAGGCUCUUAGGCCGUGAUUGGCAAGGAUGACUACAAGCACAAAGUGAAAAUGAGCUUGGGUACCCCAAAAGUUUGCUCAUAAAAGAAAGAGGGGAGGCUUUGCCUAAGCAUUUAAUGCAGUGUGCCAAUCAAGUUGGGUGCUUGCCAUCAUGGUGCCACUUCCCAAGUGUUGCAUCCUUUAGGCGACGUAUGUUUGGCCUAUGAACCCCUACUCAUAGUCAGUGAAGAAGUUUUGCACCCAAAAGUCGCCCCGUUAACACAUUUCUGGUUUCCUUGAUCGCGAAAGGGGGACAUUGGAGAUACCGGGCUCAAAUGAGGGUCCGCUCAUUAGAGGAACCUAGCUUAAUUGGUGUCCAACCCAUGGAUUUUCCCACCCGUUUGAGUGGCCGAUACCCUUCCGUAGAACCGAAGCCUUCACCGAAAAGGUAACUAGAAUCACACGAACUGGGUUGGUCUCUUUGGACACGAUGGUUCUCGAAGUAGAAACGGUAAGCCACUAACUAAAGGAGAAUGACACCACCUCACCCGGGUCAAAUCUUCUCAAUAAAAUAGAGCUUACCUUGGAAGAAAGCCAUUAGGGCAGUGUGCUUAAAAAAUCCAAGCAUGGAUCCCCUAGGGGCCUUCCUAGUCGAUCUUGGAGAGUUGAACAAGUCUGGGAGCACAAUACCGACUUACACACUGACUCAUAUGGCAUAGACACCAUAGGUUGAGACAAGAUUAAUACAAGGAACGAGGGGCUAUGACAAGACUGGUGUGAGGACCAAAAGGGCGGUGACAAGACUGGUAUGAGGAACAAGAGGCUGUGACGAGAUUGAUAUGAGAAGCAAGUCCCAAAGCAAAGCUCUAACCGGUCUUAUUACCAACAAGUACCAGAGGGGUUAGCCAAGUGCUACUUGACACGGGUUUCAUCUACCCUGUGAUGUCCCACAUCAAAUAGGAGAGAAUGUUCCUGGCGCUAUAUAUGUAGAGGCUCCUCUUAACCAAGUAGACGUGUUUUAAAGCCGUGAGGGCUUCUUUGGGUCCAAAGCGGACAAUAUUUUCACGGUUGGGAGUGGGUCGUUACAUACCCAACCAUGGAUGCCACACAACCUUUGAUGUCCACCCUCAUGACACACCACUCCCUUAGGAGAAAGUUGACGUACUCAACCAGUCAGGUGAUGGCUUGGAAACCUUAUAAAAGGAAAAGAAGAAGAGAGGAAAAUGAGAGUUUUUUCUUGGUCUAAGACAAAGAAAGACUAAGGGACAUAUAAGAAGAGAAGGUGACACUUGAGGCAAUCUAGGGGCCCGAAUAGUCAUCAAAUCCUUGGAUUCGUAAAGGUUGUGCACCAAGACAAACCACAAACACCCCAUCCCACUAAAAAAUCAAAGAGAGAAAAGAAAAGAACAAAAAGAAAAGAAAAACAUAAAUGUCAACCAAGCAAUGAAUUUUUUUUUUUAGUUUGAUUUUGAAAGCAGAUAAAUGUCAGGUAUCCCAAUGAUGAGCUAUUUUUCUGAACCACUAGCACUAAGUAGGGCAUGUCGAUGAAUAGCCAAUGCAAAAAGUGAGCCCUUGUGAGCAUCUAUUGAGAGCUAGGCACAAUUGUCAUUUCUCACAUCAAGGAACUAAAUGUCACCAACUUGAGAUACACUCACAAUCUGGAGAAAGACAGUUAAACAACCAAGCAAGACAAGGUAAGACUCGUGGGAUUAUCCAAUAACCAUUUGAUUCAAGAUGAAACUAUUUUUCAUAAUCUCACACCCAAAUGUUCGCUAUAAGAAUGAUUUUUCAAGGGAAAUGAAGACUAUCAAAUAACUGCAUUUGAUAGACUGCAAAAAACCCAAAUUUUCACCCAGAAAAAAGGCAUGUAACCAUCAUGGUGCUCCAUUUACAUGAUGAAAUUUUAAACGACAUAGGAUCACAUGUAGACAUUAAAGCAUGCAUUAAAUGACAAUAAAUGAAAUGUUUACCUUUAUUAAUGCCAUGGAAAGCCAUUUUUGUGCUCCACUGGUGUCCAAGAAUAUGCUUAGUCCGUGGUGGUAUGAAAAUUCAGGUUCAAUGAGUUAUUCCCUUUUUACACCCAAGAUUCAGUCCGUGAGUGCUCUCAAGACGAAUGUGCAGUGCAUGCCCUUUUUUCAUCCCAAGAAGAAGAAGCCUUACUUUGUACUUAUAUAUACUCAUAUACAUCACACAUUACACACAUUAUUUGGACCACUUGACUUAAUGGGCCAGUAAAGUGAAUUAGGGUGAGCCCAUAAAAAAUCAAGCAACAAUAUGUGUCCAACCCCAUUAUAGACCAGAAUGCAAAAAUAAAAUAACAUUGAUUUAUGACGCUAUCACAUUGAUUAUGUAAGUCCACACAUAAAAAAUUCCAAAAAUUCUCCUACUUGGACUACAUAAUCAAACAUCACAAUAUAUACAUAAUCAUAAAUCAAUGUCCCAUAGAAUCUCAUCAAAACAAAUAAUCAAAAGCAAUCAUACAUGCUUCAUUGCUUGAUUCACAGGGAAAUAUACAAUAAUAGCAAUCCUUCCAACAAUAACAUAAUAUUAAAAUACCAAAAAUGGCUUCUACUAACUUAAUAUAACCUAGGCUCCCAACAACCCCAUUUGAGAUACAUGUUCAUGAAACACAACUAUGGGUAAGCCUUUUGUUAGUGGAUCAGCCAACAUACCUUUUGUUAACAUAUGUUUAAUAUCAAUAAGAGACUCUGCCACUUUCUCCUUAACAAAAUAGAAUUUUACAUCAAUAUGCUUGGAGCGAGAAGUACUCCUAGUGUUCUUAGAGAAAGCAACAACUGCGGAAUUAUAACAAAAUAAUUUCAAUGGUCUAGAAAUGGAGUCAACAACUCCCAAAGCUAAAAUAAAAUUCUGCAUCCAUAUAGCAUGACAAAAAGCCUCAUAACAUGUCACAUACUAUGCCUCCAUAGUUGAGGAUGUUGUAAGUGUUUGCUUGACACUUUUCCAAGAUACAACUCCUCCUGCCAUCACAAAAAUAUAGCUUGUAGUGGAUUUCUUAUCAUCUAUGCAACCAGUAAAAUCAACAUCACAAAACCCAACUACAUUAAGUAUGUUGGUGUGCUGAUAUGUCAAUAUUAAGUCCUUAGUUCCUUGCAAAUACCUAAGGACCUUCUUAGCAGCUUUCCAAUGUUGAUUUCCAAGAUUGCUCAAGUACCUUCCCAACAUGAAAACAACAAAAGCAAUAUUAGGGUGUGUACAUACUUGAGCAUACAUAAGGUUGCCAACCAAAGAUGAAUAAAGACUGGUUUUCAUUUCCUCUCUCUCAUCAUUGAUUCGUUCCCACUUAGUGUCUCAGCUGAUUCAUGUCCUCUCAAUGAUCCCUGACAGUGGUGCCAUUUGAUUCGUGUCCAGUUGGUGUCCCUUAAUUUUGGUCCUCAGGGAGUAAUCAACAAAAUUUAUAACCUAUUACACCAUGAACUAGGGUAGCAAAGACAAAGCUACUAUAGCAUAGUGGUUCUAGGAUCGUUCACUGGGAUGGGUUUUCACUUCACAAUUGAUAUUAAUUCAAAGCUGAAUUGGUGCCUUUUCAUUUCAAGUUUAGCUUUAAAAGAAAACAUAAAGAUGUUUGAAUGAAAAAUGUUUGGUUUUAAACUAACCAAAAAUAGUAACUGAUUUUACUUACAAAGAAAAGUGUUUCUUGGAGUUUAGAUCACUAGGCUUGGGUUCCUUGUACAAAAAGGGAGUUCCGGUCACUUGUUUCUUUUCCUCGCAUUAGAGAAUUAACAUAUAGUUAAUUCUCUAACCGGUGUGGUACAAAUGCUUCCCAUUAAUGGGUUCAAACACUAAAUCCCUCUCACUAAUGCAUCUUGCAAUGGCUCAUACCUCUCACCUAGCAUUUGCCAUUCAAGGUGAUCCUUAACCUUGGAUUACCCGUCAAAAGUUCGCAAGAGAUAACUAAUGGAUGUCUCCAUGGAGUCCAAAAGCUUACCAAGUGUUGGCUAUUCUAGAAAAUCCUACCUUCAAACCACCUCCCAAAGGCUCGCAAGAGAUAAACUAGUGCAUCUCAAUGGAUGGAGAUCACUUGCCUUACCAAGUGUUGGCCCAGGUGAUUUAAAGACGUUUUAAGUUGACUAAAAAGAUAAAAACCAUUAACGGGUCACACUUUCUCUUCAUUAAAAACUAAAACAACAAAACUUCCAAUUUAUGCAUGAGGAAACUUACCCGACUUUCUUCACUCCAAGAGACGAAGAGCCUAGCCUCUCAUCCUCUGAGGAAAAAUCCUCAGAGUUUGAUUGGCUAGAAAGAAAACUAACGAGAAAAAAAAAUAUAUAGGAAAAACAGAGCAAGUGCUCUGUAUUUUACUUCUUUGCAAAACUGUACAAAGGAUUGAUAUAUUGUGUAAAGGAAAUUACAAACUAUAUGUAAGGGGUUAUUCACCCUUUGUUCUUACUUAAAGACUAAGGAAUCCUAUGAUAGGUGGGUUACAAGGAGACUUUGGGGAUUUAGACAUUAAAUAUCUAAAGAAAAAUAUCUCAAAAUGUCGGUCGCACAUAUCGGGAAGCUUCAGGAGAACACCGCAGCACUAUGCAAAAUGGUUGCGAAACUCUCCGGGUAGGCGCUAUCAGAGGAUCCGGAUAUGUCUGACUAGGGAAGUUGAAACGCCCUCCUCUCCCAUCUGGGGUCAGGCACCGGAUGUGAAAUAUUCGGAGAAGGUGCCAGAUGUGAAAUAUCCGGAGAAGGUGGAACGUCAUCCGGACAGAAUUUCGGAUGUGAGAUACCCAGAGAAAGUGGAACGUCGCAAGGGGGACCGUCUGCGUGUGCAAGGUGUAGGGACCCCUCCGCCUGACGACACGGAGCGCGCAUCGCUAUCCGGAGCAACUCCAUCCGGAUUCCCCAAGAGGACACAUGGCGCGCUCCCCUAUCCGGACUCUCUCAGGGAGAAGCACACUGCACUCGCGAUCAUCACAUCCCGGAUGAUAGCAUAUCCUAUCCGGAUGUUGUCCGGAUCAUUGACUAAAGUGCACAAGCCUUGCUACGUCAUUCUGACAGCCUGCCACAGCCCACGUUCCGCCGCCCUCCGAUGGUGUGUCCGGACGGAAUUCCGGAUGUGCUUAUGGCAAAGGACUUCAAAGCUUUGGUUCUUCAUGUUUCUGAGCUUUCCAUUGCCUUGCCAUGGAUUUUAAAGAACUCUCCUCAAUCUUGGAUUGCUUUGGUGAUCAAAAAGCUAUCAAAACACCAAAACUUAACACAAUUUUAUUAAAAUUGAUUGCAAGGGUCCUUAAUAUGUUAAUUGGGUUAAAAAGUAAUAACUACUACUCAAAAGUGUUUAAAAAAGUUAAUUACAAGCUAUGAAAUAACACUUUUUGAGUAGUAAUCAAUCAUCAUUUUGAGGACAUUGAGCCUUUGAAAAUUUAUCACCCUUCACAAUUGGCGCUCUAGUAAAACUACAGUUGUGCAUAUUGAACUUCUUCAAUAUCUUCUCAAUAUAGGUUCUUUGAGACAAUUUAAGCACCCCGUUAGUCCUAUCACGAAGAAUCUUUAUGCCCAAAACAUAAGAAGCCUCACCAAGAUCCUUCAUGUCAAAAUGGGUUGACAACAUGUGCUUUGUCUCAAUCAACAAGUCAGAAUCAUUUUAUGCGAGUAGUAUAUCAUCAACAUAUAAAACAAGAAAUAUGUAACUACUCCCAAUGACCCUCAAUUAUAUGCAUUUGUCAACUAUAUUAUCUUUAAAACCAUUUUGGGUGAUAAUCCUAUCAAACUUCAGAUACCACUACUGAAGCCUAUUUAAGACCAUAAAUUGACUUAUUGAGCUAGCAAACUAAAUCUUCCUUUCCAACUUCUGCAAAACCAGUAGGUUGCUUCAUAUACACGUCCUCAUCCAGAUCACCAUUCAAGAAAGUUGUCUUGACAUCCAUUUGAUGUAGCUCCAAAUCAAAAUGAGCUACAAUGGCCAUAAUCACUCUAUAAGAGUCUUUGGUCAACACAUGUGAGAAGGUUUCUUUAAAAUCAAUUCCUUCUCUUUGACUAUAACCUUUAACCACAAGUCUAGCUUUAUAUCUCUCUAUUUGCCAACUAGAAUCACGUUUGGUCUUAAAACCCACUUGCAUCCAACUGGUUUACAACCAUGUGGCAAUUCGACCAAAUUCCAAACACCAUUCAUAUGCAUAGAGUUCAUUUAAUCGUCCAUGGUUUCUUUCCAAGAAGUGAAUUGAGGACAAUGAAUUGCUUUUUGAUAAGUGACUGGAUCAGAAACAUCAUAACCAUCAUACUCAUGCUCUUGCAAAUAAAUCAUGUAAUCAUCUGAAAUAAUCGGCCUACGAACCCUCUAUGAUAUUCUCAAAGGAAUCCCAUCAACAACAGUACCAUCAAUAGGAAUGCCAGGUUCCACUUGAUCACCAUGCUCUCCUUGAUUAGUGGCCGAAUGUUGGACAAUAGGAACAUCCACAUCUAGAACAUGAGAUGUAGGAAAAGGAAUUAUAACAUGCUAUUUUCCAAAAGGUAUCUCACGAGGCAUAAAAUUGGGAUCAACAUUAACUUCAUCUUCAAAGUAUACAACCCUGUCUGACUGAAUGAUCCUGGUGGUAUGAGAUGGACAAUAAAAUCCGAAAACCCUUGAUCCAACGCAAUAACCAACGAAGAAACCACUAAUGGUUUUAGGAUCAAGUUUUUUUUACUAUGGGUUAUAUGGCCUAACCUUAGCCUUACCUCCCCAAACAUGAAAAUGGUGAAGGCUCAGUUUCUUCCCUGGCCAUAACUCAUAAGGUGUCUUAAGCAUAGACUUAUUAGGCACUUGAUUCAAAAUAUAUGUCGCAGUCCUUAAGGCUUCACCCCACAGAAAUUCUAGUAAGGAGGAAUUAGACAACAUGCACCCUACCAUAUCCAACAAUGUGCAAUUCCUCCUUUCUGCAACCCCAUUCUAUUGAGGAGUGUCUGGCAUUGUAUAUCUAGCAUCAAUGCCGCAUUCCAACAGAAACUUAGCGAAUGGUCCAGGAUUCUAUCCAAUCUCAUCGUAUCUCCCAUAAUACUCACCAUCUCUAUCAGACUUCACAACUUUAAUGGGUUUUCCCAAUUGCAACUCCACCUUAGCCUUAAAGGCCAUAAACACAUUUAGGGAGUCAGAUUUCUAUGGGAUUAGUUCAACAUAACCAUAUCUAGAAAAAUCAUCAAUAAAAGUGAUGAAAUAUUUAUAACCCCCUAAAGCAGUUGGUGUUAAAGGACCACAUAUAUCUGUGUGGAUUAAGUCUAAAGUACUUCCACACCUAUCAAUCUUCUCAUUUUUUGUCUUAGUUGUCAUCUUCCCCUUUAAGCAAACAACAUAAGUCUCGAAGUCUAAGAAAUCAAGAUUAGAAAGCACAUCAUCUCUAACCAAUCUCUCUAAUCUUUGCCUAGAAAUAUGACCUAGGAGUUUGUGCCACAACAUGGAAGAACUCAAAUUCAUUCUAGCACGCUUGCAACCAACAACAGAAUUAACAAAAGAUGAAUCACACAAAGGACCAUGACGUAAACUGAGACUAUAAAGAUUGCCAAACAAAACAACAUUGCCAAUUAGAACUGAGUUGCUAAAUAUAUCCACUUUUCCUCCUCUAAAGUGGAAAGUGUAACCUUGUCUAUCUAAAAUAGAUAUAUAAAUCAAAUUCCUCAUAAGUAAGGGUAUGUAAGCAACAUUGUGUAACAACAAAAACUUUCUAUGAUCAAUCUUAGCUUUAUCAUGCCAAAAAAUUCUGCUUUCACUUUGCUUCCAUCACCCAUAUACACACAUUCUUCAUGCUUUGACUGCCUCCUUUUGUUUGUCAUCUCCUGCAAAGAAUUAGUGACAUGAAUAGUGGCACCAGUAUCUAACCACCAAGAAUUGGCAUGAACAUCAACAAUAUUAGUCUCAAUCAUGUUUGCAUUAAAAUUAACCACAACCAUAAUUUCACAUUUCUUCUUCUUCUCUAACCAAUUUUUAAACUUGAAGCAAUCAACUUGCUUGUGGCUAAUGUUGUGGCAAAAGUUGCACUUUCCCUUGAAUCUCUCAUUCUUUGUAGCAUUAGAAGAAGCAGAUGCAUUAGAGGUUCAUUAACUUGAAUUCCCUUUCCUCUUGAAUUGCUUAGAGCCUCUAAAAUUCUUGUGUGAAGGUUUUUUCUUCAUAUUACUCACUUGGUCAGUAACAAAAGCAAGUGAGUGAGUCUCAUUUUUCUUUAUUGAGACUUCAUGUUGCACCUCAAUGGACAUCAACUCCUCCAAAGUCCAUUCUUCCUUUAAGGCAUUAUAAGUCAACUUCACCGCAUCAAAGGAAAUAGGAAGAGACUCAAGUAUCAACCAUUUCAAGAAUUUCUCACUCAAUUCCACUUUCAUCUCAUUUGCCUUGUUGAAGUAGUGCUUUAGCUUUAUGAUGUGAUCUCUAACCCCACUUACUCCAUCAUACAUAGUGGUUGUGAGAAGCUUCAAAUAAGUUGUCAUUUUUUCCUUAUCAAUCUUGGUAUAAUUGGCUUUUACAUAUUCUAAAAAGUCUUUCGCCCUUUCCUUUUUUAGCACACAUUCUUUAAUAGAUUUAUCCAUAGUAUACUUCAUCACCAUCAAACAACUCUUAUUGAAGUGCUCCUAUAUCUCAUAAAAGGAUCCUUUAUCAACAGAGCUCACAUCAGUGGGCUUACUUGGCUCAUCAACUCUUAAAGCCAAGUCGAAAUUGUGCAGAGUCAUGCACAUUGAAAGACUCAUACCAUUCCUCAAAGUUAUUUCUAGUAAGAGGCUUGAUGGCAGAUAAUUGCAGAGUAAUUCCAGAAUUGCUAAUAGCUGGAAAAUAGCAAAAUUAAACAAUAUGCAUGUUACUAUAAUAUCAUGCUAUUUGCUAGUUUACAGAAUUUAUCAAUUUAGCAAUAGCUUGGAAUCUUGAAAUUCCACAGCGGUAAAGACAACUAAUUAAAUAUCAUAACCAAGAUGCACUAAUUUUAUUAACGAAAGGGCAAAAGAAAAUUAGUAUGGUUCAUAAUAUAUAAUUAAUUUCCUUCACCAAUCUAAGCAUCCUACCAAGUAUUAUAAUCAUCGAUAAGACAAUUAGAAUACCCAUAUGGACCUUAGUAAUCACAAUAAUAAAGCAACCAAAAGUGGGAGAUAAAAUAUCUCAACAAAGACAAUUUGACACAUAUAGGAUGACAAUAAGCAACCACAUAUAUGUUCACUAUUGUCAUGAUAAACUCAAAUAUUUAAUUUGCACAACUUGACACACUUAGAAUUGCGAUAGGCAAUCACACAAGUGUUCUUUAUUGCCAGAAUAAAUUUAAAUAUUUAACAGAAAAUGCUUAGGACAACAUUAUUGGUAUAAGAUAAAAAAUUGUACCAUAAAGAACCCAAUAAAAUCAAAUUUAACAAAUGCAUAAUAGUUCCAAGAAUACCAAUACAAAAAAAAAAAGUUUUUUUAUGAUGUCAGGAUGAUGUCAUCAUGCACGAUUCAUUUUCUCCAUUGGGCUGAACACAACCUGGUUCUUCUAGAGAAAAAAAAAUCGGCCAAAAUUUUGUGCAUUUUUCGACGAAAACACUUAAGUUUCCAUCCUCAAACAUCAAUCCUUCAAUCUAAACCCAAAAAAUUACACAAAAAAUGCAUAAAAUGAAGAACCAAAAUAAGCCCUAAUUUUCGAAAUCCCAUCAAAUGAGCUCCAAAAACCAUAAAAUAAAAAAAAUGUUUUGCUCCAAACAAUAUUUUCUACAAGUCUCCAACAUCAAUCGGGCUUGAAAACCGAGAAUCAACACCAAAUGAAAAAAAAAACUCCAAAAAAUGGCUUCCAAACCAGAAAACGGGAAACCCAAAAUAACCCAAAUAUGCAGCUCAAAUGUCAUCUAUGUAUGAGCUCUGAUACCAACUGACGAAAUUUUAAACGACAUAAAAUCACAUGUAGACAUUAAAGCAUGCAUUAAAUGACAAUAAAUAAAAUGCUUACCUUGAUUAAUGUCAUGGAAAGCCAUUUUCGCGCUCCACUAGUAUCCAAAAUAUGCUCAGUCCAUGAUGGUAUGAAAAUCCAGGUUUAAUGAGCUCUUUCAUUUCUACACCCAAGAUUCAAUCUGUGUGUGCUCUCAAGACGAGUAUGCAGUGUGUGCCAUUUUUUUCAGCCCAAGAAGAAGAAGAAGAAACCUUCCUUUGCACUUAUAUAUAUCACACAUUCUACACAUUAUUUGGACCACUUGACUUAAUGGGCCAGUCAAGUAAAUUAGGGUGAGCCCAUAAAAAAUCAAGCAACAAUAUGUGUCCAGCCCCAUUAUGGACCACAAUGCAAAAAUAAAAUAACAUUGAUUUAUGUCAUUAUCACAUUGAUUAUGUAAGUCCACACAUAAAAAAUUCCAACAUUACCUUCAUAGGAUCCAGCCCAAGCCGAAAGCCAAUUCCCACCUCCCCUUCUACUCUUUGAGUGUGUGGUCAUGGUGCACAGAUAAGCCUAAAAAUCAUAAUCCUCAAAUACUCAUUAGUCACCAAUCCUAUGGCAACUAAAGUAGGAAAAAUAGAACAAAUAAAAAAUUGAUAUUACAAAAGGUUGAUUUCAAAAUUGAAGAUAGUUUUAUCCUGAAAAGCUAGGAGAUUGUACCAUGUUUCUUAUAUAUUCGAAAUCCAAGAAUGAGACAGAUUGAACUUCUUACACCCACAAGGAUGGGAUACUUGACUAUCGAACCAUUUUGGAUUUUCUACAUAACUUUUUUUGUACAUGUAACAUAGCCAAACUAGUGUACCAUGUGGUUAACAAUAUGGAAUUGCACUAGGUAUUUCAUGCUUUCGUACGUACUCAUGCAUAGCUCAUACCCUAUGAGUUAAAUCACUACAAUAAUUACGAGUUUUUACCAUAAAUUAAUUUAUGGUUAAAAAAGAGUAUUUUAUAGUAAAAGAAUUUUUUACUACAAAAACUUAUUUAUGGCAAGUUUGUUGUUAUAAAUCCGUGAACAAUUAUUUUUAACCACUACAUUUAAUUUAUAACAAAAUAAAUAAUUUUUUCACAAAAUAAAAUUUAUAACAUAUUACUUUUUACCACAAAACAAUUUUGCAGCAACAUAUGAUCACUUUUUAUCAUAAAAUAAAUUUGUAGCAACAUGCAUGUUAUUUUUUAUUGUAAAAUAAAAUUUGUGACAAUAUUGUUCUCAUAGAAAUAAUCAUGGUAAAAGACCACUUUUUUGCCAUAAAAAAAUUCACAGUAAAAAGUAACCUUUUUUUUCAUGAAAUAUAAUUUUUUUGACAAAAUAUAUUUUACUAAAAAUAAAUAAAUUAUUCUUAUGCAACUAACAUGUUUCACCUUUAAUUCAUUUCCCCUAUUUCAACUGUUUAGAACCUCAUAUUUGUUUCAAUUUUGAUUCAUCUCCCCCAUUUCAACUUUUUAGAAUCUCAUAUUUUUUCCUGAUCAAAAUAAAGUUGAAGGUCUCUUUUUUAUUAACAGUGAGUCCACAUGGUAAGCAUAGAUUUAUUUUUGGUAAUUACGCUUGAUAUUAAAAUAAUAAUAAUAAUAAUAAUAAUAAUAAUCAAAAGCAUCAUUACAUGGGAAAACUGAUUGCAUUGACCACUGUGGGGCUUCUGACAUCGUGCUUAUCUGAGCAUAUGAGCCUUCCAAAAAGACUCACCUCCCUCAUCACCUCUCUUUGCCUCCAAUGCCACCUUCAACGUUUUCUCUUUGAUUACUCUUUUCAAAAUUAAAGCGUAUUGGGUUCCACCUUCACCAAUAUUCCACAUGGCACCUCCGUUUGAACUGUGGAUGUAGCUGGUUCCAACAUUCUUCAAGGUCCCACUCAUUGUUACCUUGCCUGAGAGACAGGGACAGUAAUGGAGGAGUAGUUUGAAUCCAAAUAAAUUUAUUUAUUUGGUACUAUAAUUUGUAACCCACCUUGCGGAUUUCUGGAGUGAUUGGAUUAGGGCCCCCGGGACAAAAAAGAAGGCAUGAUCGGUGCUGCUGCUGUACCCACUUCAGUUGCACCACUUAUGUAAAGCCACAGGGUACCUGAAAGUGAAAAGACAAAAAACUAAGAUAAAAAUUCCUUAAAUACUAAGAUGGGUCAUCUCCGAAAAUGGAUUUUACAUGGUGUCAGGAAGCUAACAGCCCGGAAUUAAGCAUUUAGGGACAAGAAAGAACAUUACUUGGUAGUGUGAAUGUAUAACAAAAUGGAAAGACCAUCAAAUGCAGAGACAUGUGAUGUAAGAACGAAGUGUGGCUCAGGGAACAACGUAUCUGUGGACAGACAGUCAGAAAGAAUCAUCACGAUGCCACCUGCCUCAGCAACCACCCAGCUCUUUUCAACAUUGUCAUUGACUCCAACCAGGCAGUAUACUAUCUUCCUUUUGACCUUCUCUAGGUCCAGGGAUCCAACAGAGCAAAGUUGUCUACAACACCGAGAGAAAGCAAAUGUUACCAGUCAUGCCUAUAGAAUGAGACCUAGUUGGUGUAGAAGCAUCUCUUGCAGAAGCAUUAGCAGCUCUAGCAUCUACAGAAUGUACCAGGGGAUAAAACUUCUCAGCUGGUAAACCAUUGGUGUAGAAGCUCCGGCCCUGAUUAAAAACAAAUCACAAGAGUUCAAUACAGAAGAAUAACAGACCAUGAAAAACUUUAUAUGAGAAUCUUAUAUCUAUUCCAAAAAUAUGAUUUCCAUUCCUGAAUUCAAAGCCAAAAAACUUACCACAUCUUAAGAAUUUUUUAAAAGAGACUGAUGGUAUUUCUAGAUAGAGAAUAGCAAUUAACAAAACAAGAAGAAAUUCAAAAUUUAUUUAUUUAUCUAUUUUAUAUCUUUAUUUAACAAUUCAAUUCAAUUUUACACAUCAAUUAUUGAUAUCUUCAGUUUGAUAUAAUGCUCAUUUGAUAGUUGUGUUUCUAACAAUAAAUUGAAUGGACUGUAGUUUUCCGUCGGUCACUAGUUACAUUUCUAUACAACAAAAUAGAACAAGAACUAUUUAAAAGAGGGAUUCAAGUGGCUAGGCAUAUCAAGGGAAAGGCUGGCCUCAUGCAUUGGACGGUUUUGAUUACUAGUUCAAGUCUUGGGCUCAAAAUGAGGCAAGUCUGUCAGGUGAUUGCCCAUUUUCCAUUGGAAGGUUAAAGAAGGGAGUUAUGGCUCAAUUCUACCACUACAUACUUAUCUUAUCUCCAUCUCCACAGCUCUCUGCUCUUUGCUAGGUCUUUCUUUUGAGGGAAAUUUCAUGUUACCAAUUCCCCACUAUACCCAAACUGCCAACUUUGAACCUGAGCAUUCCAGUGAUAUGACUAAAAAGACAUAAAUUUGAAGCUUCCAGAGAAAACUUCACCUGCUCAAGCAGUUAAAUUACAGGAUUAGACUAUUGUUAAUUCUAACAGCAUAGCCAAAGCUACAAAAUCUUAGGAACACAAGGCUAAUAAAUCAAAACCACUAAAAUGACAUGAAAGAAUAGGAUUCAUGACCUAAGCAUAAGAAGACUAGAAUAUAAAUUGCUAGACCAACCAAUUAAAUAAAAAUCUUGAAGUGGAUAAUAUUUUACUCAAAAGUUUUGAAAGAAACAUGCCAGCUUAACCUAGGCAAUGUUUGCAAUAAUAUGUAAUCAAAAUCCUCAAAUAUAAAGAAAAACAUGAGUCUUCAGUAACCGAAGACAAGAUGCAUCAUGCACAUUCUAAUGAAAGUUAGAAGAAAAUGGACAGGAAUAAGAUAAUGGGUACCCAUGUGUUUUUUUUUUUUUUUUUUGCUUUUUUAGGGGUAGAGGGGGGUUGGCGUGGGGAGUUUGAGCAAUAAUAAGAUUAUCACACAGUGCGUAAGCCAAAUGGUCAGCAUCGUACACAGUCCCCAGCGUGUGGAGCAGGUAUAAAUGAUACCUUGUCACUAAAUUUAAAUUUAUAAAACAUACAAACUUCAGCACUAAAAACAGACCUGUAUAAUCACAUCUGCAGUAAAAAAUACAAAAUUCUCAUAAAAUGAAAUAAAAAAAUAAAUACACUGAAUGAUGGCUGUGCUGCACUACUAAGAAGUAAGGCUCCAUGCUGUUUGACCUUGGCUCAGCUUAUGUGGACGUGUUCUACCUCAUCAGAUAAGUUUAAAACAAGCAUGGAGACUUUCAAUUGAGAUGAGUGAGUCAUACGACCAGUUUAAUUUGAACAUUGGAGAUUGAGAGGUUAACUUUUAUUAAAUACCUUUCUGAUUUCACUACCGAAAAGAUUGGUUGUCCCCAGGGAUUGAAAAAUCGGGAAAUAUCGGAUAUCGGUUGUCCUCGAAACGAUAAUCGCCACCGAUUAUCGAUCCCUGGGAAUAUCGCCAAAAAAUCAGUAAAAUCGCCGAUAUAUCGGUGAAACACCAAUAAAUCGGCGAUAAAUCACGAGUGGAGACACAUGCGGAGAAUCCGGAGGACGAGUUCAAAAAAUUGGCGAUUUUACCGAUUUAUCGCUAAUUUUUUGGAAAAAUCAGCGAUAUUUUGCCGAUAAAUUCGUGAUUAAUCGGCGAUUUUUUGGAAAAAUCAGCGAUUUUUUUUCAACUUAAGGAAUUUGAUCCGACAACCAUAUUUGAAUUUUUGAGGAUCUGAUGGCCUAGAUUUCACCCGUGUAUUUGUAAAGGCCUCCAAUGGUCAGAUUUGUGAUCCAAUGAUGGAAAAUCAAUCUUCACUUUAUCCAAGGGCUAUGAAGUGUUUCCAACGGUUAUAUGAAGAUCUAAUGGUGAAAUUUGAACCAAAUUUUUAUCCAACGGUUAAAAUUAAUUUAUAACGGCUAUUUGACCAUCCAACGGCUAGUUUGACCAAAAAAUUCCUAUAAAUACCCACAUUCCAUUCCAUUUCAUACAUCAAAAUUCUUAUAUGAUCUAGCAAAAUUUUUAAAUUUUGAAAAUUUGGUGGUGAAGAGGAUUAACUCCAAGUCAAGGCUAAUUAAGGUAUGUCUUACCUUUCAUAAAAUUUAUUUUUAUUAUGCAUAAUUCAAUUUUAUUUGUUAUAUAUAGUUUAAUUGAUAUUAUCUAAUUUGAAAUUUUGUCAUUUUAACAUUAAAUUUCAUAUGGAAUGGAAAUUGAUUUGACAUAUAUGCAUAUUUAGUUUCAUAUGGAAAUUUAAUUCAUGCAUAAUUCAAUUUUAAUAAUGAUUCUUAUCAAAUUCAUGAAUAUGCAAUUUUAAUUUAAUUCAAUUUAAAUUUAAUUCAUAUGGAAAUGUAAUUGUAAUGUUUAUCUAUUUCAUAUAUGCAUAAUUUAAUUUUAAUUUUAAUUUUUAUUAGUUCUUAUCAAUUUCAUGAAUAUUAAAUUUCUUACAUGUUUUAUCUUUAAUAAUUUUAAAUUUGAUAUUAGUUUCAUACUUCAAUUUUAGAAAAUGGCUAGUGAAAGCGAUAUCAUGGGUCGAGAUCCUUGUUGGAAAUAUUGUACACCUAUGGAAGGGAACAAAAAUGGAACAGUAUGCAAUUACUGUGGGUUGGCAAUAAAGAGUGGUGGGAUUACUUGUUUUAAAUUUCACCUAUCACAUACAGACCCUAAUUCAAAUACAAAAAAGUGUCCUAAUGUGCCUCAAGAAGUGAAACAAGAAAUAAGACGACUUUUAGAGCAAAAAAAUAAGGCAAAAGCGAAGAAAGCUAUAGAUGUAGAAGAUAUCUGAACUGCGAGACAUAAUGGGAAGAAGACAUAGGCAUGUAACUGAUGAGGACGAUGAGGAGAAACUUGGUGGUGAUGAUGACGAUGGAGAUGAUGAUGUGUAUAUGUAUCCGGCUGACAUGCACCCCGAUGAGCGGCAUGCUUAUAGAGAGGCGGUUCGAGCAUCAAAAGCUGCUAAAUGGAAUCGACAACAAGAAAAACAUUUUGUAAAAGGCAAAAGAAAAAUAGCUAUAAUAUUAAUUUGAAUUAUUACUGUUUCUUAUCAACUUUAUCAAUAAUAUUAAAUUAACAUAUAUGUUUAAUUUUAAUAAUUAUAAUAGGCGAGUCUUCACAUCCAACCAAUCCAACAACAAGGCAAAUGCAAAAAUCGCAAAGUGUUCGAUAUUCAAAUCCAUCACUGCCUGAUGCACCCUCAUUGUAAAAAAAUUUUCAGCAGCAAGACAGAAAAAUAUGAAAAAUCUUUUCAAAGGUGAUGCCAUCAAGGAAACCAUGGGACGUUUGAUCAGUAAGUUCUUCAUAUAUGAGAGUGUUUCGCCCAAUAAAGCAGACCCUCACCACUUCAAGAACAUGAUUGUUGGUGCACAACAAGCAGGUAAUUACUAUAAUUUUAAAAGUUGUAUUCAUUUUAAUAAUAUCAUUACUAUUUAUAUAGUAUGAUUGCCACAAAUGUUCUUAUAUGCUUUAAUUAUAUAUGGAUGGUAGGUAUGGGUAUAGAACCAUCGUCUCCUUAUGAAAUCAAACACAAGUAUUUGGAUAUGGAGUACAAAGACAUGGAAGUUUAUGUCAAUAUUCAAAGAGAAAAGUGGAAGACUUAUGGAUGCACGAUUAUGUGUAACAGAUGGAUUGGGCCCACGAAAUUAAGCAUAAUUAAUUUCAUGGUAUAUUCAAAAGGUAGCACAAUCUUCCUCAAAUCUAUUGAUGCAUCAAAUAAUAUAAAGGACAACAAAUACAUAUAUGGUUUGUUGAAGGAUGUGAUCAAGGAAGUUGGGAAACAAAAUGUGGUACAAAUAGUUACAGAUAAUGGGUCGACAUUCGUGAAGGUGGGGAAGUUGUUAAUGAAGAAAUACAAUCUUUAUUGGACUCUGUGUGCAGCACAUUGCAUCGACUUAAUGUUUGAAGACAUUGGUAAAAGGAAGAGUAUUGCAGAUGUGAUUACAAAGGCUCGAAAGAUAACCAACUUCAUUUAUAACCAUAGUUGGUUGGUUGCGCAGAUGCGGAAGGUGUGUGGUGGAGACAUAGUUCAUCCUAGAGUAACAAGAUUUGCAACCAAUUAUAUGGCCCUCGGUAGUCUUUUGAAAAAGAAAGCAAACUUGAAGAAAGUGUUUAUCAGUGAUGAAUUGGCACGACACAACUUAAGUCGCACAUUAAUCGGCAAAAAAGUUGAAUCACUUAUGUUUGACCAUGUGUACUGGGAGAGAGUGGGAAAGCUAGUGUCAAUAUAUGAGGCGCUAUACAUGGUUCUUCGCAUUGUCGAUUCAAAAGUUAUUCCUACAAUGCCAUUUGUGUAUGAAUUGAUUCGAGUUAUGAAAGAGAACCUCAUUCGACUUAAUGCUAAAGAAUGGGUGUUAGAAAUAAUUGCAGAACGUUGGGAUAGAACUCUUAAACAUCAUCUUCAUACAGCAGGUAAGUAUUAUUCAUCUUCAAAAGUUAUUGGUAUUUAAUAUGUGUCUUUCAUAACAUUCUAAUUUUACAUUUCUACUUUACUAUUGUAGCAUUCUUUCUUAAUCCAAGAUUUUAAUAUAAACGUGGAGUUGGUACUGAUCCUGAUCUACUUCAAGCUGUUCAUGAAGUCUUUACGAAAUUAGAUCCUACAUCAGAAAGUCUUAGUCAAUUUGGAAAUGAGGUAAAUUAUUAGAGUUAUAAUAUAAAUUAAAUAAUUGAAUUUCAUUUACUCAAUUUUUUCACUUUCAAUUAUUUAAUAUGUAGAUUAUACUAUUCAGAUAUGCAAAAAGAGGAUUUGGUGAUCAAGAAGCGAUUGCUUCGAGGUCAGAAAUGGUUCCCGAUGAGUAUUAUUUGUGAAUUAAUAAUUCAUUUCAUUAGCAUAUUAUUGUAGCUUUCCAAUAUAAGUAUUGAUAUCAUUUAUUUAGUUGUAGCUGAAUGGUGGUUUAUGUAUGGAAAUCACACUCCUACAUUAAGAAGGUUAGCCAUCAAGGUUUUAUCGCAAACUGCAUCAUCUUCAGCUUGUGAGAGAAAUUGGAGCACGUUUGCCUUAAUUCAUACAAAACAAAGAAAUCAGCUUGCUUACCCGAUGCUCCAACAAUUAGUUUUCUGUUAUUAUAACAUGAAACUAAAGAUACGUGACAUGGAAGCAGAACAUGACAAAGUUGCAAAGAAAGAUUACCUCGAUUUACUUGACAUUGCAACUGAGGUUGGUGAAGAAGAAGAUAACCAAUUGUUUCAAUGGGUUAAACCUCUUCAUUUAGAUGAUGAAGAUGGAAAUCCCAACCCACGAAUUGCUGCACAUGUCCAAGAAGCAGCUGUUGAUGUUGAUCGGGUGUUAUCCGAAGAAGUUCAUACUGAUAGUUUCAGCUAAGACACAAGAGAUUCAUUUCGACAAGGAAUUUCUUAGCCGGCAGUCACUUCUCGACCUUCUUUUGACUCCACAAGUGUUGAACAUAGUAGUAGACCUAGAGCUAUUGGUAUUUUCGCUUCCGGUUAUCAUGGUUCAAGAGGAGAGGGGACCAAUGAUGGUAGCAGCCUUGGAAAUGAUGAAGGGGAUGUUAGACAACAACAACAAAGUGGACAACCAUUGGCAUUUACUUGUGAAGAUGAUUUCACACAUUGUACUCAAGAUGAAGACCACGACUCUAGAAGAGCUGGUUCAUGUGUUGGAGCCAUUGGAAAGCCAUAUAGAGGAAGACAACGAAGGAUGAUGCCAUACAACGAGGACUCAUUGUCAGCCAGUUUUGAGUCGAUGAGUGUAGAGACUCAAUUCAAUGAUUCAUCAAACGAAGUCAACAUUUAUGCCCCUUAUGCAAUGAGUUAUGGUCAGCCUCCUCAAAAUCUUUCACGUUCAACUGAUGAAGAGUAUGAAAGGUAUAACUAUCCUUCUUCCACACAAAUGCCAUACUACUUUCCACAUCAGCUGCAACAACAAGGAUUUCAAACGAGCACAUGGGAAAACCCUGGAUUUCCCAUCCAUGGAUAGGUUGUCGGUAGGACUCAUGAAAUUUAUGCAUGGCAUAUUCGUACAUACAAUCAAUACUAUCGAAACUCCAUGUCCUGGUAUGAAUAUUGUCUUCAAUAAGAUGGGCUCCCUUCAUCUAACAAUAACAAUAUGAUGGAACCACAUCGAUCUUCAUUUUGGUCUUAAGGACCAUUGCAAUGUCAUAUGUAUUAUUUUUAUGUAUAAAUUGUUUUCAUUUAAUGAAAUCAAAUAUUUCUUAACUCAAUUCUAACUUUCUAAGUGUAUAAUUCCAAAUUUCAUAUUUUCUAUUCUUAAAAUCCAAGUAUCGUAAACUGUUUACCGAUAUUUUUUUCUUUGACCAUAUUUAUGUCAAUUACACUUAUAAAAUAACUUUAACAUUUAUAUUCUUGUUUAUUUUAUCAUUCUUUGGAUUUUUCUAAGCAUUCCCAUCAAUUUUGGAUAAUUUUUGUCUCAUCGAUAUUUGAUGAAAAAUAUCCACCGAUAUUUCUCCGAUAUUUCCGAUAUAUCCGUAAAAUCUAAGUACCGAUAUAUCCGUAUUUACCGAUAUUUCAAUCAUUGGUUGUCCCUGAUGCACCAACAUAAAUAGGUUAUUAUAAAAGGAUUCUAUGCAAGUUUAUGAUACAGCAUUUCUUUCAAGUCAUUCAUAAUUCCAAGGACAAAUAUGCAAAAUAAAGAGUUUUCAUUUUUUUUUUUAUCAAACAAUUAAAUAAAAUUCAACACAGAAAAUUUGAAAGAAUCAUUACUUAAAACUUUAAACACUUACAACUCUACACUAAGGUUUAUAGAACUUAAUUUUUAGUUCUAUCAAACACCUGACAUUUUUCGCCCAUGUAUCUGGCAAUCUUUGCUUCUUAUCCAAAAGGCCAUAAUGCUAAAAAUCCUAGCUACAGAAAUAGAUAAGUAAAAUUAUAAGACAUUUGAGGAUUAGUAUCUGUUGAAAGCAAAGAGUUUUCACACAUUAGAUGCCUGUAGAACAAAACCAUUCAGAAGUUGACCCAAAUCCAUAGCCUUGCAGCCAAAAGGAAAGGCAAAUCAAAUCUUCACGACAAUGCAUUCCAAGCUCCUCAGUUGGCUACAAAUCAAACUUAUGCUAUCCCAUAGUCCAAGUAAAAAAGAGAUUGAAUACCUAAUGAUAAGGAUGUGAAAGGAACAUACAAUUUUCAAGGAUCCCCAUAUGGGUUCUCGUGUAUGCUUUGUGUGCGUUAAUGCUGCAUCUGUAUAUAGUUCUCUUAUACUAAAAAAUACAUACUAUUUUUUAAAAAUUUAGAGUUUGUUUGGUGCUGUUUUUUUAAAUUGUUUUCGAAAAUAGUUUUUUAGAAACAAUUUUUGGUGUUUUUCAGAAAAAAAAAAUUAAAAAAAAUUGUGUUUAUGAACUAAAUUUUGAAAAACAGUUUUUGUUCCAAAAAACAAAGAAAACAUGUUUGGUUAAGUUAAUAAGAAAGUUUUUUUAAAACAAAUAAAACAAAAAACAUGUUCGAAAGUUUUUUUUAAUUAAUAAAAUAUUUUCUUCAAUUAACUUGAUAUUAUAAAUAUAUAAAUAAUUUUUAUACGCACAAUUCAUUUAAAUUAAAAAAAUUAUUUUCUUUUGAAAUUUUUACACCAGUUAUAAUUUUUUUAAAUAAAGGAUGACUCUAUAGCCAUAUGUAAGUAUAUUAAUUUCAAUAAUUUAAGGAAGAAGAAAGGACUUGGAGGUGAGGGUGUGGUGGUUGGGUGGAACUCACCUUUGUGGAAACACAAAAAGCAAUUAGGGAAAAAAAAAAGAAAAAAAAAAAGAAAAUACAUAGAACAAUAUGUUAUUUGAAUAAUGAAAAAAUAAUGAAAACAUUUUUUUAUUAUUCUAAAAAAUGUGGUUUUUGAGAACACGGGAAACACAAAAAAUAAAAACACACCCCCUUCCCCAAACAUAUUUUUAGUGUUUUUUGUUUUCAAUAACAGAAAACAGUUCUUGAAAAUAACAACCAAGUAGCCCAAGCAGCCCUUAUAUUCUCCAUUAAGGAAAGAUGACAAUAGCUAGCAAAACGUUAUGAGACUUGAACAGAAUUGCUAAAAUAGGCCAACUAAUGAAGCAAAGAAGAGGAAACCAUUCAAAAGUUAAAAGUGCAACCGAGUGAAAGAGGUACCAUCUUGAAGAGCUGACAUCAAUUCUGGCAGUUCAGGAUCCUGCUCCAAAUAACAAAUAUGCAGACCACAUCAAAACAACAGUGCAUUGGAUGAUACAACUGACACUUACAAAAUCAGUAUGGCAUACAAGCAGAGAGUGGACAAAGUAUGUAUAAUAUGAGAUACUCAAAUAAAGAGUUAAAAACACAGUCAUUGUGUCCCUAUUGUCCACCAUGUCCACAACCAGAGCUAAACAUGGGUACCACAAUGCAUUCUGAUGAUUGUUGAUGUCUCGCGUCCCUGACGAUCCACGUAGUUGCCAAAUGGAUGGAUGCGCGACCUCAACCAAAAUAGGUUCUUGAUUCAGUCGUUAUACCUGCAAAAAAUGCAUUCGGACAGGGUGUCUGGACACACCCUCCGAUGGUUUUGUUAGCCAUGAUUUGGGAGAGAGAUAAAUCAGUUGGCUUUUUACUAGGUAUAGCAAGCUUACCUUCCUCUUUGUGUGAAGGUUGAUAUAUAUAGUAUCAGAAGCUUUGAUUCCCUCUUUAAUGGCAGGGAGAUAUUUUGUGUUGUUAUGAUGACAUUAGGUGGUGGCAGGGCUAUCAUCACCCUACGGGUGGCUGACAGAGAUCGUGGUAGGUGAUGCGGCUGUCAGAGAUCGUGGGAAGUGACCAUGUGGAAUGAUCGUAGGAAGUGACUUGUUGUCACUUCAUCUUGUCCUCUCACCCUGCAGGCGGCGGAACGUGGGCCAUGACAGGCUAUUGUGGUAACGUGUGAGACUUGCUUACUUCAGUCAAUGAUCCGGACCAUUGUAUCCGGAUGGCAUAUGUUGAUCAUCCGGAUGUAUUGUGUAAGCCGUCCGGAUGAUAUGUUUAUAAAUGUCGUUUGAUCUUCCUUGAGGUAGUCGGGAAACGCGUGCCAUGUGUGCUUUAUAGGAAGAUCCGGAUGAGGGUGACUUGGAUGACAAUGCGUGCCAUGUGUCACUAUAAGAUGCGUGCCACGUGUUCUCGGAGGGAGGGGUCCCUACAAUGCCCCUCUUUUUAACUUGCCUAUUUUGCCUGAGAAAAAAUGGGCGGGUUAAAAAAUAAUUGGAUUUUUGAAACCGAAGUCGACUUUUUGUCUGGUUGGGCCAUGUGGCGAGUGGGGGUGCGGGAGCCAAAAAGGCAUUUAUGAUGAGCCACCGAAUCUGGGUAUUCCCAGGCAGCAUGUCGUUUCAAUGAUGGCGUUGUUGGGCGUUUGGCUUUCCGAGGGGCUGUCCCCCUAUAAAUAGCAUACUGUGCCUUCUGUUGCAUUUUUCCUACUGCGUUUUUUCUGAGAGUUUUUGCUUCUUCUUCCUUCUGUGCUUUCUUCUGCUUUUUCUGAGUGAAGCCCUAGAACCUUUCUGCCGGUGAUUUUCAUGCUUGCAACAGCAACCUUUCUUCUUUAGAUUUCCACUCGGUAUGUGCAUUUUGCUCUUGUUUUCCCCUUUGUUGCACUUUGUUGUUUGUUGGCUUCAUUUCUGUCUUUUUGGGCAAGCCGCUUGCGAUUGUAUGUUGUAUGUUUGGUAUUUGUUGGUUUUCUGGGAUUUUUUUAAGGUGUUUUUGACAGUUUUUGGUUAGGGUUUGUGAGUUUUCUGGAUUGCUGUGUUUGAUUGUUGCGCUUCUUGUAUGUAGGUUUCGGUUCAGCCUUAGGCUUAAAAAAUGUCUUCAAAGAAGAAAGUUGUCUCCUCUGUCCGGGUCGGCGAUGCUUAUGAGAAAUCUACAGACAAACUGAGUGUAAAGGAGUUCCGGGAUCGAUUCUGCAUCCCAAAUAGCGUGAUUGUGGAAUUUCUGAAUGAGGGGGAGGAUGUCGUGUCUACUGAAAAAGCUGAAGGACGCGCCAUCACCUUCUCAAAAGAACAAUUUAACGCCGGGCUUCGGUUCCCUCUUCCAGCAUUGUUCAAGGAAUUCCUUCACUUUUCCAAGAUUCCACCAGCCUUCAUUCAUCCCAACAUAGUCCGGGUGCUGAUGGGAUGCAGCAUUAUAAACAUGCUGUUCAAUCUCGACCUCACACUACUGGAGGUUCUUUUCGUCUACUCCCUGAAGAAGGGAAAAAAUGACAUCUUUAGCAUGUCUGCUCACCUGCCCUCCCUUCAAUUGGUGACGGAGCUGCCGGAUUCGACGAAGGAAGGGGCGAAGGGACACGUGGUGGUCCGAGGUGCAUGUGCGGGGUUUUUAGAGCGUCCGGGGAGGCCUUUUUGUCCAAACUAUUCAAUGGAGAUUCCGGGUACGUCAGCUUGCGGGUUUUGUCCGGCUUUUAACUUGUUGUCUUUUUGUUGAUUUUUCCGGAUGGUAUUCUUAUCUUUGGUUGCUGAUAACGUAGGUCCGGAAAGGAGGGGCCACAUAGUCGACUGGGUGGAAAAGACCUCUUUUGCCUAUCUCAAUAAAUUAUUUGAGAUAGACGCUAAGGAGAGGCAUUAUGCGACGCUGCUCACUACGCGGAACCUAAUGGCCGUCGUCCGGGAGUCCCAGGAGUAUGUCGUCAACAUUCUCCCUAGGAAGCUGCCAAAGGAGGUAGUGCCUGGGGAGUAUUACGUUCUGAAGGAUCUCCCUAUCUAUCAGGAGGUGAAAGAAGCUGAUGCUGAAAAACGCCGAGCACUCCUUGAUGAUAGGGAGAAGAGAAAAAAUGAGGGAACUCUUCGGAAGGCUCCCGAAUAGAAACGCAGCGCAGCCUCCCCUCCCAAGAAAGCCCCAGCGAAGAAGAGGAAGCUGGUCAAAAAUGGGAAGGGAGUGAAGGAGCCCAUUCCCCCAAAGGAAUUUGGUCCUCCGCCUAUUACCCAUGCGGCGGAGGUAAUAAUAGAGGAGCCAGUGAACCCUGCCCCCCACUCUAUUUCAAGUGGCCCUGGGCACGUCGCGGGGCUGAACCAUUCGGGGCUCUCCAUGUCGGUGGUUGCCCGUUUGGCUACUUUGGCUGAUGAAGCUGCGUCCAUAAACCAUGCUGGCUCCCCCCAUUCAGAUGUUGAUGCAGUUGAGGCCCUUUGCGCGACUCCAAUGGAGGAAACGGGGGUAGAAAGCCAGAGUCAGCCCUCUAACGAUCCAAACUGCCUCGCUCUUGUUCCGGUAAAGGGGUCACCUUCAAAGCGGUCGUGCUCGGCGCGCAAUCUAAAGUCUGGACUCAUCGGGAGGCUUCAAGAUCGAUUGCAAGAGAUUGAAGUUAGUUGCUCAUCCGCCCAAGAUGCUCAUCCGGAGGGGAGCGAGGUGGAGAUGGCAACUGAGACUUCAAUCGUCCCGGUGGUGGUUCCGGAUGAGGAUGCUCCAGGAGAGACCCAUCCGGCCGAAAAUGUUGAGGCCCCGAAUCCGGAAGAGGAGUCGCCUUCUGUCGCCUCAUCAGGGAGGAAUCCGGUUAAUGAUGUUGCUUGCACCCCCGCUAGUCCUUUUAGCUACGCGGAGUUGGAAGAUAAGCUGAAAUAGAUUCCACCCGGCUUGACCACUGUCAUGCCUUCAGCCAAGAUGUUCGAGAUGGUGGAAUCGGUAUACUGUUUUUGUGCUUUUUGAUUCUUUGUCAUUCUGAUGUGUUUUUGUAGUGUGAUUGAUAACUUUGCUUCUCUUGUUUGUGUGUUUGUCUGCAGCUGGUGAGUGGUCUCCGCGGCAUGGCCCAACAACACGAUCUUUUCACUGACCUGCUGCGGACCACUGAUUACAUGAGGGCCUUCGCCGCUUGGCGCAAAGAUAGUGAAGACCAGUUGCGCCUGAGACUGGAGGAGGCCGAAGCCAGUUUAUCCACCGCUCGAGAGGACAAUGAAGCUCUCCGGGCGGAUUUGGCUGAGGCAAAGAGCCGGGAGGAGUCGACGGUUGUUCGCCUGCAUGAGGCAGAGGAUGAGGUGGCCCGGCUGAGAGGGGAGGUGAGGUAACUCCGGGCGGAGGCUUCGAUUGAAAAGAAGCAGAAGGAGGAUUUGCAGCUGCGCCUAGCCGCGCAAAAAGAGGAACUAGAGGGAGAGUUUGCUGCAGACAGGGAGGCGCUUGAAGCGGACUACCAAAAGCAAGUGGAUGACAUGUUCUUCUUCGGCUAUCGCUGCUGUAUGAAGAAGAAUGGCAUCAAGCGGGAUGUCCCUUCAAUUCCUCCGGAUGAAGAGAAGAAACUUUUAGACAAGCCUGCUCCCUGAUAGCUUUUCUCUUUUUGCAAUUUUUGCUGUAAUCUUCUUUCUGUACUUUCUGUGGUCCGGAGACCUCCUUGUACAUAUAUUUAUACAUAUGAAUAAAAGAUUUCUUUUUACUCAUUUGUAUUUCGACUUUCUUUUUAUUGAUAACACUGUUUUAAAUUAGACACAUUCCAUGGUCUAAGUAAUGGAGUUCCGUCUAACUUUUGUAGAUGAUAUGCUCCACUUUCACUUGCCUUGGACACUAUAUAGGGUCCUUCCCAGUUAGCUUGGAAUUUCCCUGCGCCUGUUUCAGCAGUGUUUUCAAAAACUUUUCUAAAGACUAGCGUACCAUUUUUGAAGCUUCUGGGCCUUAUUUUGCGAUUGUAAUGAGCGGAUGCUCUUUGUUGAUAGUCUGCCAUUCGGAUGGCUGGCUUUCCCUUACUUCAUCUGCCCAAUCCAAGUUUCUUCCCAAUUCUGUGUUUGCAUCAUCCUGUUUUGCUGCUUCAGUCCGGAUAAUGGGUAACCCAAUUUCGGUAGGAAUUACUGCGUCCAUACCGUAUGCAAGGGCGAAGGGGGUGUUUCCUGUUGGCCAUCCGGGUGUGGUUCGAUAGGCCCACAAGACGCCGGGCAACUCUUCCACCCACUUUCCUUUGGCUUGUUCGAGCCUUUUCUUUAAGGCAGUGAUCAGAGUUUUAUUUGUGGCUUCUGCUUGCCCGUUACUUUGAGGAUAACACGGUGUGGAGUAUGAAUUCCGGAUGUUCAGCUCUGAACUGAAAUUCCUGAAUGCGAUGCUGUCAAAUUGAGGACCAUUGUCAACUAUGAUGGUUUGUGGAAUUCCAAAACGGCAGACAAUGUUUUUCCAUACGAACUUGGUGACAUCUUUGUCUUUAAUGCUAGCAUAUGCUUCAGCUUCCACCCACUUACUGAAAUAAUCUGUGGCAACGAGCAAAAUUUCUUUUGGGCAGGUACAGCUGGGAGGGGUCCCACUAUGUCCAUGCCCCAUUGCGCAAAGGGCCAUGGGCCUGAGAUUGACUUCAAUGUUGCUGACGGCAUAUGUGGAAUGGGAGCAUACCUUUGACAUUUAUCACACUUCUUGACAUAGGCUGCCGCAUUUUGUUUCAUUGUUGGCCAAUAAUAUCCUUGCGAAUGGGCUCUAUGUGCCAGAGAUCGUCCUCCUGAAUGAUUUCCGCAUACUCCCUCAUGCAAUUCAGCUAACACAUACUGGGCCUCUGAAUGCCCUAGGCACUGAAGAUUCGGUCCUGUGAAGGAUCGUUUGUAUAAGUGCCCCCCAAUUAAGGUGAAACAGGCAGCUUGCACCCGGAUUUUGUGUGCCUGUUUGGGAUCCCGGGUAGAGUGCCUGUCCGGAAAUAUUCUGCAAUAUUGUCCGUCCACUCUUGGUCGUUUGCUUGGGUUGCUUCAAUGGUAUUGCAAGUGGAGCUCCCUACGACAGAGGGGUUGGUUUGCACAUGUAUAGGCAGUAGAAUAGCUUCUUUGAUGGGGAGGGAGGCAGCUAUACCGGCCAAGGCUUCAGCGCGCCCAUUUUCAGUUCGCCUGAUUUUUUCGAUUGUCCAUUCGGUGAAUUGCUGCAAGGUGUUCCUUACUUUCGUUAGAUAUCGCGUCAUGCAUGCAUCCUUGGCCUCAUAUUCCUUCUGGACGUGUCUUACCACGAGUUGCGAAUCACUGUAGAUCCGGAGCUUGGAGACGGAUAGGGCACAGGCGAGGUCCAAUCCGGACAAGAUGGCCUCAUAUUCUGCUUCAUUGUUAGAGGUAGGGAAUCCCAACCGGAUGGCUUGCUCGAGGUGCUCCCCGGUUGGGAAUUGUAGCAGAAGCCCGACUCCAGAUCCUGAUAAUCGUGAAGCUCCAUCAACUCGCAAAGUCCACCAUUCUUUUUCAUUUGAUUCCUGGUGUUGGUUAGGCCUUCGGGAAUAUUCUAGCACUAAGUCAGCCAUUACUUGGCCUUUCAUGGACAACCUGGGUUGGAAUUCGAUUCCAAAUUCGCUCAAUUCGAUAGCCCACUGCAGCAUUCUUUCGGUUAAAUCUGGUUUGUGCAGAAUGUUGCGGAGGGGUUGAUCGGUCAGCACAACCACCGGGUGGGCUUGGAAAUAGGGGCGGAGCUUUUGGGCAGCGCUUCAGAGGGCUAAGGCUGUUAGCUUCAUUUUUUAAUACCUGGUUUCUACGUCCGCCAAUGCUCUGCUGACGUAGUAGAUUGGUUUCUGCUCCUUGGGUAAGGGGCAGCGAAAUAGAACGGCGCUGAUUGCCCAUUCCGAUACAGCUAGAUACAUGUACAAUUUUUCUUUUGGAAUGGGACUGCUUAGGAUGGGUGGCUUCGUAAGACAAUGUUUAAUCUUUUCAAAAGCGUUUUGACAGCUGUCCGUCCAUCCGUUUGCUCUAGCCUUUCGAAUUGCCAAGAAGAAAGAUCGCAAUUCAUCAGUAAAGCGGGCUAUAAAAAGCCCUAGUGCGACGAGUUUGCCCGUGAGGCGCUGUAAUUCCUUCUUGCUCCUGGGGGGAGGUGUUUCCAUGACUGCCUUGACUUGGUCUGGGCUCACCUCUAUCCCUCUUUGGCUGACCAUAAAACCCAGAAAUUUGCCAGCACUUACGCCAAAGGCGCAUUUGGAAGGAUUUAGCUUCAUGUCAUACUUUCUUAAGAGGUGAAAAACUUCUUGUAAGUGAAGAACAUGCUCCUCUCGGGUUUUGCUUUUAACCACUAUAUCAUCAAUAUAUACCUCUACCGUGUGGCCUAUCAGCGGUUUGAAGAUCUUUGUCAUCAGUCUUUGAUAAGUGGCGCCAGCGUUUUUGAGUCCGAAUGGCAUGACUUUGUAGCAGUAGAGGCCGUAUGGUGUUAUGAAUGUUGUCUUUUCUUCGUCAGCUGGGGACAUGGGAAUUUGGUGAUAUUCGGAGAAGGCAUCCAAGAAAGAGAGCAUCCCUUGCCCGGCAGUGGAAUCCACAAUUUGAUCUAUUCGUGGCAAAGGGAAACUGUCUUUUAGGCAUGCAUUAUUAAGGUUGGUGUAAUCUACGCAAACCCGCCAUUUUCCUUAUUUUUUGGGUACCACUACCACGUUGGCUAACCAAUCCGGAUAAGCUACUUCUCUGAUGAAUCCGGCUUCCAGCAAUUUGUCAAUCUCAUUCCGGAUGACUUUUUGUCUAUCCGGGUGAAAGCGCCUAAUUUUCUGCCGGAUGGGUUUGGCAGUUGAAAAGACGUUAAGCCUGUGAGAUGCAAUAGAGGGAUGAAUUCCCCUCAUAUCAGAAUGUGCCCAUGCGAAGAUGUCAUGAUUCUGUCUGAGAAUAUUUUGCAUGCUCUGAGUUUCUUCGGUCGUCAUGAGGGAACUGAUGUUCGUGAGGUGAGUGUUUUCCUCCGAAAUUUGGAUCUUUUGUAAGGGAUCUACUGCCGGGGGAUCUUUGUCCGCCAGACCCAAUAAUUGUUAUUGGUCAUGUGUAUGGCUGGGUUCAGGGGGAGAUGCAUCCUCCUAGUUGGCUCCUGCUUCUCGUGCUAUCUAAUAGCAUUGGCGAGUGGCCAGCUGGCUGUCAUAUAAGUCAAUUUGCCCUUCGUUGGUGAGGAAACUCACCAUUUGAUGAUAUGUAGAGGGGAUGGCCCCAAGAUGAUAUUGAAGGGUGAUAACUCUUGUACCACCUAGAAUUGUACGUUGAGAGUGACUGGGCCAGCUUGGACCGGCAGUAUAAUGUCUCCCAAGGACGUAGUUGAUGAUCCGUUGAAUCCGGAUAAGAUUCGUCCGGGGUUUUCAAGGACUGCGAGACUGUGUCCCAUGUGGCUAACGACCGAUGCUUGCACAAGGUCGGCCGAGCUGCCUGGGUCAACCAAGAUACGCCGCACAUCGAAGUCUCCUAUUUCCAGGGACAAGAUGAGGGCGUCGCGAUAUGGUUGCAGUGUCCGGGUGGGAUCUACUAGUGGGAAAAUGAUUGUUCCAUCUAUGGGGCGAGGGUCUCCUCCAGUUAACCCAGGCCGGAUGGAAUUGAUGCGUUCGCGUAUUGAUGCGGCCCGCAACAAUUUUUGCCUCUUUCGCCUAGAGUCGUACUCCUCGUCAGAUGGACCUCCGUUAAUAUAGUUUAUAACGACCUUGGGGGCGGCUGGGGCCCUGGGGGCGGCUGGGGCCCUGGGGGCUCCAGGAUUGUGAUGUUGGGAAGUGACUUUUCCUUCAGUAUCUGAGCGGAGAUAUUGCUUUAGAUGUCCUGCCUUGAUAAGCUUCUCGACCAGAUACUGGAGGCUCCUGCAUGUUUCUGUCGUGUGACCGUGUUCCUUGUGGAAGGCACAUGUCUUGCUAUGAUCCCUUGUGGAUGGGUCUGUUCCUUGGGGUCUUGGCCACCUGAAGUCAGACAAGCCUUGGAUCAUUGGGAGAAGUUUUUCAUACGAUAUGGAAAGAGGUGUGAGAGGCGGCCUAUCCGGGCGACUUGGUCCCUCCUGCCUCCGAUCGGACGGCCUUGGUCGGUCCGGAGGUUUGGCAUUUCUCUCCACGUCACCUCUAGAUGGUCGUCCGGCAACCAAAACUUGCUGGGUGGCUGCACGCACGUCAUCUUCGAGCAUUGAAUAUUUGUUGGCACGCCUGAAUAAGUCAUCCAUCGUUGUAGGAGGCUUUUUGGCUAGUAAUUCGAAAAAUGGAGUGCCUGGACAGAUGCUUCGCUUGAAGAUCUGCAGGACAGCAUCCAUGCUGCAAGCCUCUACUUGAAGUACGGCUUGGCCAAACCGCUUCACAAAUUCCCUCAAGGAUUCGUUAUCUUGCAUUUUUAUGUUCUGCAGGGUGCUGAUAUUUUGCUUGUGUCGAGUGGAACACAAGUAUUGUCCCACGAAAGCUUCGGACAAGUCCUUGAAAUUGCCAACAGAGUUGGAAGGUAAGCGAUGAAACCAUGAGAGGGUCUGCCCUUGUAGGCUGGCGGGGAACACUUUGCACAGUAGCGCAUCGUUGCCAAUAUCGAGCGUCAUAAGCUGCCGAUAAAGCAUAAUGUGGUCGAAGGAAUCACUGGUCCCAUAGUAUGUGGAAAAUUUUGGUACGAGGAAUCCCCUUGGGGGCUCGUAAUGAAUGAUAUGAGAGCAGAAGGGCGUGGAGAGCAUGUCAUCCAGCCUUCUGCUGAUGGAGCCAAUGGGUGGCUCGUUUGGGAGGUUUCCCCCAGCUUGCUGUACCGCUGGGUGCGAAUGAACGUUCCGCGUCACGGGGGUGACCAUGGGGUCACGAUGCGGGUGAACGUUCUGCACCAUGGGGGUGACCAUGGGUUAGGGCGUGGUGCCCAGGUUGUGGCUCCUGGUGGCCUUGGUCUUCCAGGCUCUUGUGGGCCUAGUCUUGCGCGCAUUGAAUUUGACAACUGAGAUCUUCUAUCACGUUGUCUUUUUGCUGAAAAAUGAGUAGAGUCUGAGCUUUCCUCACGGGGAGCUCGGGGCAUAGGCGUGUGUGGCUCAUGAGGCCUCACGUUGCAUGCUCCUGGGAUAGCUCCUGUUGUCCCAGGAUAUAUUGAUUCUGGUUCUUGUUGAGGCCUUGAGUUUGCUACUUGGCUUCUUGAACGCUGACGUCGAGGAGGCCCUGAUGUUGAAGCUUGGAUGCGUAAUACAACGUUUUCUUCUCUCAAUCUUUCUGUUUCCUGGAGGAGAGCUUUCAGUUGUCGUUCGCUUGCCAACUGUCUUCUUUCGAUGGUUUGACGCCAUUCAAAAUUAUCAUCCUCUCCCCUACCAGAUGAACGGCUUCGGGAUGGUGUGGCCAUCUUUGCUAGUGACUGACUCAAAAUGAAAAGGUUCCCACAGACGACGCCAAUGUUGAUACCUCGCGUCCCUAACGAUCCACGUAGUUGCCAAAUGGAUGGAUGCGCGACCUCAACAAAAAUAGGUUCUUGAUUCAGUCGUUAUACCUGCAAAAAAGGUAUCCGGACAGGGUGUCCAGACGCACCCUCCGAUGGUUUUGUUAGCCAUGGUUUGGGAGAGAGAUAAAUCAGUUGGCUUUUUACUAGGUAUAGCAAGCUUACCUUCCUCUUUGUGUGAAGGUUGAUAUAUAUAGUAUCAGAAGCUUUGAUUCCCUCUUUAAUGGCAAGGAGAUAUUUUGUGUUGUUAUGAUGACAUUAGGAGGUGGCAGGGCUAUCAUCACCCUACGGGUGGCUGACAGAGAUCGUGGUAGGUGAUGCGGCUGUCAGAGAUCGUGGGAAGUGACCAUGUGGAAUGAUCGUAGGAAGUGACUUGUUGUCACUUCAUCUUGUCCUCUCACCCUGCAGGCGGCGGAACGUGGGCCAUGACAGGCUAUUGUGGUAACGUGUGAGACUUGCUUACUUCAGUCAAUGAUCCGGACCAUUGUAUCCGGAUGGCAUAUGUUGAUCAUCCGGAUAUAUUGUGUAAGCCGUUCAGAUGAUAUGUUUAUAAAUGUCGUUUGAUCUUCCUUGAGGUAGUCCGGAAAAGCGUGCCAUGUGUGCUUUAUAGGAAGAUCCGGAUGAGGGUGACUCGGAUGACAAUGCGUGCCAUGUGUCACUAUAAGAUGCGUGCCACGUGUUCUCGGAGGGAGGGGUCCCUACAAUGAUGACUUCCUUACUAUACUACUACAAGACCAGAUUGAAGUCCUCCAAGUUCUUCAUCAGCAUCAGGGGGUUUAUGUUGGUGAUCGUCUACAAGUAAACAUUUCUGUAUUAUGAGGCAGCUUUAAUCUAUGAAAAUAAUGCAUUCUUCAUAUUCGUUGCAUUGCAUUUCUGAUACUUGUAGAAAUGCUUACACUAGUGCAAACCAAAGUGAGAUACAGAUUAUGUACUCAUUAAUCAGUGACUAAAAAUAACUUUGUUUAUUGUUGUUCUCUUCAGUCUAUAACCAACGACAGGUUUAAGAGUACAGAACACAGAGUAUUGGCAAACCGACGGGGUUGAAGAGUCUCAGUAUUUGGGUAAAUAAAAAUUUAUCAGGAAAAUUGUCAUCUAUUUGCCAUAAAUAAAAAUUAUUUGGGAAAAAAAUUAUUUGUCAUAAAUAAAAAUUUAUGACAUGAUUUUCUAAUAACCAUUUACAUUAACUCAUAUUGUGAUUGAAUUUAUUUUUUUAUUAUGAACACAAGAUUCAUACUAAAAUAUUAUGAAAAUGUAUUAGCCUCAAAUGUAUUUUGUGGCUGAACAUAUUCCUUUGCCACAAAUAAAAAUUUCAUCCCUACAAGAACUUUUUUACCACUAAAAGAAAAUUCAUUGCAAAAAUCUUUUGUUUUUGUUUUUGUUUUUAUCUUUUGCCAUUAAAUACUGUUCAUAUAUAAAAAAAAAAGGAUUGUAGCAACAAGAGCUCUACUACAAUAAAUUCAUUUAGUUACAUGAAACAGUGAUCUACUUGCCUGAAAUUGUAUGUUGGCCAGUGCCGCCUCCUUCAUCUGAAAUCUAUGUUUAAAGACCCACCUUUAACUUAUUGAAAAACAUUUGAAUCUAUGCGGCUUUUCUAUCGUCAAGUCGGGGCCGAAUGUAAUCAAGCAAAGGGUAUUAUUGUUCAUGAUGGGUGUGUCCCUUACUCUUCAUUGUUGAUUUCUUCCACAGCUAUUACCCUACCUUGUUUUCUUUUGUUCAUGAGUCAAAUGUAUAAAUCUUAUAGCAGAGAUCGAGUUUCAGAUCACUGAUUCAAUGCUCUUUUGGAUUGAUCAAAAACUUGAGAUGAAUAAGCAGAAAUUUAUUAACAUGGUCCAGAUUGGCUCAAUUCUCUAGGAUUGUUUGCAAGAUUGUAGGAGAUGGGGAUGUGAUAGACGAGAAUCUUAUUUUUGGUGAGCCAUCAUGUUUGAGCAUAAUUUCCUUUAUGUUUUUAAGUACUAAAGGUAAUAAUGAUAUUUCAAGUUUGGAAAUACAUACAUCCACUUCUAGCUUAUAUAAACAUUAUUUUGUAAUUGAAACUUUUCAAUUAUUAUGUUGAAGUCAUAUAAAAUUAAUUAAUUGAAUGUUAAUAAAUUUAAUACAAAUUAAUAAAAUUAAAUAGAAUUAACAGAAAGGUAUCACCUGAAUACUCUUCUAUUUCUAUAAUUUUUCAAAACAAAAAAUAUAAAUGAUUUUUCAAUUAUAUUUUUAUUUUUUGUAAACAUAAAAUAUAUUUGGUGGUUAAAAUUUUUGUUUUAUUUUAAAAAGGAAAAAGUAAAAUAUGUUUGAUAAUUAAAUAAAAAGGGAAAUUAAUAUAAAUUUCUUUUAUUUUCUAUUUUUUGGAUGAAAAUUUUUAUUCCUAUAGGUGGAACUCAUACGUUGUUAGUUUAGUAUAUAAGAAUAUAAAACGAGGGUGAGUUGGGUGAUAAUUUUGUAUUUUAAUUUUUUUAAAUUUAGAAAAAAAAUGUUAUAUCUUUCUUUUAAAAUUUUGUUAUCAAAUUUAAAAAUUAAAAAGUAAAAAAUAGAUUAUCAAAUAUGAUUUGUAAAAUUAUUUUUAAAUAUUUAUUAUUUUUUAAAAAAAAUUAAGAAACAAAUUGUGUAAAGAUGUUUUAAUCAAUGUUUUUAAAACCAAUCAUUGAAUUGAAAAUUUUAACGAUUUACUUUUCAUUGGUCAAAUUUAUAGUGAAAUCACAAUCAAACUAGUGAUGUCAUAAAUAUUUAGUUUAUAUAUUACGAAAACUAAAAAUAUUUAUAAAAAUCUUAAAAUAUAUAAAUAAAUUUAAAAUCAAUAAUAUUUAUUUUUUAUCUUUGAUAUAUCAAAUUUAAUCAUACAUAAAUGUAAAUGUAUUAAUAUUUUAAAUUUUAUUAAAUAAAAUAUGUCUAAUAUUUAAAUAUGAAUAUAUUAAAAAUGGCAGAAAAUUCAAUUAUUUAAUUUUAACUAUAUAUUAAAAGCUAUAUAUAUUCUAUUUUUUAAAAUUUUUAAAAUAUUAAAUGUUUUCUUAUAUUAUUUAAAAUAUUAAUAUUACAAUUUUUUUAUUGUAAAAAAUAUAUUUUACUUUUGGUUGCAACCCUGAGAAAUAAAACACAAAGCAGUUGGGUGAUCCCUACGCCAUGCCUUGAGCUUGAAGUUCAAGUCACCUAGGUGUAUUUUGUUGGGUUUUUUCUCAUGUGGAAAACCCAAAUUAAGAGCCCAAAAUUUUAAGGCCUCUUAGGCCUUUGUAUAAAAGGGCUAGAAAAAGAAUCCUUUUUUUACUUCUUCUUCCAAUUUUUUGCAGCCACUGGAGGUAGGAGAAAAAAGAGAGAAAGGGGAGAACCACCAUUUUUGAAGUUAGAGAGAAAAAUUCAGUUUUUUCUUCACUGCCCAGAUUUCAUCAAAGGUUCGAUCCCACUUCGUUUGUGGGCCAAAUGAUCUAAAAUUUGGAGGAGAGGUUCGUGACUCAUUGAUCUUCAUUCUGAACGGUGAAGAUCGGAUUUGGAGAUCCGGAUGGUCGUCUUUCAGUCCGAGAAUAGAGCCUCCGUUUUGAUGAGUUUUCUAUCCGGACAGUUUUGAUCAUGAACUCCGAUCAAGGUUAAUCCGUGGUUCGAUUGAGCCAAUUUUUGGAGAGCACAUUCAGAACUCAUUGAUAUUCAUUCUAAACAGUGGAGAUUGGAUUUGGAGUUCUGAAAAGUUAUAUUUUAGUCCGAGAAUAGUGGUGUGUUUGGUGAGAUCUCUCCAUUGCUUUUAUGCAAAUUUGUUGAAAUUGCCAAGAUCAAUAUGUCUUGAGACAUGGUUGAUGUAUGCCUCUAGUUUUAUCUGGAGAGAAUUGUAUAACCCAUUAAUUAUAUUAGUGGAGUUUUUAAGUGGCCUAAGGCCUAAGGGUACCGUGGUUUUUACUUCUCAUAUUAAAGAAGGUUUUCCAUGCUAAAAUUAUUAGUGUUCAUAUACUUGUAGAUUGGGUGUCUUCUUGCUACUCUAUUUGAUUGAUUCCUAUUAGGUUCUCAUAAGAGGGGAUAAAACCUAGUUGUGCAUUAUUUGUAUUUAUCCCAUCAAAGUGGUAUCAGAGCAUUGGUUCAAGAUAAUCUGUGCCUUGUGUAGAACAAUGGAAAGCAAUACAAGUAGAAUGAUUACUUUGAAUGGCUCCAAUUAUCAUGUUUGGAAAGGAAAAAUGGAAGACUUAUUAUAUGUGAAGGAUUAUUAUUUGCCUGUGUUUGCUUCUGAAAAGCCAGAAAAUAAAACUGAUGCAGAAUGGAAUUUACUUGAUUAGCAGGUUUGUGGUUAUAUCAGACAGUGGGUAGAUGAUAAUGUUCUCAAUCAUGUUAGUGAAGAGAAAAAUGCACAAAGUCUAUGGAAUAAGCUCGAACAAUUAUAUGCUCAAAAGAUUGGUAAUAAUAAAUUGUUUUUGAUCAAGAAGAUGAUUAACUUGAAGUAUCAAGAUGGAACUCCUAUGACAGAUCACUUGAAUACAUUCCAAGGUAUUAUUCUGGAAUGAAUAUCAAGUUUGAGGAAGAGGUGCAAGGGUUGUGGCUUCUUGGUACAUUGUUGGACUCAUGGGAGACGUUUAGAACUUCUUUGUAUGGAUUUGGUUAAGAGUUAUGUUCUGAAUGAAGAGAUGAGAAGAAAGUCAUAGGGUUCUUCUUCACAGUCAGAUAUCCUAGUUACUGAAAAGAGGGGGGGAGUAAGAGUAGAGGUCCAAAGAACAGAGACAGAAGCAAAAGCAAGACUAACAAGUUUGCCAAUGUUGAGUGUCAUUAUUGCCAUUUGAAAGGGCAUAUAAGGAAGUAUUGUUGCCAAUUGAAGAGAGAUAUGAAACAAUGGAAAGUGAAAGACAAAAAGAAUGAAAUGAUGGUGAAGAUGAUUGAGUUGCCACUACCACUUCAGAUUUCCUUAUUGUUUAUGAUAGUGAUGUUGUUAAUUUUGCUUACCAGGAGACCAGUUGGGUGAUUGAUAGCGGUGCCUCAAUUCAUGUCACACCUUAGAAAGAUUUCUUUACAUCCUACACAUCUGGUGACUUUGGAAGUGUUAAAAUGGGUAAUGAUGGCUCAGCUAAAGCCAUUGGUAUAAGAUAUGUGCGUUUGGAGACCAGUAAUGGUAUUAUGUUGAUUUUGAAGAAUGUCAAACACAUUCUAGAUAUCCGCAUGAAUUUAAUCUCCACAGGUAAGCUUGAUGAUGAGGGGUUUUGCAACACCUUUCGUGAUAGUCAAUGGAAGCUCACCAAAGGUUCUAUGGUGGUAGCAAAAGGAAAGAAGUGUUACUCGUUGUAUUUGAUGCAGGCAAGGGUAAUUGAUUCCAGUAUCAAUGUAGUGGAUGAUGAUAGCACAGUUGAGCUUUGGCACAACAGACUUGAUCACAUGAGUGAGAAAGGCUUGAUGAUUUUGGCUAAGAAGAAUCUUCUUUCUAGUAUGAAGAAGGGAUUUUUGAAAAGGUGUGCUCAUUGUUUAGCAGGAAAGCAGACCAGAGUUGCAUUCAAAACACACCGCCAUACAAGGAAGCCAGGUAUGCUUGAUUUAGUGUAUUAUGAUGUGUGUGGUCCUAUGAAAACAAAAACACUUGGUGGAUCUCUAUAUUUUGUGACUUUUAUAUAUGAUCAUUCAAGAAAGAUUUGGGUGUAUACCUUGAAAACAAAAGACCAAGUGUUAGAAGUGUUUAAGCAAUUUCAUGCUUUUUUUUAGAGACAAUCUGGUGAAAAAUUGAAAUGCAUCCGGACUAAUAAUGGGGGUGAGUAUUAUGGUCCUUUUGAUGAGUAUUGUAGACAACAUGGUAUUCGACAUCAAAAGACACCUCCUAAGACUCCUCAGUUGAAUGAGUUGGCUGAGAGAAUGAAUAAGACACUGGUUGAAAGGGUGAGAUGUUUACUUUCACAGUCACAGUUGCCAAGAUCCUUUUGAGGUGAGGCUUUGAAUACUGUUGUACAUGUUCUCAAUCUUACACCAUGUGUUCCUUUAGAAUUUGAUGUUUUGGAUAGAAUUUGGUCAAAUAAUGAAAUAUUUUAUGAUCACUUGCGUGUCUUUGGAUACAAAGCUUUUGUGCACAUUCUGAAAGAUGAGAGGUUUAAGCUUGAUGCUAAGACAAGACUUUGUGUAUUCAUUGGUUAUGGUCAGAAUGAGCUUGGUUAUAGGUUUUAUGAUCCGGUGCAGAAAAAGCUUGUAAGAAGCCGAGAUGCUAUGUUUAUGGAAGAUCAUACCAUACAGGACAUUGAGAAGACUGAUGUAAUAGAGUUUUAGUAUAGUGAUAAUCUGAUUGACUUUGAUCCAGUUCCUUUGACACAUCUUCCUACACAAGUUGAAGAUGAAGCACAUAAUGACCAACCUGACAUUGGUGAUGUUGAAACCCCCAUACAAGUUGAGAUGGAUGAUUAUGUUCAUAAGCAGUCACCAGUAGUAGAGGCUCCACUAGAUAUUCCACUCAAGAGGUCUACCAGAGACUGACUGACAUCCUUCCACACGAUAUUCUGUUGAUGAUUAUGUAUUACUAACUGACGGGGGAGAACCUGAAAGUUAUGAGGAAGCCAUGGGAGAUGAGAAUAAGAUAAAGUGGGUUGAUGCUAUGCAAGAUGAGAUGAAGUCAUUGCAUGAGAAUAUUUCUUAUGAGUUUAUCAAGUUGCCAAAUGAAAAAAGAGCUUUGAAGAACAAGUGGGUCUACAGAGUGAAGCAAGAAGAACACGCUUCACAGCCAUGUUACAAAGCUAAAUUGGUUGUCAAAGGGUUCAUUCAAAAUAAAGGUAUUGAUUUUGAUGAGAUUUUUUCUCCUGUUGUUAAGAUGUCGUUUAUUCGUGUAGUUUUGGGCUUGGCAGCUAGUCUUGAUUUGGAGAUUGAGCAGAUGGAUGUUAAGACUACAUUUCUCCAUGGUGAUUUAGACAAAGAAAUUUAUAUGGAACAGCUAGAGGGUUUCAUAAUAAAAGGAAAAGAGGAUUAUGCGUGUAAGUUGAAGAAAAGUCUUUAUGGCUUAAAGCAGGCACCGAGGCAGUGGUAUAAGAAGUUUGAAUCAGUUAUGGGGGAGCAAGGCUACAAAAAAACUACUUCUAACCAUUGUGUAUUUGUGCAUAAAUUCUCUGAUGAUGAUUUUGUUAUAUUGUUGCUCUAUGUUGAUGAUAUCUUGAUUGUUGGCAGAAAUGUUUCAAGAAUUGAUAAGCUGAAGAAGCAAUUAAGCAAAUCCUUUUCCAUGAAGGAUUUAGGGCCAGUAAAGAAAAUUCUUGGUAUUAGAAUUGAGCGAGAUAGAGCAUCCAAGAAGCUGUAUAUGUCACAGGAGCAAUAUAUUGAAAAGGUGCUUGAAAGAUUUAACAUGAGCAAAGCUAAAGUGGUUAAUUCUCCUCUAGCUAGUCACUUUAAGCUAAGCAGAAGACAUAGCCCUUCUAUAGAUAAGGAGAAGGAAGACAUGAGAAGAGUUCCAUAUGCCUCAGCAGUAGGAAGUUUGAUGAAUCCCAUGGUAUGUACUAGACCAGACAUAGCUUAUGUAAUUGGUGUUGUUAGUCGCUUUCUAUCUAAUCCAGGAAGACUACAUUGGGAGGCAGUCAAGUGGAUUAUGAGAUAUUUGCAAGGCACUUCCAAGUUGAAACUCACUUUUGAAAGUGGGAAACCAGUACUUGUUAGCUACACUGAUUCAAAUAUGGCAGGGGAUGUAGAUAAUAGAAGGCCUACUUUAGGUUAUUUGAUGACAUUCUCAGGAGGUGCUGUGUUUUGGCAAUCAAGACUACAAAAAAGUGUUGCACUUUCUACAACAGAGGCAGAGUACAUUGCAGCAGCAGAAGCAUGUAAAGAGUUGUUGUGGAUGAAGCGUUUCAUACAUGAGCUCGGGUUUAAGCAGCAGCGCUAUGUGGUAUACUGUGAUAACCAGAGCGUCAUUCACCUUAGUAAGAAUUCUAUUUUUCAUGCAAGAUCGAAGCACAUUGAUGUGAGGUAUCAUUGGAUGAGAGAUGCUCUUAAUGAUAAUUUGUUUGAACUUGAGAAGAUACAUAUCGAUCACAAUGGCUCAGAUAUGUUAACGAAGUCCUUACCAAAGGAGAAGCUUGAAGUUUGUUGUUCAAUUGCCGAGAUGGCGAGUCCCUCCAAAUAAUCGAAAAGAGAGAGAUUUAUUAGGUUUUUCCUCAUAUGGAAGGCCCAAAUUAAGAGCCCAAAUUUUAAGGCCUCUUAAGCCUUUAUAUAAAAGGGCUAGAAAAAGAAUCCUUUUUUUACUUGUUCUUCUUCUUCCAAUUUUUUGCAGCCACCGGAGGUAGGCGAAAAGAGAGAGAAAGGGGAGAACCACCAUUUUUGAAGUUAGAGAGAAAAAUUCAAUUUUUUCUUCACUGCCCAGAUUUCAUCAAAGGUCUAAUCCCACUUUGUCUGUGGGCCGAUCGAUCUGAAAUUUGGAAGAGAGGUUCGUGACUUAUUGAUAUUCAUUCUAAACGGUGAAGAUCGGAUUUGGAGAUCCGGACGGUCGUCUUUCAGUCCAAGAACAGAGCCUCCAUUUUGAUGUGUUUUCUAUUCGGACAGUUUUGAUCAUUAACUCCAAUAAAGGUUAAUCCGUGGUUCGAUUGAACUGAUUUUUGGAGAGCACGUUCAGAACUCAUUGAUAUUCAUUCUGAACAGUGGAGAUUGGAUUUGGAGUUCUAAAAAGUUAUAUUUUAGUCCAAGAACAGUGGUGUGUUUGGUGAGAUCUCUUCAUUGCUUUUAUGCAAAGUUGUUGAAAUUGCCAAGAUCAAUUUGUCUUGAGACAUGGUUGAUGUAUGCCUCUAGUUUCAUCUAGAGAGAAUUUUGUAACUCAUUAAUUAUAUUAGUGGAGCUUUUAAGUGGCUUAAGGGUCUCGUGGUUUUUACUUCUCAUAUUGGAGAAGGUUUUCCAUGCUAAAAUUAUUAGUGUUCAUAUACUUGUUGAUUGAGUGUCUUCUUGCUACUCUAUUUGAUUGAUUCUUAUUAGAUUCUCAUAAGAGGGGAUAAAACUUGGUUGUGCAUUAUUUGUAUUUAUCUCAUCAUAUUUUUUGUAAACUCAAUAUCAUCCAUCCCACAACACGCAGAAGGGAAUAAAGAAGGGUUUUAAAUCCUUAAACAAUGUUGUAGUGGCAUUUGAACCAAAGUUGGAUCUCAACAAGUCACCUAUUGAGUUGGGCCAAAUCUUUUUUGCUUAAAAAAAAUUAAGGUUAUGUUUGGUCCCGAAAAGUACUAAGGAAAGAAAAAAAAAAUGUUAAGAAAAAUAAUUUUAUCAUGUUUGGUGUUUUAUAGAAAAUAAUAUAUAAAUAUGAUUAAUUAAAAAUUUAUAUAUUUUUAAAUUAUUUAAUCUUUACAUUGAAAAGUGAAAAUAAGUAAAAAUGAGUUUGAAGUAGCAUGUAAAAAUAAUUUAUUAAUUUUAAAUCCAUUUUUUAUUUUCCCUUAUUUUUUCUUUCCUUCCAUUUUUCCUUUUUAUUUUCUUUUCCUCACAUUUUCCCUUACAUUUUUCGAGAACCAACACAUAGCGUAAAGGAAAAACGACCACCAACCCAUAACUGGUUCAUCGGUUCAGUAUGUACUCCAGGAACCGAUUCAAUAUAUACUCUAGUCGAGGGUCUGAUCAAUCAAAUAGUCCAAUCUAGUUUUAAAACAUUGGUCUAAAUAAUAUUAACUAUAAGAGAAUUUCAUCUAGUUAUGCUAAUUAUAAGAGAGAAUUCAUAAUUUUUUACUAACAAAUCUCUAAGUGUAAUAUAUUUUUAUUUAAAAGAUUAAAAUUAGGAUGAGAUAUAUUUUUCAUUUCAAUUUUUUAUUUUUUAUUUCUUCAAUAAAUAAAGUAUUAACAUGACAAAAUUUCUUGAUAAGAAGUUUGCCUUUAGUGUUGGAUUUGGUGCACGUUUCAAUAAAAUAAGCAAUAUGCAACUUGGGAUUAUCUUUGCCAUCAAACUGUAGAAACUUGACAGAUUGAUACCCCAUAAACAAUCUUAAGUUGCCAAUUCUCCUAUUAUAAGGCUUUGAGUAUAUUAGUUUAUAGUAUGAUGAACCUUCAUGUUAUGCUUUAACAGCAUUUACAUUCAUGUCCUCGAGUUGUUCAACAGAGACAUGUAGACCUUGAUAAUGCACAUAUGCAUUCUUUCAAAUUUUAUUUUUUGUUUCUAAUUUUUAAUUUUCAUUUUAUAAAUAUUUCAAAUAUUUUAAACUUCUAGUCUUUUAAAAUUCUAUUUUUUUUUAAUUUUAAAAUUUUAGUACUUGUUUGAAUGUACUUUUUAUUUUUUAUUUUUAAAAAUAAAAAUAAGUAAUAACUUCUAUAUAACAUAUGGUAACUCUCAUAUAAAAAAUAUGCACUUAUUCAAUCUCCUUAAAAAUUACUUUAAAUUUUUUUAUAAAAAAAAUUGAGAUAAGUUAAUUUUUUUAAUACUUUAAUUUUUAAAUAAUUUUUAUAAAUUACUAUUUUUUAAAAAUAAAUCUUGAAGAGUUGUUGUAUUUUUUAUUGGAACUAUUAUCAUUCUCUGUUUUAUAACAGAAAACAAGGUGUGGAUCCAAAUGAUAUCUUAGUUUUAAUAUUUUAGGUGACAACUUUUUCCUUGUAAUUUUUAAUUCUCGAUUAAUCAUAAUAACAAUAAAAAUAAAACGAGAAAAAUACAGCAUUUAAUGUGGGAGGCGCUCAACAUUUGGCAUGCAUGGUACCUUUGAGUCUUGACAGUUCCUGAGAGAUCAAGUGAUUAGCCAUUAGUUUUUCUUUUUUGGUAUUAAUUUUUUUUAUUAAAAUUAUAAUUGAUGAAUAUAAUUUUAACCAUCAACUAUGAUUUUGAUAUAGAAAAUGGUUAGUAAUAAUAAUAUAUGAUCACUGUUGUAAUAACAAUGAAUUACUUUGAUAAAUAUUUUUACAAAAAAGUUAAAUUUUAAAAUAUUUAAAAAAAAAUUAAAAAGAUUAUUUUUAUAGCAUAUUCAUGUUCUGAUGGAUAGAUCGAGAAUCUUAUACAUCUGCAAAAUUAUCUUAUAUAUUUGCAAUAUCCAUUUUCUUUUCUACAUUCAAACUAUUCAUAAAAACUUGAGUUUUUAAUAAAAGUAAUCUUUUUAAAAAAUAUUCUAAAUUUAGAUUUUUUUUAAAAAAUAUAUUAACUAAUUUUUCUGGCAUUAUUAAUCUUAUAUCAUCUUUUAAUUUAUAUAUUAAAACCACAUUCAUCAUAAGUAAUUAAAAUUAUAGUAAAAAUUAGAAGCAUAAUUGGCGAAAAUGUGACUAUGGUUUUAACACGACAAUAUAAAAUAAAUAAAUAAAUAAGAGAUAGAUCUAGGUUUAGAAAUUUUUUUGUGAGACCUUACUUUUGUAGCAAUCGCUAAAAACUUUGCCCAUUUGAUUCGAAGCUUUUUGAAUCUCUCCACCCACGUGGCCAACAGUCUCCAGCCAUUUUUUUAAUGCCACAAAAGGCAAAACCACCUGACACCAUUUACUUGAAAAGUUUUAAAUGAUCUUUAGAAGAAAAGGAAAUUAAAUUAACCAUUCAACUCAUUCUUGGUUUAUAGAUUGUAGAGUAGAAUUUUUAAGGCCAUACAACUCAUUCUUGGUUUAUAGUUUGUAGAGUAGAAUUUUUAAGGCAAAUUAAAUUAAUGGUAUGACUUAUUAUUGUUUUAUGGUGUGUGGAGUGGAAUCUUGAAGGAAAAUUAAAUUAAUGAUGCAACUCAUUUUUGGUUUAUAGAAAUACAUUUUUACAAGUGAUUGAGUUAAUAUCAUCUCCAUUGAACCAUCAUGUGUAACAAAUUGAUGUUCUUCUUUAUAGUUCCCUAUAGGAUAGUUCACAUAUUUCCCUCAAAUAUGGAUAUUAUUGACUUUUCUUUUAAAAAAUAUUAACAUAUUUGUUUUCAUUAAUUAAACUUUUGGUCAGUUUGAUAAUGAUUUUAGUAAGUGUUUUUAGUUUAAAAAAUAUUUUUGAAAAAAAAAAGUUAGGUAUUUGACGAAUUUUAUAAAAUAUUUUAAAAAUCUUAAAAUUAUUUGUAAUAUUUUUUUCAAGAAACGCUCGUCAAGAGAUUUUCUUAAAAAUACUUGUCCUAUUGAGUUCCAAUCAUAACUAUUAUAAUAAAUAUUUUUAUGAUAAUUAUAUAAACAUUUUAAGAAUUGAGACAAGAAAUUAUAGGAUGUCGCAAAUCUUUAUACACAUUCAUAAUAUUUAUAAGAUCUAUCAAUAAAACUUAUUAUAAUAAAAUUUUAAUAGGCAAAGCUCUCCACUCCCAUAAUCAACCAACAUAACUAAAUUAAAUCUAUUAAUAACAAAUUUACUUUACUUAUAUCGAUUGAUAUCAAUGAAUUACUUUUACCCAAGUAAAAAAAGUUAAAUAUUUUAUUUUUUUUUAUUAAGUCAAAAAACCAAACACUACCUCAGUGAAAUCAAGGUUUAACCGGAUAAAUCUAUCUUACAUUCAUUGUAGUAAAUUCUAAUAACUAAUAUUAAUAAAGAAUAGAGAUUAGGCCACUUUGGCAUUAUAUUAAUUUUCGGUCAUUUUUGUAUUAAUGAAAUGUAGAUGGGCCCUGCUCCCUCUUUCUCGAUUAAUGCAAUACGCAUGGGACGGCCUUGGAAUCAUAUUUUCGAUUAAUGCAAUUCACAUGGGGCUUCGCUCUGAAGACUGAAUUAUAUUAAUUUUCAACUAUUUUUCUACUGGUGCAAUUCACUUGGGCCUUCUCCUUCUCGCUCUCUGAAUUAUGUUAAUUUUCAGGCAUUUUCUAUUAGUGCAAUGCAUAUGGGCUUGUCUCUCUACAAACUUAUUUUACACGGUUACAGUAAAUUCUAAUAACUAGUAUAUGUUAGUAUUAUAUAGGGUUUUGUUGCUAGAUAUUAAGGCGUGUGACUCUGAGUCUAGACUGAGUUGUGGGAGUGAGAUGCAGGUGAAUAAUGGCAGACAAUGGAAUCGGUUGUUGAGAUUUGACUCUUGGAAAAGGCAGCCCCACCCUCAUAUUAUAAGCCAUGGAGACCUGUUUUCCACUUACUUCUGUUUUUAUAUACAGACAGUAUGGUUUCCACUACUUUUCACAACAAUUAUAAUAAUCCAUGCUCCAUGCCAGGAAUCCAAGGCUGAAAAAUAUUUGUUUUUGUUAAAAAUGCCUAAAUACACUCAAAUCAUUCAUCAAUUUUGGUGGUGUAUUCUCAUUUCUCUCUGCUUGGAACCCUGCUGCUGCUGCUGCUGCUCUCUCUCAAAAGUCAUCUACUACUCUAAUCUCCUUUCAGUCUUCACAUUCAGCCUUACAUCAGGGAUCUGCUGCAUUUUUUUUAUUUUUUUGGCUUCCAAAACACCAUCUUUCCUUGUUCUCUUUUUGUCGCACUGAAUCAACUUACAAGCAAUCCUUGAGCUUUCUCCAUCUCUUCACUCUCUACACCUUUCCCUUUUUAUCAUCCAUUCCUAACUUCACUCAUUUCCAAUUUCCCCACUGUUUUUUCCCUUUUCCUAUUCACCAUCCCUCUGCUUGGAACAAAUACUCUUCUCCUUCCAUUUCUUGCGCUCUCUUCUUUUAGUUUGUUCUUUAUUGCUGCUUUCAUUUGUUUCUGCCUUUUCUCGCUUCCCAUUUGUUUUCCAAAAAAAAAAAAAACGAAAAAAAAAAAAAAAAACCGAACUGAAACGAAAUGGCAGAGAGCGUUAUUACCAUCGCUACUACCAUUGCUGAAAAAAUUGCAGGCUACUUGGUUGCUCCAAUUGGACGCCGGCUUAGUUAUCUGUUUUGCUACCGCAGCCACAUGGAUGAUCUCAACAAGAAGGUUCAAGAGUUGGGGAGUGUGAGGGGCGACCUUCAGAUUACUGUUGAUGAAGCUAUUAGAAGAGGGGAUGAAAUCAGACCUAUUGUUGAAGACUGGUUGACUCGGGAGGACAAGAAUACAGGGGAGGCAAAGACAUUCAUGGAAGAUGAAAAGAAAAGAACCAAGAGCUGUUUCUAUGGGUGGUGUCCUAAUCUCAAGUCACGUUACCAGCUAGGCAGAGAAGCAGACAAGAAGGCGCAGGUUAUUGUUGAAAUCCAACAACAAUGCAAUUUCCCAUAUGGCGUAUCAUAUCGUGUCCCUCUACGGAAUGUAACCUUUAAAAAUUAUGAACCUUUUAAGUCAAGAGCCUCGACUGUGAAUCAAGUUAUGGAUGCAUUAAGAGAUGAUGAGAUCGACAAGAUUGGGGUAUGGGGCAUGGGCGGUGUGGGCAAAACCACGCUGGUCAAACAAGUGGCUCAACUAGCUGAAGAUGAGAAGCUGUUCACCGCAGGAGUCUACAUAGAUGUAUCCUGGACUCGAGAUUCGGAAAAACUUCAAGAAGGAAUUGCUAAAAUUCAACAAAAAAUUGCAGACAUGUUGGGCUUGGAAUUUAAGGGGAAGGAUGAAUCCACGAGAGCAGUUGAACUGAAGCAGAGACUGCAGAAAGAGAAGAUCCUUAUCAUCUUAGAUGACAUUUGGAAGUUAGUUUGUUUGGAGGAAGUUGGCAUUCCUUCUAAAGAUGACCAGAAAGGAUGCAAAAUAGUGUUGGCUUCUAGAAAUGAGGACCUAUUACGCAAAGACAUGGGCGCAAGGGAAUGUUUUCCACUUCAACAUCUACCAAAAGAAGAAGCUUGGCAUUUAUUUAAGAAGACAGCAGGUGAUUCUGUGGAGGGGGAUAAACUGCGACCCAUAGCAAUUGAGGUAGUUAACGAAUGUGAGGGUCUACCAAUUGCAAUUGUAACAAUUGCAAAUGCAUUAAAAGAUGAAAGUGUGGCUGUAUGGGAGAAUGCUUUGGAAGAACUGAGGAGUGCUGCGCCAACAAACAUCAGCGGAGUGGAUGACAGGGUAUACGGAUGUCUGAAGUGGAGCUACAACCAUUUGAAAGGUGAUGAAGUCAAGUCAUUGUUCUUACUUUGUGGUUGGUUGAGUUAUGGCGAUAUUUCAAUGCAUCAAUUGUUGCAGUAUGCUAUGGGUUUGGAUUUGUUUGACCACCUCAAGUCAUUGGAGCAAGCAAUAAAUAAACUAGUUACAUUGGUGAGAAUCCUCAAAGCCUCAAGCUUGUUACUUGACGGUGAAGAUCAUGGAGACGAUUUUGAAGAAGAAGCCUCAAUGUUGCUUUUCAUGGAUGCUGAUAACAAGUAUGUCAGGAUGCAUGAUGUUGUUCGUGAUGUUGCCAGAAAUAUUGCAUCCAAGGAUCCUCAUCGAUUUGUAGUCAGAGAAGAUGUUGAAGAAUGGUCAGAGACUGAUGGAUCCAAAUACAUCUCUUUAAAUUGCAAAGAUGUGCAUGAGCUUCCUCACAGGUUGGUAUGUCCGAAACUUCAAUUUUUUCUAUUGCAGAAGGGUCCUUCCUUGAAAAUCCCACACACAUUUUUUGAAGGGAUGAACCUACUCAAAGUCUUAGACUUGUCUGAAAUGCAUUUCACAACACUACCUUCAACGCUUCAUUCCCUUCCAAAUCUUCGAACAUUAAGUCUAGACAGGUGCAAGUUGGGAGACAUAGCUCUAAUUGGAGAGCUAAAGAAACUACAAGUUCUUAGCUUGGUGGGUUCCGAUAUUCAACAAUUGCCUAGUGAAAUGGGGCAGUUGACGAAUCUAAGGUUGUUGGAUUUGAAUGAUUGUGAGAAGCUUGAAGUAAUUCCACGAAAUAUCUUAUCAAGUCUGUCUCGAUUAGAAUGUUUGUGCAUGAAAUCUAGCUUUACUCAAUGGGCAGCUGAAGGAGUUAGUGAUGGAGAAAGCAAUGCUUGUUUAUCGGAGCUGAAUAAUUUGCGUCAUUUGACAACUAUAGAGAUGCAAGUACCAGCUGUCAAGUUGCUACCAAAAGAAGACAUGUUCUUUGAGAACUUGACAAGAUAUGCGAUAUUUGUAGGCGAAAUUCAGCCGUGGGAAACAAAUUAUAAAACAUCAAAAACAUUAAGGCUCAGACAGGUUGAUAGAAGCUCACUUUUAAGGGAUGGAAUUGACAAGUUGUUGAAGAAAACUGAAGAACUAAGUUAGAGUAAAUUGGAAGAAGUAUGUCGUGGCCCAAUUCCCCUAAGGUCUUUGGAUAACCUUAAAACUUUAGAUGUGGAUAAAUGUCAUGGAUUGAAAUUUCUCUUUUUACUUUCCACAACCAGAGGCCUUUCCCAAUUAGAAGAAAUGACAAUAAAAGAUUGCAAUGCCAUGCAGCAAAUAAUCGCAUGUGAAGGGGAGUUCGAAAUAAAAGAAGUUGAUCAUGUUGGGACCAACUUGCAGCUGCUCCCUAAAUUACGAUUUUUAAAACUUGAGAAUCUACCGGAGCUCAUGAACUUCGAUUACUUCAGCUCUAAUUUGGAAACAACAUCACAAGGAAUGUGUUCCCAAGGCAAUCUUGAUAUCCACAUGCCAUUUUUCAGUUAUCAGGUAUGUUUAAGCUUAAUUAAUAGCUAAUUUCGAUAGUUUUUUAUUUUUUUCAUAUCACUUUUUUUAUAAAAAAAAUAAAUCAAAAGAAAAACUAGGUUAGGUCCACAUGAACUUUUUAAUUGCACCUUAUAAGUUUGUUUAAAGCAGAUAACAUAAGGAGGAGAAGAGAAUUUAGUAAAUUAUUUUACUUGAAGAUACACUCAAUAUUUGGAAAAAGUUUAGUUUGAAUAAAAAAAUCUUAAAAUAUUAGUAAUGUUUUAUAACUUUUAUAAAUAAAUUGAAAAUGAUUAAUAAGGAAAGAUAGGAAAAUGAAGAGAAAAAUGAAUCUUCAUUUUGUUUAUUUAUUUAUUUUUUAUUUUUACAAUUAUUUAUUAUAACAUAAUAAGAAAUAUUCUAUCUCUUUUUCUUAAUAAUUAACUUUGUUUUUUAAAAUCUAAUUGAACUAUAUAAUACAUUUUUUUAUAAAGAUAAAAAGCUUUAGUGAUUCUCUUUUAUUAAAAUAUUGGUAAAAAUAAACAAAAAUAGAAAAAAUUUAGAUAAAACAAAUAAAAUGAUAAAUAAUAUAUAAAGACACACAUGAUUGAAUUAAUGCUAUGAUUAAAUUAGUGUAGUUUGUCAAUAAUAUAGAUAUGUAUGAUCAAAUUAGUAUGAUUUGUAAAUGAUAUUGCAUUAGUAAUGAUAAGUAUGACUUUCAAGAAGAAUGCUAAAAUUAAAGAAUUAGAUAUGAAGGAAGAUGUGGGAAAGGUUAGGCCUUUGACCAACCCUCCUAUUUGUUUUUAUUUUUAUUUUUAUUUUUUUAACUUAUUGAAAGAGCAUCUUAUUUUGAUAAGUUUGUAAAUGCUACUUCUUCUUCUUCUUCUUCUUGUUUUUAUUUUUAUUUUUAUUUUUUUAAUUUAUUGAAAGAGCAUCUUAUUUUGAUAAGUUUGUAAAUGCUUCUUCUUCUUCUUCUUCUUCUUUAAGAAAGUGUUUCAACCACAACACCAAUGCACUCAUCAUCCCCCACUAUUUUUCACUAUUUUGUCACACCAACAUAGCAUUUCUAUGUUCUUUUAACAAAAAAUAUAGUAAAAAAAUCAUCAUUAAACAUCUAAUAUUAUGUGAGAACUUGCUAGAACCAAUAAAUUUUCUAUUUUUUUGGGACAAUUUUUGAAAAUUUUCACAUGAUUCUUUUUAGUUCUCCUUGAUUGUUUUAAAAUUUUAAAAUAUGACAAAGUGAAGAUGUGAAUAUUUGGAAGUUGAAGAAUAUUUAAGAAAUGUAAUAUGUUUGUGUUAAUCAUAACUUUCUAAUUGAUUGUGUCAUGUAUUAUAUUGCAGGUUUCAUUCCCUAAUUUGGAGAAGUUGGAAUUCACUCAUCUUCCCAAAUUGAAGGAGAUAUGGCAUCACCAACCUUCACUUGAGUCAUUCUACAAUUUGGAGAUCCUUGAAGUGUUCUGUUGUUCAUGUCUACUUAAUCUUAUCCCAUCUUAUUUGAUACAAAGGUUCAACAAUUUGAAAAAGAUACACGUCUAUGGCUGCAAAGUCCUAGAAUAUACGUUUGAUCUUCAAGGACUUGAUGAAAAUGUUGAAAUCCUCCCAAAGUUAGAAACCUUGAAGUUACAUAAACUACCUAGGCUAAGGUAUAUUAUAUGCAAUGAGGACAAGAAUGAUGGUAUGAGGUGUCUUUUCUCUUCUCAAACGCUCAUGGAUUUUCAAAACCUCAAAUGUCUAUCCAUCCAAGAUUGUGCAUACGA